UUUUUACAUCCACCAAUCUUUAAUUUGCAAAGAGCUGGAAGACUCGAAAUUGAAACUGACAAUUCUUCACAUCCUUUAAUAACAAGCUUCUCCAAUGCAGGAAGGUGCUCUGGAAAUGUUCCUUUCAGUUUAGAACAUCUUAAAAUGUGAAGCUCUCUCAAUUUAGGAAACCCUUCAACUCUUUGACUGGAUCCAUGAGGAAUCCAGUCUUCCCAUUCUCGCAUGUUUUCAAAACGAAGAGUCUCCAAGCAUGGAAAAGGAAUUGGAGGAUCAUUCCCAUAGAACUCUGAACCCAACCUCUUUACACUAGUCAUUCCACAUACUGCAAGAUGCUUUAGAGAGGGUAGUUGCCCGACUGACGGCAGGGUAGGACACAUGCCACAAUAUUCAAAUUUUAAGGUCACCAACUUUGAGAAUGAGGAAUCUCCGAACCAAGUUGGAAAUUUUGCACCUCUAUAGCCGCUGAUACAAAAUUGUUCCAAAUUUUUAUUGGGUUCUAGCAUGUCAAGCACGUCCUUUUCAAUUUCCGCCUCCCUUGAAGACGAGCCAUCGGUACUGAGUGUCCAUCGAAGCAAUAAUUCUCUAAGAUUCUUCUUUCCAUCCAAUUGAGCCUCCUUUGCAUCACCAACGUCUUUUACAUUCUCCAAUUUUGAAAUGUUAAGUGUCCCAUGAAGGUGCGUCAACAACUUUAGCUCUCGUAACCCGGAACCACUGCCUUUUCCCACAACAAAAUUACACAACGUCUGAAGACUAGUCAACCUACCAAUUCCUACUGGCAUUUCCUCCAACGACUUCGUAUUUGAAUUCUUAAGAUGAUGCAAUUUGGCGAGGUUUCCCAUGUCUGCACACAACUUCUUCAGCCGAUCACAAUCUUCCAACAAAAGACUAUGCAAAUUGUAAAGCUUGUUGACUGAUUCAGGCAGAGUUCUAAUCUCAGUUGUAGACAGGUUAAGGUACCUUAAAUACCUCAAAUCACCAAUUGAAUCAGGCAGCUCAGGGAUGCAGUAUCCACGCAAAGAGAAGACCCUCAAGCGUCGGAGUUUGAGCAACUUAGGAAGAAUGCUAGGAGCCAAGAAGCCAGGCGAACUUUUUGUCAACAUUACUGGUAAAAAAGUUCUCAAAUGCUGGAUAUCAUACAAGUCCCCAAACCUUUUACCGCCAUCAAAAUAUUCAGGAAUGUAUGAUAGAUGACGAAGAUUUUCGGAAAAACUUUGCUGCUUGUAAAUUUCUGAGGUAUACUCCAUUGUGAAGUAUAUCUCCCCCGCAGCCCAACGGGCAAGGUCAUUGAUAAGAUCGUGCAUCACAAAUCGUGAUGUAUUGUUGCUUAAUUGCUGGAAAAAAGAUCUUGAACGUAGCUCUUGAAAGAACUUUCGACCUAGAACUUCGUUAGGAUUCCCACUCUCUUUAUGAACCAAGAAACCCGAAGCACUCCAUAAUAAAAUUAUCUCCUCCUCUUCAAAUUCAUAAUCCUUCGGAAACAACGAGCAGUAUGCAAAGCAUUGUUUCAAAAUUGGAGGAAGAUAAUAAUAGCUCACUGCAAGAGCUGGUAUAAUGGGACAUCUAUCUUCUGGUAAUUCCCAUAUCUUGCUACUGAGCACAUCUUCCCACACACCUCUGUCAUGUUCUCCACAUAAAAGUCCUCCCAGUGUUUUUGCUGCCAAGGGCAAGCCAUUGCAUUUGAUCACUAUCUUCUUACCAAUGUCCUCCAAUGACUUGUGUGAACUGAAAUCUCUUGUCCCCAAAGAGUGCUGAGCAAACACAGACAGACAAUCCUCAGUUGACAAGUUUUUCAAUUCAUAAGCUUGAUCCGGCCUCAUGAUUUUUGCAACCUGUUGAUUGCGAGUAGUGACAACAAUCUUACUUCCCUGUGCGCCAGCUUCAAACGGACGGCUCAUGUCAACCCAGUCAUUGUAAUUCUCAUUCCAAACGUCGUCUAAAACGAGCAAAAAUUUCUUUUGAGAUAACUUCUUCUUCAGCUCCUCUUGAAGCAAAUUUAAAUCACUGUCAUCAAUAGUCUGCUUGGUAAUGGAUCUUAGAAUUGUUUUUGUUAGCCCCUUAACGUCGAAAUCCUCAGAGACACAAGUCCAUGCCUUGAGAUCAAAAUGAUCCUGCACUCGCUUAUCAUUGUAGACAAGCUGAGCAAGAGUGGUUUUGCCCAGGCCGCCCAUACCUAUAAUAGGAAUAACAGAGAAUCCACCAUCGUUGCUUAAAUCAUCCCUCAACAGCAGUUCAACAACAUCCUUCUUUUCUGUUUCCCUGCCAUAUACUUUGGCUUCAGUCACUAAAGAGGUUGUCUCCAGCCUUUGACUGGCUUUGUUGGACCCUCCAGCUGAACUUUCUUUCAAAUCUAGCAAGUUUUUCUGUGUCACAAUUUCUUGAAAUCUGCUGUUGAUCUCUUUGAUUUUGGACAUCAAGCCAUAAUCGAACUGAAUCGAUUGUGGAGUAAAAGUGGUGCAGCAAGCAGGAAUGAGCUUCCGAAACUUACUUGUUCUGGCACGACUGCUACUGGGUUGAUCAUGAGCAGCAGCUGGUUCUCCAUUUCCAAGCAGCAACAUCCUCCGGAAAGCCUCAGUUUGAAACUCAUCCAACAAGUCUUCAACAUCAUAAGCCAAGUUCUGAAGCUUGCCAAGCCACUUCUUCACAGACCGAUUAGUUGUCUUCUUCUCCUCAGCAUCAUCAAGCACCGCCUUGAUCAUCUCCAACAUAUUCUCCCACUUCAUUAGAUAGUCUUGGAUCUUCUCUUGGCGUGCAAAAAACAGAAUCCCCUCUGAAGCUAACUUAUUGACCAGCAAAUCAACAGAUGCCGUAAGGAUUGCCUCUCCGAUGAUCGACAUUUUUUUUCUUUUUUUUGGGCAAAGGAAGAAAGGAGCAGAAUUAUGGGUUAUGGAAAGCAGAAUGAGAAUAUUGAACGGGUGAGAAAAUGGAUAAUUAAGCGGAAUGAGUUUGUGAUUGUGAAGGGUCUGGUACAGCAAGCUUAGUAGAAAUCACGCGUUUGUACUUUAUUGACCAAUGACUAAAUAAUUUGGCAAUGCACCCACCACCACCACUUGGUGAGCAAAAUGAAAAAGUUUAAUAAGUGGAGGGGUCCAGCAAAAUACGACGUAAAAUGUGGCAAGUCUCCCCACUUGUUGUUCGUUGCAGCUAAGAAAAGAAAAAACAGAGCCCACCACCCAUUAAUAAUUUAGCAAAUCACCAAUCAUCACAAAAUUCCAUUAGAUAUUCGUCGAUCAAGUAGUUAAUCCAGUGUCUGCUACGUAGAGCCUUCACUUUACAAAUCUUCAACUCAUAAACCAAGUUAAAUCAAGACGUUUCUCUCUCUGUAUAUAUUUUUUUUAACUCCUAAAACGUUUCUUUUUAGAAAUAUAUUACUUUAUUCAUCUAAUAUGUUAUCUAACAAAUAGACACAGAUGAAAUCACUCUAAAGUGAAGAUGAAAGGGGAAAAAAAAAACAUUCCAACCACCAAUAAUUUAGCAAGCGUCACUUUUAUUCCACCAAAGUGUAAAUAAAGCCAGCCCCCACCACCAUCGAUAAUUUUGCAAGCUUCACACGCUUGUUGUCUUCUCCUUGACGAACUGGACGGGGUGGACCAAGAAUCAAUGAAAGAAUUUUAAAAAUAAUAAUAAAAGAAAAACAUAAACAUUUUGGACUCAGAGUAGAACCGUAAUUAAUGCUAAAAUUUACUCCGCUAACGUUUUCAAAAUAUUGUUCUUUACAAUUGUACAGCAAAUAAGACUAAGUUUUGGACAUUUUCAUAUUCACUUACUUUCAAAAGCAGUAUUUCGAAACAUUUUACAGAAUCAAGUAACAGUUAUAUAACGAGAAAAGUGCAAAGUUGUGUAAUUCUAAUGUUUAUUUUAUCACUGACACUCAGAUCAUUUUUUAUUUGGGUCGCCAACUCGCCAAUGAACCCAUGAUUGAAUAAGUGUUUAGAAAGAAAAUCAAUAAAAAACAGUUUUUUUUUUGUCGUCGAAAUAUAGUAAGUGAGAAAGAUUAUUCUGUUUUUUUUGUUAAUUAGGUUAGUAAUUAUGAUUGAGUGACUCAGAACUAUAUUCUAGAUUGAGAAUCAAUGGUUCUCCCACACUGAGAGGCUGUAAGUUUAAGAUUGUCGUUUGCUAUUUCAUCAACAAGAGAACACUUGAAUUUAUUAAAAAGAGAAGGCCAUAAAAGUUUUCUUUUAUGAGAAAUGUAUCUGAUCAUUCCUUUUUACUUGAAAAUUUCAUAUAUAAAAACUCAUUAAUAAAUGACAGAAUAUACAUAAAUUAUUAAUUCAUUUGAUAGUUGAUUAUCGAAGGACAUGUGACCCAUGGGAGCAUGCAGACUAUAAAAUAAUUCUUUUUUUUAUUAAACAAAAAAUCGGUGAUGUUGAAAAGCAAUAUUAAUUCGACUGAUAAUUGGGGUGAACAUUCAUAAAAAGAAUGCCGUAUGAAACUAAAUUAUUAAUUCGUUUGACAUGUGACCCACAAUAAAUAGUUAAAUUUGGCGGCAACAAUAAUUACAAGACGAACUUAAAGCAGCGCAUAGGUUUUUCUUAAAAAUACAUAAACAAUUCGAUAUUUGAAAUUCUAAUAUCUCAAUAAUCUAGUUAUCCUGUAUUUAGAUCCACAUACAAUUUCUUUUUUUCUUUUUUCUGAUUUCCAAUCGUUACCAAAAGAAAAUAUUUAGUGAUCCCUUUUAUCAACUUGGUUUUAUUGACUUUCUUCCAAUCAUAGAAGUGAAAAGAGAAACAGAGGCCAGCACCAAUAAGUGUUGUGUUACCAGAUUCUGUAAAGACAAAAUCAGUGCCCAGCAAAAAGAAGCAAUGUUUUCGUUAUAUGCUGCUUCCUAUUUAGUACAUGCAUAUAAAGAUAUGCACGUGCACAUGCAGCACAUCUAUCUAAAAUUUAAAAAAAGUAAUUAGAAAUACAGGAAUUAUGGUAGAAAUAUAACAGGAAUAAGAGUGAAAUUACAAUUUUAAAAUUUGGGAGAAAUGAAAUGCGAUAUUUUUUUUAUGAAUAAAAUAAUUUAAUUUUUUUUAAUUCUACCAGCAAAAACCAUUAACUUAUCAAGUUAUUGGUUUCAUUCACAGUUAACAGUCGGUUUCUUAGUUUCAUUCCUUAAUUCUACAAGAAAAAAACAGAAUACUUGACAUUUACUAUUUGACAAUUUUUAAGAAAUGUCAAGCAUAUAUGACAUUUUGUGAAAAACUGAGUAAUUGUGAAAUAUAAAUGACAAUUUAUUUAAACGUCAAAUAAUUGUGACGUUUUAUCAAAUAAAUGAUAAAUAUAUUACAUAUUUAUUAAAUAAUUAUCAUUUACCUUUUCCUUUUAUUGACUUGAGAAAAAAACAAAAACAUUGACUAUACUGCUUUUGUUUUCGUUCUUAGAACAGAUUUUAGUUUCUUUUGAGAAAAUUCAAACUCAUUCCCAUUACUUUCUUUUCAAUAAUCACCUCUCAGUUUUUCAUCAAUCACUCAAUACCGAAUUACAUCUCCAUUCUCUUUCGAAGAAGAACGCACGAAGAAUUUUAGCUUGCUUUCGCUGCUUCUCGAAUAUUGGGUAUUGUUUCCUUUAAUUUAGAUAAUUUUUUUUUUUAUAUCUCUCUUUCUAGUUUGAUAAUUUAUGGUUAUACUUGAAUUAAUUGUAUUUUUAAUCAACCAAGGUUGAUUUAAUUGAUUCCAAGUCUCAAUUUCCUGUUCAACAAACAAGGAACGCACAAAUAAUUUUCAUUUUCAUACUCAAUUUUGAAAGAAUCAAUUUAUUUUAUCUUUGGUUAGUACACUUCUGUUCAAUUUUUGUUUAUUUAACUUAAGAUAUCUUUUUCUUUCUUUUCUUCAAGCAGAUUAUAGAUUAUAUUGAGAACAGAGCUUUCUCCUUAAUUCCGCCAAGAGCAACGUUGAUUUCAGGUGAUAAUUGAAUGUGUAAUAUUUUCAAUUGAAAUUAAUUGAGUCUCGUAAUAAUAAUAGGGAUUUGAGAUUUACAUCCUGUUGAAAUGAUUUUAGAGUGUUUUGCUAUUUGAAUGCGUAUUAAUUGUUCCUCUGUUUCAAAUCCAAAUCCACUGGUCUACUAUUCAUUAUGACAAUGCAUAUGCCGAUAUUGUCUUCCAUCCUUUGUGUACCUUUCAAUUUAGUGAGGUUUAGACAGGGGUUCCAGAUUUGGUAAAUCAACAAUCACCAGAUAUGUAGAGCGGCCGGAAGAGGAAGCAUGGUUCCUAAUCCUAAUCUUGAUUUAGAGCAGAUUAGGUAACAUGUGACAUUCUACAUUCUUGCAAUGCCAUUUCUUGUUAUGGCAGCGGCAUUCUUGGUCAUGGCAUCACAAGCAAAUGCUUUGAUUUGAAGACUUGCUUGGCUAUGAAAAAUAAGGAGAGCAAAGGUAAUUAAUCUUGGUGUGAUCAACAUUUUUAUGGGGGUACUAAGAAAAAUAAAGAUAAUAUAAGGAAUGUUGUUGAGGAGUAUUUUCAUAUUUACACAAGUAUUCAAAGUAAAAAUUGAUUUCUUAAAACCCAUUAGCUAGCGCACAUAAUAAUGGGGAGAAAAUUUUAGACUACGAAUGGUCCCGCCCAUUUAAUAAUAUUCUUCAAUCAAUUAUGUUUACUUCAAAAAAAAAAAAACCUAUCUCUUUAUUACUUUCUAACUAUUCAUAUUAAUGUGUUAAUAAUUAUGAAGAACCGGUGUAAUUUAUAUGAUGUAGGAAGCACUUUAGGCAAAAUCAUUUGAAUCUCAAAAUUUCGUGAUAUUGUGCCAAAUAUCGAAAACAGAGCUUCCUAUCACAGAAAUUAGGAAUCACUGGAGAGUAGAGUUACGUGACUGAAUAGUAUCAUAUCACAGAAACUCAAAACUCAAAAGUGCAAUAACAUUGAACAUUCAGCUGGCUAGCUUAUAUUGAUUAAUUAAUACUACUACUAGUUCUUUAUGAUUAAUUAAAAGAUAAAAUAUUUGACAAUCACGAAACAUUAUUCCAUCACUGAAGAGUAGAGCUUCCUACAUUGUUACCCAAGCUCUUUUAUAUCUCCCAAACAUUAUUAGAGUCCCACAUUUGUGGGCACAUCAUUAAGUAAAAUGUGCCAAUUAGGAAGAACUGGCUUCUUUGUUUUGUUUUCUGGGAUGUGUUGCAAUUUUCAAGUAUCAUUCAAAAUUUUACACCAUCAACACAGGAAAAUUAUAUAUAUUCUGUCAGCACUUGCAUAUGUUGCAAGUGCUGACAGAACUUUUCAUUUGAUUUGAUAAUUGGCUAAGGGUGAUUUCGAUAACGUUUCCAAAGAAGACAUAGAACAAAGAUCAAAAAGAAAAAUAAGUAAUUUGAUCAGUCGAUGCAAAAAAUGAGCGAGCUUCGUAGUCUGACUAACAGGAAAUGGCUUGGAGCAAGGAUCAAUGGACAAGUUUGAGGUUUAUGAAUAAACAGAACAGAGGAAAUAAGUGAUCAAUUUAUUACUUCGUGCAAUGGCCACAGCAACAGCGAAAAUAUGUCUACAUGACUACAUUAUCCGACUGGCAUGGUACUAUAACCGUGCAGCAUUACACUAACAUUUCCUUAUCAAUCAAUUUUGAUGGUAUGAUAUUAAAAACAUAGAUUUCAUAAUUUUAUGUAAUUCAAAGAAAAGAUAUAAUUGAUUUGAGUUAGUUUAACAUAUAAGGAAAGAGUAAUGGGGAAUGAUGUUGAUGUGGCAUGUGAUGAGUAAAGAUAGACAACAAAUAUUGAUCGUGUAAUAAUGAAAUAUGUAUUUAUUGAAAAUAAAUUGACAAUUAAAAUUAAUAGAUAUAUAUCCAAUGCAUCGAGUUUAUUUUAUCACUUCGCUAACCAUUUUGUAACUACAUGUUAAUUAGAAGUUCAAUUAAUUUUGACCAAAGACUCUAGAGAAUGUCGAAAAGAGAUUUGAUUUUUGUCUUAAAAAAAAUUAGAAAUGAAAUAAGUCAAAAUCAAUCACAAGAACAACAACAAGAGCAUAUUUUAUAAAACCACAAAUACAUAAUAUAAAUUUAGUUUCGAAUUAGAUAAUUAUUAAUUUGUAUUGUAAGAGAGUCUUAUAGAAAAAUAGGAAUUUUUUAAAAGGAGAUUUGCUUAAGGAACAACUUUAGUUAAUGGAAGGAAAUACAAGUUUGAUUUUGACAAAGUAAUCACUAAAAUAUUUGACAAGUUUGAGAUGUUAAAAAACUGGAAAAAUAGACAAAUAAUGAAAACCCUACAAGUUGGCAAAGCGAAUAAACAGAGGAAAACAGAGCAAAUAUUUACCGUUAUACAUAUAUUUUUUUAUUUUUUUCCGAAAAAGAAUGUUGCGAUAUUUUUUCCCAAAAAGAAGCACAGUUUGAUAUUACUACCAAAGAACUUUAGCUACCAUAUAUAAGCACGUGUCUAAUUACCAAAUGAAUUCCGCUAUAACAAAGAAUAAAAGCUAAUUUCAUUGAUGGCAUAUGUCGUGCUUUCUUUUCUUUUAUUUUAUUGAAGUUACUUUGUAAACUGCUCCAAGCUAAAUACAAAAUUUACUCUUACACUAGGAUCUUUGCAAUGGUCCAGCAAUUUGUAUUUCCAUUCGGUGAGGUUGGUUUUUUUCUUUAAAGUUGGGAAGUCCAUGUUUGCCAUCAAGAGUACGAUUAAAGAAGAGAUGUUACAAUACACAAAAAGGAAAAAAAAUGCCCAAGGAAGCUUGGGACACUUUUGCAAUGAUUUUUUUUCAAUGAAGAAUAACACACAACUACAACUUUUGGACAAUGAGUUACAGUCAAUUUCACAGCAAAGCAACUUCAAUAACCGCAAAAUUUUUGGGUUAGAUCCUACUGUUGCAAUUUCUGAAUCCAGAAUGAAGAGAAUUAUUAUCCAUAGCUUGGUCAUAUACAAUAUGUGUGUGCGUGUGUGUAUGUGUGUGUAUUGGGAUGUCACAGGCCCUAAAAGAUACAGCUGAACAUCAAUCCUAAAUCUAAAGUGAAAAACAGUAGCUAGAACAUAAUCUUUGUUUUGAUGUCUUUGUUUAUAAGCUCAAACAAUUGACAGUAUAGAAAAUGCAUGAUAGAACAUAGAACUCAUAUUUUAGCAAUAAUCCUAAGCUCACUGGCCCUUAGUUCAAACUGGCAGUUCUUAUUAGUCAAAGAAUCAAAUUGACUUUUAGUUGUAUAUAAGUAGAGCACUAGAUCAACAAAUAAUUGAAGACUUGCUUGGCUGUGGAACCAUAGGAAGGCAAUUCGUGAACAGCCUUGAUAUUUCAUUUGGUUUUAUUUAAUUCUUUGUAAAGUCGUAUUGUAUGUAAAAUUUUUGUUAAAUGAAAUCGGUAUGUGAAGAGAAUUUUUAAAAGCAACCAUCAAAGUCACGAUCAAAGGGACGAAAUCAGUAUAAAUAUUGAUUGUCUCAAGUUAGAUUAUACAAAGAUGAAAUAAUUCUAAUCUAGAAAAUUCGAUCAUUAUAAUUUGAUUUCCAUUAUAUUAAUUAUGUUCAAUCUUGCUAUUUUAAUGAAGAACACUCGAGGAUUUAUAUACACUCAGCUUAUGAAAUUAAUUACAAAACGAUCUUUGACCAAGUCUGAUGAAAAGAUCAUAUUAUAAGUGCAAAGUUACACUUCCCGAUCAUGCAACUAUCCAUCGAAUUGUGUAUUGUGUUAUCGUUGAGCUCUUAGGAAGAUUCAGCUGCUGAGGAGAAGAUGUAAUCUGUUUUUAUGUGACAAGCCAUGUACUCUGCUUUUAUGGUGUUUCUCUUGGUAGUUUUGGACAAAACUGUAAUGUAAAUUUCUAUCUUAAGGGAUUCCUAAUCCUUUUAGUUAGUUUGGGAUUGUUGAUUUAUCUAUGAUGUUUGGUAUCCAAAAUUCAGGUGAUGAUAAUCUUCGCAGUACUUUUGUCAAAUUUUCUUUUAUGUUGGUGUUGUUUUAAUUAAAUAUCACAAAGGUGCAAAAUGCGGUAAAAUUAACAUUGAGCUCAUGAGAUUGCCAUUAGAUAUAUUGAAAAAGAAAUUGAUACAAGAAACUGAAAAUUAGUUGUUAAUUAUGAUGGGAAUAUAAUCUUUGAAUUAUAAUUAUAUCUAUCUAACGCAUGUGCACUAAUCUUAUUUAUCUCUAUCACUGAAAAAGCAGAGUGGCCUGAUUGAAUAGUAUCAUAUUAUGUCACAGCAAUCACAAAAACUCACUCAACAUUAUGCUAAUUUAUACUAAUUAAUUAAUACGACUAACAGGAAAAGUUGGAUCUCGCCUUGCUAAAAAUCAGGUGAUUGUUUUUCAUUUUUGCGGCUACUUGACUCAAUUAUGUUAUUGCAAGAGGAGAUUUCUAUUUUGUCCGGUUUAAGCCAUAAGAUGGGUUUUAAGAUUCAUUCUGAUUGGUUAUCUGUUAGCUUUUUGUUUUAAGAACUUCUUAUUUACGAAAGCCAAAUUCUUCUUUCUAGGUUUAUUCAUAUUCAGAAGUUGCUUUUGUCAUAUCAGAAGAAGAGGCUAAGACUGUUGAAGUACUAGAAGGGACUACUGCGCUGAUUGCCUUUUUCAUGGGCUUCUAAUAUCCAAUGUUGAUUAUCUCUUCCAUUUGAACAUGAGAGUAAAAAGAUAGUUGAUAUUUAUGUUACAAAAGUUGGAAGCGACUUAAGCAAUUCAGUAUCAUGCGAGGACUAUAAUAAUAACCCCGAUUAUUUUGCCUCUUGGAUUUUUUUGUUAAUUCACUUGCUUUAUGCUUAUCCGACCUCUGAUUUUUUCUUAAUAUUUCUUUGUAGUUCACUUCACAGCACUUAUAGCCGCUGCAUUGGCAUUUUCUGCUAUUUGUUAUUGUUCAUUGAAGCUAGUUAGUUUACGAAAUUUCUUUUUGAUAAAUCUUCUUCAGAGGGUUGUGAGAGGCCAAAUCAAUUGAGAUGACCGGGUUUUCUAGAUCAGCCAUCUUUGUCGUCAACAGUGCUAAACUGUCAAUUACUGAGACACCAAACUCUAACCCGAUUCAUAUGGAUGUAGACUAAAGCUUCUUGCCGAUACCAUCCCAGUCAAAGCUGCUAUCUUUGAAAGUUUCGCAAGACAAAACAACGUUGGUUUCCCAGUCGACACAAAUACAGAUUUCAUAUGUGCAGAUUGCUCUCAAUCUCUGUUUAAUAAGCUAGUCCUCUGCUGUAUCCUAGAAGGUGGAACAAUACAUUAUGCUUCCCAGCAGGCUCCAAUGGGAUCUAUAUAUGUUUCUGCUGCCAAAUUUUUGAAAGCGAUCAUUGUGAAUAUCGCUGCCCAGUCUGAAGUGGGCUUUGAUACUUGUGACAAUACUCCAUCGAGGCUGUAAAGAAGCCGUGGGUGUACAUUUCUGGUCCAACAAUCAAUCUAACUGGCUUACUUUACAGCAACAAAGAGAUAGAAAAUAUAUUAACUGCUUGUGCAGAAUAUGGAGCAAGAGCUUAUUUAGUGUCGUGUCAAAAUAAAUAUAACAAAGUUUAAGCUGAAUAUAAAUUGUUAAUUACAGGCAGAGCAAGUUGAGUUUAAAAAAUGCGAAGCACCCAGUCCCAAAACAGAGAAGCUUGACGUUGGCCGGCAGGAUUAAUAUUAUUUUUUUUAACAACAAUCAAAGCCAGUCGGGAAUUUAUUAAGAGGUUAAUUAGUUGAAGUAUAAAAAAGGAAUUAGCAGGAUUCACGCCCGACCAAAUCCACAUGGCCAAAGCAAAGGAUUAAGUUUGAGAGAUUAUAAUGAAAUAUAAGUAAGCUUCGCACAUGCAUGCGUCUGACUGACAGAACAAAUGAAGGAAACAUAAACUUAUCAUUUUUAAGAUGUAAGCAUCAAAACAUUCGACAAGUUUGAGGUUCGUGAGAUAUUGGGAAAAUAUACAAAUAAUAAAGCCACUACAAGUUAAGCAGAGCAAAUAAACAGAGGAAAUAACUGAUCAAUUUAGUUCUUUGUGCAAUGGCCACAGCAACAGAGAAAAUAUGCCUACACGACUACAUUAAUCCUACUGGCGUGGUACUAUCACCAUGCAAAUUAACAUUAACAUUUCAUCAUCAAUCAGUUCUGAUGACAUGAUAUCAAAAACAUUGAUUUCAUAAUUUUAUGUAAUUUCAUAUAAAAGAUAUAUAUAGUUUAUUUGAGUUAGUUUAAAAUAUGAAGAAAGAGUAAUGGGGAAUGAUAUCGCUGUAGCGUGUGAUGAGUAAUGAUAGACACCAAAUAUGGAUCAUGUAAUUAUGAUAUAUGUAUUUACUGAAACAUAUUUGGCAAUAAAAUGAUGCUUUAAAAAUUUAAUAUUGUUUGCUUGAAAAUAAUUUGACAAUUAAAAGUAAAAGAUGUAUAUGCAAAACUUUGACCUUAUUUUAUCACUUCACUAACCAUUUUGUAAGUACAUCUUAAAUCGAAGUUCAAUUAAUGCUGACGAAAGACUCCAGAGAAUGUCGAGAAGAGAUUUGAUUUUGGUAUACCAAAAAAUUACAGAUGAGAUAAGUUAAAAUCAAUUACAAGAACAACAAAAAGAAUAUAUUUUAUAAAAGCCACAAAUACAUAUAAUAUAUAAUCAGUUUCGAAUUAAGUAAUUAUUAACUUAUAUAGUGAGAAAGUGUUAUAGGAAAGUUGGAAUUUUUUAAAAGAGAUUUGCAAAGGAAAAAGUUUAGUUUAGUUUAGUUUGCGAAGGCUCAAGUAAUUCAAAGCAAUUAGCAAUGCAAUUGAAGGAAAUAUAAACUUCUAAUUUUUACAAAGUAAUCGCUAAAAUAUUUGACAAGUUUGAGAUUUUCAAAAAGCUGAAAAAAAUAGACAAAUAAUGGAGACCCUACAGAUUGGUAGCGCAAAUAAACGGAGGAAAAUAUGGCAAACAUUUAUUUUUUCCAAAAAGAAUAAAAGCACGUGUCUAAUUACCAAAUAACUUCACUUUAAAAAAUAAUAAAUGCUAAUAUCAUUGUUAGCACAUGUUGUGCAUUUUUCAUUUAUUUAUUUGCUAUUACUUAUUGAAGUUACUUUGCAAACUGCUCCAAGCAAACUACAAAAUUUCUUAUCACUCUAGGAUCUUUGCAAUGGUCCUGCAAUUUGCCUUCCUUUCUAUUAGGUUAGCUGUUUAUUCAAAAGAAAAAAAAUUGGGGAAAUGGAAACCUCACCCUCUUAAUACAGAUUUUGAAUUUUAUUAUUAUUAUUCAAAAUUAGAUAACUAUGCAAAUAAUGGGCGGUUAUAACCAGUGAAACUGUGUCUAGCUACGACGCAGGUUUAAUUUUCUCUUGAUUAAAUAUAUAAACAAAACUAAAUCACCUGAGCCUCUGGUUUCACUAUUUUUCAACUUGAAAUUAAAACGCAAAAAUUGAUGGUAUUGGAGUUCGUUGUUUAGUUUUGCUGUAGGUCAUGGGGAAUCAAAUAGCCAUCCAUUUUUAAGUCUAUUUUAUGUACUAUUGGUCACUAAGUAUUGGGAUGUCAUAGGCCCUAAAAGAAAAAGCUGAAAAUCAAUCCCCUAUCUAAAGUGGAAAACAGUAGCUAGAACAGAAUCUAUGGUUUGAUGUCUUAGUGUAUAGGCUUAAACAAUUAAUAGUAUAGAAAAUGCAUGAUAGAAUUCAUAUUUUAGCAAUAAUCCUCACCUCACUGGCCGUUAGUUCAGAAUGACAAUUCUUAUUAGUCAAAGAAUCAAGAUGAUUUUUAGUUGUAUAUGAAUAGCGCAGUAGAUCAACAAAUAAUUGAAGACUUGCUUUUGCUAUUGAACCACGCGAUGGCAAUUCGAAGACUACAGCUUAGCUCUGCCAUUCGAAGUAAGCAAAUCAGCUGCCCAAAGACUGCCAAGCCAUCAAGACAAUACCAAGAUACAACAUCAAGAAUUACAUACAGGCCGUCACAUAUUACAUUUCUCCUCUGUUUUAAGAGAGAUUUACGAGCCCAUGCAGUAGAAGUAAUUAAUUAAUUUAUACAGUUCAGUACUCAUUCCUCCUCUGUUUCAAAUCCAAAUCCACUGCUCUGCCAUUUAUUAUGACGCAGGGUAUAUGGGUUAGCAAGUGUCGAUAUUGUCCUUCAUCCUUUGUGUACCUUUCUUCUAACAAGGGACAGCACGAGAUCUCUAAUCACAAAAGAGAGGCAGGCAGGCCGUUCGCUGGAAAGUACUUGAGCUUGGGACAAUUACAGAGUUUCAAUGAAAUGAGGUUUUGAUGAUCAACAAUUGAAGAAGACAGGCGUUCCAAAUUUGGUAAAUCAACAAUCACCAAAUAUGCUAGAGUGGCAGGAAGAGGAAGCGUGGCUCCUAAUCCUAAUCUUGAUUUAGUAUUGCGUAUGUAACAUGUGGCAUUCUACAUUCUUGCAAUGCCAUUUCUUGUUAUGGCAGUAGCGUUCUUUCACCAUGGCAUCGCAAGCAAAUAUUUGACUUGAAGACUUGCUUUGCCAAGAAAAAUAAGGAGAGCAAAGGUAAUUGAUUUUGGUGUGAUGAAUAUUUUUAUGGGUGUUCUAAGAAAAAUAAAGAUAAUAGAAGUAAUGUUAUCGAGGAGUAUUUUGAUAUUUACAAAAGUGUUCAAAGAAAAAAGUGAUUUUUUGAAAUCUAUUUGCUGGUGAACAUAAUAAAAUGGCAUUCCGACUUCUGCGUAAAUUUAAAACUACAAAUAGUUUUACUCUUUUAAUAAUAUUCUUCAAUUAAUUCUGUUUCUUUCACAAUAAAAAAUCCAUCUCUUUAUUACUUUCUAACUAGUCAUACUAAUGUGUUAAUAAUGAAGAACCAGCGUAAUUUAUAUGAUAUAAGAAGCCCUUUAGCACAUUAACCCGAAUUUAGCUAAUGCAUGUGCCUAAUAUAGCGAAAUCAACAUUCGGCUCAUUAGAAUGCCAUUAUAUAUACUGAAAAAGAAAUUAAUACAAAAAAAAACUGAAUAUUAAUUGACACUGGAUCAUGUUGGAUUGUUAGUUGUUAAUUAUGAUGGGAAUACAAUUUUCAUCUUUUGAUUAUCCGCUAACUAAUGCAUGUGCACUUUCAUUUGUGUCUAUAUAUACAAAAACUUGUAUCCCAUGGUUUACAUAUGUAUGAAGAUAAUGUAAUAAAGUGCUUUUGAUAAAUUCCCCUGGUCUGUUUACUUCACUAAUUCAUUAAUGUGCAAGUCCUCUAUAGAGCUGUGUUGUGCGUACAAGUUUUGCUACAUGAAAUCGUUAGGUGAGGAGAAUUUUUAAAAGCAUACAUCAAAGUAAUGAUUAAAGGGACAAAAUCAACAUAAAUAUUGAUUAUCUUGAGUUAGAUUACACAAAGAUGAUAAUGUAGUAAAUUUAUCAUAAUACACUACUAAAAAAUGCAUUUUAAUGACACAAAUUUUAUGACAUACAUCUUUAUGUCAUGAAAAUACUUGCAUGAUGUAUAAUGCUUCUGUGAUUAUUUGAUGAUAAAUUCAUAAUUGAUGCAGAUACAAAAUGAAGUGAUGAUAGGUAAAUAUCAUGUGAUUUUUUUUAUGGGUAAGAAUAUUUGAACCCACCAAAUUACUCUUUAAACUUACUUUUUUAUUGAUAAUUUUAUUACAAAAUUACUGANNNNNNNNNNNNNNNNNNNNNNNNNNNNNNNNNNNNNNNNNNNNNNNNNNNNNNNNNNNNNNNNNNNNNNNNNNNNNNNNNNNNNNNNNNNNNNNNNNNNNNNNNNNNNNNNNNNNNNNNNNCCGCAAAACUCAAUCAAAGUAUGCUUAUUUUCUUCUUCUGCACAAGUGUAGCAAAGUUUUUAAUAAGUUCCUCCUUCAUCCACAGUUGAGAACUUUCUAACUUUUGUUUCUUGUUCUAGUAAUUUGGAUAUGCUGUGUUAGAUACUGAAUUUAUUAAAUUUCUUCUUCUCUUUUGAAUAAAAUCUCUUUAAAAUUCAAUCCAUAAAAAAAAAAUUAAUCUCCUUAUAAUUUAAUAUGUUUCGGCUGUCUUAGUGGAAUGAUGCAAUUUGUGUCAAUCAAAGUUUUGAAGCAUCCUAAAUUAUAUAUUUUUUUGUUUAAUUUGUUUAGAGUUCAAUUGUUUAGAUCUAGGCUAAUUUUUAUUGAUAAUAUUUAUGAUUAAAUUAUAUGAGUAUGCUUAAAUUUUUUUUUCCUUCAAAUUUAUUUUCUGAUGUUGCAUUUGGUUAGCAAAAAGAUAAAAAUAGUAGAAAAUGUCCGAAUUAUUGUUAUGAAAAUGUUGUUUUAGUCUGAUAUUGGGAAAAUAUCCUUAUACAUAUCGGCAUGAUAUUCAUGGGAGACCAAAUUGAGAAUGAUGGCAGACUAUGCAUUGCUCACAACUAAUUUAAAACUCACUAUUUCUAUUGUUUGUGUUUUAGUAACUUUGGGGGAAUUCCAACUAUAGUUAAUAAGCUAUAAACUUGUUUAGGAUUACUAAUCAACUUGCUAGAAAGAGUUGCAAACUAAUUAGCUUUCUCUUAUAACUUUUACAGAUCAUCUGUGGAGGAGAACUGCAAGGAGUUGAAGACUCUAGACCCUAAACUUCAUAUCUUGAUUUAUAAGUGCAAUGGCCAUAAGUCCGAAUUAUGGGCUGGAGAUGGUAUAUGUAAUCUUUCUGCUCUUGGUGUUUUUUUUUUUUUCCCCUCUAGUUAUUUUUUGCUCUCUACUCCAUUGUAUAUUUGUAUUCAAAAGUAUUUUUUUCUUUGUUUUAAGCUUUCAAAUUUAUGGAGAUGAUCUUAUUAGGUGUUAAAAAAAUAGUUGUAGAGCUUUACUAAAACUAUGUAAACUCUUAUUGAGAUUUGGGUUUGAUUUUGUAAGAUUGCUAAAAAUUUCAUAUUUUAUACUUGUUUUAUACUUUUCUAGUCGAAUUUCUUGCUUGUGGAAGAUAAAAUAAAAGUCCAAUUCAUGUUGUAAAAUUUUUUUUUCCUCCCUUUUUUCUUCCCUUAUAAUCUGGCUCUGGUUUUGGUGCAGUUUAUGGUUUCAAUGCAGGGAACCAAUUUCAUCAGAAUCAUCUUAAAGGAUCAAAGUGGCUUCCUUUUGUAACUGGGUAAGUCAAUGCUACUUCCUGAAUUCGAUUUGGAGUUCUUUCGGAAUAGAUUUCCUUCCCUUACAUCACUUGGCUUCUAGUUGCAUCUUCUUGGCUUUCUCCAACGGACUUUUUUAUUGGCAAAUUCGUUUGUUUCUAUUGUUUUCAAGUGCUAGUGCUGGAUUUGGAGGUAUGAAUGGUGCCUUCAUUUUUAUUUUUUUAAUUUUCUUUUGGGUGUAUAGUACUGUAAUAUACUUCUUUGUAUAGCUAGUACAAAAUAGUUCUUUAAUUUUAUUUGUCAUGAUUUAUUUCUAUUGCCUGGUGAUGACACCCAUCACGACUUAGUAGUCGUGAAUAAAUCGAAAAUCAAAUUGCACUGGUUUUUACCGGUUAUCAACAAUUGUGAUGUUUUGAGAUUAUAACAUACUUGACAACGCCGACUAGCGUUCUCUCCUAUGUGAAUUGGGACAAAAAUUAUUUUCCCAAUCACGCUUUCGUUUGAACAAUUCCACUUCAGAUAUAUAAAAUAAUGAUGAAAUUGUGUUUUAAAAUUAGUUACGAGUAAUUGGUUCAAUAUUAAUACAAAACUAUUUUAAGUAACACGUGGCAUAUUCUAAUUCCAGUGAGCUUCUAACUCAGAUUCCCAAAUCAAAAGAAACGUUUCAAUUUUCUCCAGAACGUUCUGCAAAACAUUUCUUCGAGUCUCUACGUUGUGCUAGAAUUUUCUCUCAGUUUCUUUUCCAUAGACUUCUAAAAAACUGUCCAGAUACCGAGAUAUAAUCCAAUCUAAGUGUACAUAUUGUAAGAAAAACGAUACACAGUGAGAUAACAAUUUAAAUAGUAGCUAAUUUAAACAACAAUGUAAACUAGCAAUGGGAAACAACAAAUGAAGAACUGAAGAGAAAGGAGACCAAAACAGAAAUAUAAACCCGAGGCCUGCGGACAGUUUCCUUAAACAUAUUUACCCCCUCUUGGAGUGCUUUAGGUCAGCUGGUAUCUGUUUCCCAGGAUACAACAGGCACGAAUUUUCGGCUAAGCACAGGCUAGAAAUUCUGGCGAACCACAACAACGAGCUCGAUCAGAGAAAACAGACGACGAAGAUGGAGGAAGGAAAAUAAGUGUGCUGGUUUUUUCAGUGUGCAAAAAAACAGAAGAGGAGAUGCCUUUUUAUAGUCAUAUGAGGAUGUAACAGCUACUUUGUAUUGAAUUUCUGAAUUCAAUAUAUUUUAUUUAAUUGUUAUAACAGCCAAAUCAAUUCAAUGAAUUGAUUUCAAAAUUGAAUUAAAAAAAACGUGAAUUAUAUAACAGCUAAAAAUAAUUGUUGAAGCUGUUACAAAUCCUUUGAAUUCAAACGUGAAACUGUUACAAUAAAAAAAAUUUUAAAAGGAAAUUAAAAACAUGCCAAGCUUGCAUGGAUGAUUUUGGGCUGACAUUCGCGUACGCAGACGAGUUCAACCAAAUUGGUCAUGGAUUUGCACCCCCCUGCACACGCGCACGUGGAGAGAGCCUCUAUCCUUAUAAUUCUUGAACAAGCAUGGUUAAGUGUUUAUAUAUAAACACUAAUCCCUAGGCUUCUUUUUCCCAUGUGGGAUAAGCCUAAUUUCUUUUCAAAUUUCCAACUUCAAAGGUGAACUUUGAGAGACAAUUUCUCAUUCACCCAAGCACCAUUUUGAGAAAAUAAGAUUAUACUUUUGAAGUAUCAAAGGAGUAGAAUCCGAACCUCACAAGAUUUUCCACUUUCGUUAAGUGGGACCCACUCAAAAUAUGCCCUCAAAAUAGCAUCUAUAUAUGCUAUUUUUUCAACAAUCCCCCACAUGAAUGAAAAUUGGCAGUAAAACAAAAAACCGCUAUAUUUUUUUUACAUCAAAACCAUUUUUGACCUUAAUGAUUGAGUUUAUUGGAUUGAUACCUAGCACAUGAUAGGUUGGUGUUAUCCUUUUAACCUUCCCUUGUAAUAGUAUAAUUACUUUACUGGCUGAUCAGUAGACGCGAUGUCUUUGAACUGUGCGGCCGUUAGUGUAAACGAUCAUAUACUACACAUAGGUAUUUCUCCUAACACUGUUGAGUUCUCAUGGUUAUGUUCGUUUUGGCCUUGAACAUCUACCUGGUUCUGCAAGAGUUUCUAAGAGCUAAACCCAUCAUAGCUCCCUUUGAAGCGGCCCCACUUCUCUCUCACAUAGGUGAUAUCUUAAUUAAAAGUAACCCGCAUUACUCCGCUCGAAUUUUCCGACGCAUAAGAAUCAUUAAGAGCCUAGCUCAACCUUAUUCCCCACGAGCAUCAUUGUUUCAUAAUAUGAAUGGUCAAUGAGGUAAUCUUCUCAAGAGAAUAAACCCCACAAUAAUCCAACUUUAGUCUUUAACAAAUAGGUUGUUCAAUUGAACCUAGAUCUUGGGAUCUCCAGUCUACUAGGUUGGGUUUUCCUUCGUUAUUGACUAAUCAAUCUAUGAGUUUUAAUCCCAUUCCCCUCGAUGAUUUUUCUACUAGCUCUCUAUUUAACCCUUUGGUUAGCGAAUCCGCAAUGUUAUCCUUUGACCUCACAUAGUCAAUAGAAAUAACUCCAGUAGAAAUAAGUUGUCUAAUGGUAUUAUGUCUAUGACGUAUGUGUCUAGACUUACCAUUAUACAUAUUGCUUUGUGCCCUACCGAUAGCUGAUUGACUAUCACAAUGUAUACAAAUCGAAGGCACAUGCUUUGGCCACUUUGGAAUACCUUUUAAAAAAUUGCGUAGCCAUUCUGCUUCUUCACCACAUUUAUCUAAUGCAAUGAAUUCAGAUUCCAUUGUAGAUCUAGCAAUUACUGUCUGUUUAGAAGAUCUCCAUGAUACAGCUGCACCUGCUAGUGUAAAUACAUAGCCGCUAGUGGAUUUUGAAUCUUUUACAUCUGAUAUCCAGUUAGCAUCACUAAAUCCUUCUAAUACUUCUGGAUACCUAGUAUAGUGCAGUCCAUAAUUACGAGUGUAUCGAAGAUACCUAAGUACUCUUACGAUAGCUUUCCAGUGAUCAGUUCCUGGAUUACUCGUAUAUCUACUAAGUUUACUUACCGUAUAGGCUAGAUCUGGUCUGGUACAACUUGUUAAGUACAUCGGACUGUCUAUUAUUCUAGCAUAUUCUACUUGAGAAAAACCCUCUUCUCUAUUUUUCGAUAAAUGGAUACUAGUAUCUAAUGGAGUUUUAGACAUAAUAUUAUCAUUUUUAUUAAAUUUUCCAAGAAUUUUAUCUACAUAAUGAUUUUGACUUAGAAUAAGUCCAUUAGAAGCCCUUCAGAUUUUAAUUUCCAAAAUGACAUUUGCAAGACUCAUGUCUUUCAUGUCAAACUUAGACUUCAACAUAUUCUUGGUAGAUUUAAUCAUGUCAUCAUCACUUCCAACAAUGAGCAUGUCAUCAACAUAUAAACAUAAAAUGACAUAGCCAUUUUCCGUUUCUUUGACAUAAACACAUUUGUCACACUCGUUGAUUUUAAAACCACUUGUGAUCAUCAUAUGAUCAAAUUUCUCAUGCCACUGUUUCGGUGCUUGCUGCAAGCCAUAUAAUGACUUUACCAAUUUACAAACUUUCUUUUCUUGUCCUGGAGCUAUAAAACCUUCAAGUUGCUCCAUAUAGAUUUCUUCAUCUAAAUCUCCAUUUAGAAAAGCCGUCUUUACAUCUAUUUGAUGUAUCUCGAGAUUGCGCAAAGCUGCAAUUGCUAUUAUCAUCCGUAUGGAAUUUAUUCUCAUAACAGGAGAAUAAGUAUCAAAGUAAUCAAGGCCUUCUCGUUGCCUAUUACCUUUAAUUACAAGCCUAUCCUUGUAUUUAUUGAUUUAUCCAUCAGCUUUCAUUUUCCUUUUGAAAAUUCACUUAUACCCCAAAGGUUUACAUUCUGGAGGAAGAUCUGCUAGCUCCCAAGUAUGAUUUUGUAAAAUGGAUUCAACUUCACUGUUAAUGGCUUCUUUCCAUAAAGUGCCUUCAGCUGAAGUUACAACCUCUUUGAAGCUUUGAGGUUCACUUUCUAGCAAAUACGUCAGAAAGUCUAGACCAAAAGACUUUUCUAUCCUAGCUGUUUUGCUACGUCUAACCUCAAUUUCUUGUUCUUGAUCUUCUUCUUCUUCUUCUUCUGGUGCUUCAUCAUUUUCUUCAUUUCCAAGUGUUGUUUCAUGAAAUUGUCGCAAUUCUCUCGAUUCCACUCUAGAAUUGCAAGGAAACACAUGUUCGAAUGAUGCAUUUCUUGAUUCUAUUAUCAUAUUUUUGUGGACAUCUGGAACUUUAGACUUAUGUAACAAAAAUCGAUAAGCACUACUGUUUUGUACAUAACCAAUGAAAAUGCAGUCAACAGUUUUUGGUCCUAUUUUCACUUUUUUAUUGAAGGAACCACUACUUUAGUAAGACACCCCCACACUCGUAAGAAUUUAUAUGAAGGUGAUCUAUUUUUCUAUAGCUCAUACAGGGUUUUAUCUUCUUGCUUUCAGGGUAUCUUAUUUAAUAAAUAAUUAGCUGACAAAACAGCUUCUCCCCACAUAUUCUGGGGUAACCCAGAACUUAUCAACAUUGCAUUCAUCAUUUCCUUUAAAGUUCGAUUCUUUCGUUCUGCAAUCCCAUUAGAUUGAGGUGAAUAUGGAGUCGUGACUUGAUGUAUGAUUCCAUUUUGUUCACAUAGUGACAUAAACAUAACAACAUACUCACCACCACGGUCACUCCUUAAUUCUUUGAUUUUUCUAUUAAGUUGAUUCUCAACUUCAUUUUUGUCGAGAAUAAACUUUUUCAAAGCUUUAUCUUUACUUUUCAAUAAAUAUACAUAGCAAUAUUUUGUGCAAUCAUCUAUAAAGGUAAUAAAAUAUUUAUUAUCACCUCUUGUUUGAAUGGAUUUAAAGUGACAAAUAUCAAUAUGUAUUAAAUCAAGUGGUUCGGUGUUUCUGUUAAUUAUUUGGAAAGAUGACCUAGUUAGUUUUGCCUCAACACAAGUUUCACACUUAUGUUUCAAAUCAAUUUGGAAAUUGGGAAUAUGCUUCAUGUUAAUUAAUUUACGCAAAGAUUUAAAAUUAACAUGUCCUAAUCUACCAUGCCAAAGAUUAGAAGACUCAAGCAAAUAAGCAGAAGAAGUAGCUUUAUUAUUAAUUAUUGGUUUCAGAGUCAUUACAUUGAGCUUAAAUAGCCCAUCAUUAACAUAACUCUUUCCCACAUACAUCCCAUUUUUAGACAAAACUACCCUAUCUGACUCAAACACCAUUUGGAAGCCAUGUUUGUUCAACAGCGAUCCAGACACCAAGUUCUUCUGAAUUUCUGGCACAUAAAACACAUUGUUCAGAGUCAGUUCUUUCCCAGACGUCAUCUUCAAAAUCACCUUCCCUUGACCAUCAAUCUCAGACGUAGCCGAAUUCCCCAUGAAUAGCUUCUCUCCAUUGCUAACUGCUUCAACUGAAGUGAACAAUCCUUUGUCCGAGCAAACAUGUCUGGUUGCUCCCGUAUCAAUCCAUCAUUCUCUCGGAUUAUAGCCAACCAGAUUCACUUCUGAAACCACUGUAGAGAGGUUUAUGUCUGAAACAUGUUGAGUGAUGUUUUCCAUCACAUUCUCCUCUCGCUUCUUUUUAGGCAACCUGCAAUAUGAAGCAUUGUGACCCAUCUUAUCACAAUUAAAACAUUUUCCUUGAAACUUUGUUUACUUCUUGGAAAUUCCUCCUUUCGGACCCAUUUUUUUAUUUUUAUUUUUAGGUCCAUGUUCGACAAAAUUUGCCUUUGCCAUAGAAAUAACUCCUUUUCUUUUUGCAUUUCUGUUAUCUCCCUCAAUUCUGAACUUAACAACCAGCCCUUCAAUAUUCAUCUCCUUUCAUUUGUGCUUCAAAUAGCUCUUGAAAUCUUUCUAAGCAGGAGGCAAUUUUUCAAUAAUUGCGGCAACUUGAAAAGUUUCACUUAGAUGCAUCCUUUCUGCAAGGAUUUCAGAUAAUAUAAUUUGAAGCUCUUGUACUUGACUUAUUAUAGUUUUAGAAUCCACCAUUUUAUAAUCUAGGAAGCGACCAACAACAAACUUUUUGGUUCCCGCAUCCUCGGUUUUAUAUUUCCGGUCAAAGGAUACCCAUAACUCCUUGGCUGUUUUCUUUCCUAUGUAUACAUUAUACAAGGAAUCACUAAGGCCAUUCAUUACAUAAUUUUUACAUAAAAAAUCUUAAUGAUGCCAUGCAUCAAUUGCACUUGCAACUUGAAUAUCCGUUUCACCCUCUUUAGGUUUAGGAGCAUUCUCGAUUAAGAAACUUGCAAGGUUCAACAUGGUCAAGUAAAAGAAUAUCUUUUGCUGCCAACGUUUGAAAUUCUGGCCAUUGAAUUUUUCAGGCCCUUCCGCAUGAUUGACAGGAAUUGCCACAGAGGCUGGUUCCUUUACAACAGUUGGUGCAGCAACAGAAGAUGAAACUGGGACAUACGGAAUAUCAUCAAUGGUUUCAGUUGCCAUCUCAAUGAUAAUUGAUUCUGUUUUAAGAUUGUAAAAAAAAUGAUACACAGUGAGAUAAUAAUUUAAAUAGUAGCUAAUUUAAACAACAAUGUAAACUAGCAAUGGGAAACAACAAAUGAAGAACAGAAGAGAAAGGAAACCGAAACAGAAACAGAAACAUAAACCUGAGCCCUGCAGACAGUUUCCUUAAAACAGAUUUACCACUCUUGGAGUGCUUUAGGUCAGCUGGUAUCUGUUUCCCAGAAUACAACGGGCACGAAUUUCCGGCUAAGCACAGGCUGAAAAUUCCGGCGAACCACAACAGCGAGCUCAAUCAGAGAAAACAGACGAUGAAGAUAGAGGAAGGAAAACAAGUGUGCUGGUUUUUUCAGUGUGCAAAAAACAGAAGAGGAGGUGCCUUUUUAUAGUCAUAUGAGGAUGUAACAGCUGCUUUGUAUUAGAUUUCCGAAUUCAAUAUGUUUUACUUAAUUGUUAUAACAACCAAAUCAAUUCAUUGAAUUGAUUUUAAAAUUGAAUUAAAAAAACAUGAAUUAUAUAACAGCUAAAAAUAAUUGUUGAAGCUGUUACAAAUCCUUUGAAUUCAAAACGUGAAUCUAUUACAAUAAAAAAAUUCAAAAGGAAAUUAAAAACGUGCCAAGCUUGCAUGGAUGAUUUUGGGCUGACAUUCGCGUACGCAGACGAGUUCAACCAAAUCGGUCUUGGACUUGCACCCCCCCUGCACACGCACGUGUGGAGAGAGCCUCUAUCCUUAUAAUUCUUGAACAAGCAUGGUUAAGUGUUUAUAUAUAAAUACUAAUCCCUAGGCUUCUUUUUCCCAUGUGGGAUAGGCCUCAUUUCCCUUCAAAUUUCCAACUUCAAAGGUGAACUUUGAGAGACAAUUUCUCAUUCACCCAAGCACCAUUUUGAGAAAAUAAGAUUAUACUUUUGAAGUAUCAAUGGAGUAGAAUCCGAACCUCACAAGAUUUUCCACUUUCGUUAAGUGGGACCCACUCAAAAUAUGCCCUCAAAAUAGCAUAUAUACAUGCUAUUUUCCACUUUCGUUAAGUGGGACCCACUCAAAAUGUGCCCUCAAAAUAGCAUAUAUACAUGCUAUUUUUUCAACACAUAUCUCUCUAUGUCACCUCCCUCCAUUUCACCAGAAAAUCAACAAACACUUAGCUUCAAAACAAACACUCUAAAAAAGCUAGCUAGUUGAUGGCAAAAUCAAGAAUUCUUGCAAUGGCAAUGUUGUUUCUUGUUAUGGCAGCAACAUUGAUGAACAUGGCAUCAAAGCAAAUGCUCUGAUGCUGUACACACGAUCACCUUUCUUUGACGUAAUGUUCCCAAUGACGGAAGAUCCUUUCAGGGUUCUUGGACAAACCCUGUUAACAAUCCCAAAAGGAGCUGAACAUCAUCAAACUCUAGCACUGGCGAGAGCAAACUGAAAUGAGACACCAACAUCACACGUGAUCACACUCGACAUUCCAAGGAUGAAGAAAGACGAUGCGAAGAUAGCAGUUGAAGAGAACAGGGUACUGAGGGUGAGUGGGGAGAGGAAGAGCGAUGAUUAUUAUAAGGAGGAAGUUGAAGGAGAAAAAUGGCACAGAGUUGAGAGACCAUUUGGCAAGGUUUGGAGGCAGUUCAGGAUGCCUAUGAGUGCUGACUUGGAUCAUGUUAAGGCUCAUUUGGAAAAUGGUGUUCUAAGGAUCACAGUGCCAAAACUUGUUGAGGAGAAGAAGAGGCCGCCUAAGGUUAUUAACAUUGAUGAAGAGCCUGGUAAUUCUUCCGAUGAAGAUGUUAAGGCCGCCAAGGCUCAAAUGUAAUUGAUUAAAGAAAGAAGUGUUUGAUUUGCUUGAUGUGCUAUUUGUUUUGUGAUCUUUUCUUGGUUUUGUUGUGGGAUGUUUUUCUUUGGAUGUUCUGUUUAUUGUAUUUUGAUGGAUUUUUAAAGAUGGCUUUUAUGUAUUAACAACAAUAAAGUGUUUUUUAUAAAUCCGGGUCCUAAAUUUGUAAAAGAAAUUAAUAAUACUCUUGGUUUAUUGUUAAUAAAAAUAAAAAAGAAGAAUCUUUUUCUUUAGCAUAUAUUAUGCAUUUUAAGGAAAAAAAAAAUUAUCACAUUCUAAUACAUAAAGAUAUUCCUCUUCUGUCAUAUUAAUGUGUUAAUACGAAGGUCUAUUGGAAUUAUAAUAGUUUAGAUGAAUCCAAAAUAUUCAAUAAUUGAUAAAUAGUAUAUUGACACACAGAAAAUGUGCGUGUGUAUGUAUAUAAAUGAGGUUUCAACAGCUGAGAAAGAGAUAGCCAUUAUACAUUACACAUUUGCACUCAAUAAGAAAUCAAUUCAUUAAUAUAGCCAUUAAUACGCCUGGUUUAUUGUUAAUGAAAAUUAAAAAAGAAAAAAAGUCUUUUCUUUGGCCUUUAUUAUGCAUUUUAAGAGGAAAAAAAAUUUAUCCCACUCCAAUUCAUGAAGAUAUUCUCUUUUCUGUCAUAUUGAUGUGUUAAUAUGAAGAUCCAUUGCAGUUGGUGAAUUCAAAUAUUCAGUAACUGAUGAAAUUGUAUUUAUAAAUUCAUACUAAUAGCAAUUGAAGAUUAUAAUUAAUUUUGUAAUAUGGUCUAGCCCUCCUGUGUUUAAUUAGCACUCAAAAACCACUUUACAAUAGGGCAUUAAAAGAACAUUAUAACGUCAUUGCUGAUGAGUUCUGGCGAAGACAUUAAGUUAAGGCCACAAAAAUCGAAAUGCACGUAGCUUCGUUUGUUUUUUAUUUUUGAUUCUCUUUGGGGGCAAAUGCUUGGCUUCGUUUGCUUUUUCGUUUUUGAUAUUUUAUUGGGCUUUAUUGUGUGGCAUCUUCUUGUUUUCUUUUGAUUUUCUGUUUUGGUUGUUAUGGGAUUUGAUGACGACGUACAUGUACGAAGAUUAUAUAAUAAAAUGUUUUUGAUAAAUUAUGGUCGGUUUAGAAUUAAUUAACUAAAUUUAAUUUACUUGAUCAAUUGAUAUUUGUAAGCAUUGUUGUUAUACAAACACAACAAAAGAAGAACAUUAAUGUACUAAUUAAUUACUAAUAAGAACAUUAAUAACUUUUGCCGAAGAAGAGAAAUAUUACACAUAUGUAACCGUGCAGCAUAUGUAACCGUGCAGCUAAAUAAAAGAAACUGAAGUUUAUUUCAACAGCUAAAGAAUGAGAUACGCAUAAGAAAUUAAUCCAUUAAUUAAUUAAUUAAUUCAUAGUCCCCCGCUGCUAAAAUAAAGCGAGCGUCUUACUCUACCUAACAUUUUUCCUUUUAUUAAUUUAAAAUAGUUUUCAACUGAGAUUUGAAUUUUAAAAUUACACGCUUGAUUUAGAAGAAAAAAAAGUCAAAUAUAUGUAACCGUACCGCGGAAAAGACAAAUAUAAGAAACUGAAGUUUCAACAGCUGAGAAUGAGAAAUUAAUUCAUUAAUUAAUUAAUAGAGUCCUCCUUUGCUAAAUAAUGCGAACCCAUUGUUCUUUUUAUUUCCAAAACCCAUUAAUCACCAACACAUAAUACACGCCCAAUUUAAAAAAAAAACUAAUAAUAAAAUAUUUCAGUCUUCCUUUGUUGAGUCGUCAUUAAAAACCCAUUUACCAGCUAUUCGAGCAUAAGGUAUAUGGGUUAACAAGUCCCAAUAUUGUCCUCCAUCCUUUCUGCACUUCUCUUCUAUCAACGGACAGCGAUAGAUUCUUAAUUGCAAAAGUGAGGAAGGCAGGCCCUUCUCCGGAAAGUAUUUGAGCUUGGGACAAUCAUAGAGUGUCAAUUUAGUGAGGUUUUGAAGAUCAACAAUUGAAGAAGAUAGGCUUUCCAGAUUUGGAAAAAAGGCAAUGCUCAGAGAUGUUAGAGAGGCAGGAAGAGGAAGCGUGGUCCCCAGUCUUCUGUCCUCUGGCUCUGGUGGAAAUGACACCAUGUCGUCAUCGCAUCCUCUGAUUAAAAGAUAUCGCAGAGAGGAGAAUCUGUGAAAUCCCCGGCCCCGCUCAAUCAUUGACUUCCAAAUCCCCAUAUUACCCUCAAUCCUCAGUGAAUGAAGGUUGGUGGGAAGGCCAUCUUCUUCAAGGCUUGGAAGCUCACCUCCUAUUAUUGUUAAUUGUUGAAGAGAGGUCAGAUUGUGCAAUCCCUUGGGUAAGGCCUCUAGUCUCUUACAAUCAUAUAUCUCCAGCCUCCUGAGUUUCGCACAAGGCAAUCCCCCUUUGGGAAAGGACUCCAGAUUUCCACAACCCCCAAUACCAAUCUGUUGAAGCUGGCACAGAUUAUGUAAACCACUCGAUAAAAUUUUCAGAUUUUCACAGUUAGAAAUGUUGAUUGUUUCAAGAGAUGUGUUGUUGUCCAACCUUUCUGCUAUUGACUGCAGCUUUGGACAUCCAUAAACAUCAAGUACCUUAACGGACGGAGGUAGAUUGCCAACUUCAAGGGACUCAAGCGUGGCAGGUAACUCGUUUUUUGAAAAUAUACAUGUCAGAGACGGACAACUGGAAAUUGCUAAGUUCUCAAGAAGAGAUGAGGUGUACCUUCUGCUGCUGCUACUCUGGAUGCCCUCUUCCACUGUCAAAGUCCUUAUUUUAUUGCACCUCUGGAUGUCCAACCUCUUAAGGCUCAGUGGUAGCUGGACUUCAGCAAUAUAUGUCAACGAAUGGCAAUCCCAAAUUUUCAAGAUCUCGAGAGAUGAACUAGUGUCGCACAUCCAUGGCUCUGGUAACGAUUUCAGUGCAUCACAUUCUCUAAUCUCAAUUUUCUUCAACUUGGAAGGCAGAGCAACCUCAGGAAAGGAAACAAGGGAACUGCACUUGUAGAUUUCUAUCUCUUUCAAGGAACUAAGGCUGAGAGAUGAUUGUGGCAGCUUCACAAGGCCUUCGCAAUAUCUCAAUCUUAGAUAUUCGAGUCUGCAUGACAACUCGCAGAGCUGCUGUUGUUGGUCUUUCUCUUCCUCCGCCACCAAGGAUUGAAGUUUGGGACACCCUCUUAUCUCCAGACUUUUGAGAGAGCAAAUGUCUUGUAGUAAUCCGUCAUGACUCUUCCAUAUAUAUGUUUGCUCUUUUGUCGACAAAAUUAAUUCUUCCAAUUUCGGUAGUUGUGGCUUCAACGGCCCCGCAAGAAACACUUGAUUUGAUGUAUCUCUACAAACCACUGAAUUCUGUGAUCCGAGAUGACCAGUUGCACUUUCCCACACAACCUUUUUGCAUCCACCAAUUAAGAAUUUGCAAAGAGUUGGAAGACUCAAAACUGAAACUAACAAUUCUUCACAUCCUUCAAUAACAAGCAUCUCUAAUACAGGAAGGUGUUCUGGAAAUGUUCCUCGCAGUUUAGGACAUUCUAAAAUGUGAAGCUCUCUCAAUUUAGGAAACCCUUCAACCCCUUGACCGGAUCCAUGAGAAAUCCAGACUUCCCAUUCUUGCAGGUCUUCAAAACGAAGAGUCUCCAAGCAUGGAAAUGGAAUUGGAGAGUCAUCCCCAUAGAACUCUGAACCCAAUCUCUUUACUCUACUCACUCCACGCACUGUAAGAUGCUUUAGAGAGGGCAGUUGCCCGACAGACGGCAGGGCAGUACACAUGCCGCAAUCUUCAAAUUCAAGUGUUACUAAAUUUGAGAAUAAGGAAUCUCCUAACCAUGUUGGAAAUUUUGUACCUCCAUAGCCACAGAUACCAAAUUGUUCCAGAUUUUUAUGGGGUUUGAGCAUGUCAAGCACACCCAUUUCAGUUUCUGCCUCCCUUGAAGAUGAACCAUCGGUACUGCGUGUCCAUCGAAGCAAUAAUUCUUUAAGAUUCUUCUUUCCAUCCAACCGAGCCUCCUUCGCAUUACCAACGUCUUUUACGUUCUCCAAUUUUGAAAUUUCAAGUGCCCCACGAAGAUGCAUCAACAACUUUAGCUCUGAUAACCCCGAACCACUGUCUUUUCCCACAACAAAAUUACACAACGUCUGAAGACAAGUCAACUUGCCAAUUCCUAGUGGCGUUUCCUCCAACGAAUCUGUAUUUGAAUUAUUGAGAUGAUGCAAUUUGAUGAGAUUUCCCAUGUCUGCACACAACUUCUUCAGCCGAUCACAAUCUUCCAACAAAAGACUAUGCAAAUUGUAAAGCUUGUUGACUGAUUCAGGCAGAGUUCUAAUAUUAGUUCCAGACAGGUUAAGGUACCUUCAAUACCUCAAAUCACCAACUGAAUCUGGUAGCUCGGAGAUGUGAUAUCCACGCAAAGAGAAGACCCUCAAGCGUUGGAGUUUGAGCAACUUAGGAAGAAUGCUAGGAGCCAAGUAGCCAGGCGAACUCUCUGUCAACAUUACUGGUAAAAAAGUUCUCAAAUGUUGGAUAUCAUACAAGUCCCCAAACCUUUUACCGCCAACAUAAUAUUCAGGAAUAUAUGACAGAUGACGAAGAUAUCGGGAAAAACUUUGUUGCUUGUUAACCUCAGAGGUAUACUCCAUUGUGAAGUAUAUUUCCCCUGCAGCCCAAUGCGCAAGGUCGUUGAUAAGAUCGUGCAUCACAAAUCGUGAUGCAUCGUUGCUUGAUUGCUGGAAAAAGGAUCUUGAAUGUAGCUCCUUAAAGAUUUCAAGACCUAAAUCUUCACCAGUUUUCUCACGCUCUUUGCGAUCCAAGAAGCCCGAGGCACACCAUAACAAAAUUAUCUCCCCCUCUUCAAAUUCAUAAUCCUUUGGAAACAAUGAGCAAUACGCAAAGCAUUGUUUCAAAGGUGCCGAAAGAUAAUAGUAGCUCACUCUAAGCGCCGGCAUAAUGUCACAUCUCUCUUCUUGCAAUUCCCAUAUCUUGGUACUGAGCACUCUCUCCCAAUCACAUCUGUCAUCUUUUCCUCGCAAAAGUCCUCCAAGUGUUUGCGCUGCCAAGGGCAAGCCAUCGCAUUUGGCCACUAUCUUCUUGCCAAUUUCCUCCAAUAAGUUAUCUGACCCCAAAGAAUGUUGAGCAAAUACAGCUAGACAAUCAUCAAUUGACAACUUUUUUAAUUGAUAAGCUGAGGCAGUUCCCAUGAUGUCUGCAACCUCUUGAUUACGAGUUGUGACAAUAAUCUUACUUCCCUUCGCUCCAGCUUCAAACGGACGGCUGAGGCGAACCCAAUCAUUGUAAUUCUCAUUCCAAACGUCGUCUAAAACAAGCAAAAAUUUCUUUUGAGAUAACUUCUUCUUCAGCUCCUCUUGAAGCAAAUUUAAAUCACUGUCAUCAAUAGUCUGCUUGGUAACGGAUCUUAGAAUUGUUUUUGUUAGCCCCUUAACGUCGAAAUCCUCAGAGACACAAGUCCAUGCCUUGAGAUCAAAAUGAUCCCGCACUUGCUUAUCAUUGUAGACAAGCUGAGCAAGAGUAGUUUUGCCCAGCCCGCCCAUACCUAUAAUAGGAAUAACUGCGAAUCCACCAUCGUUGCUUAAAUCAUCCCUCAACAGCAGUUCAACAACAUCCUUCUUUUCUGUUUCCCUGCCAUAUACUUUGGCUUCAGUCACUAAAGAGGUUGUCUCUAGCCUUUGACUGGCUUUUUUGGACCCUCCAGCUGAACUUUCUUUCAAAUCUAGCAAGUUUUUCUGUGUCACAAUUUCUUGAAAUCUGCUGUUGAUCUCUUUGAUUUUGGACAUCAAGCCAUAAUCGAACUGAAUCGAUUGUGGAGUAAAAGUGGUGCAGCAAGUAGGAAUGAGCUUCCGAAACUUACUUGUUCUUGUACGACUGCUACUGGGUUGAUCAUGAGCAGCAGCUGGUUCUCCAUUCCCAAGCAGCAACCUCCUCCGGAAAGCCUCAGUUUGAAACUCAUCCAACAAGUCUUCAACAUCGUAAGCCAAGUUCUGAAGCUUGCCAAGCCACUUCUUCACAAACUGAUUAGUCGUCUUCUUCUCCUCAGCAUCAUCAAGCACCGCCUUGAUCAUCUCCAACAUAUUCUCCCACUUCAUUAGAUCGUCUUGGAUCUUCUCUUGGCGUGCAAAAAACAGAAUCCCCUCUGAAGCUAACUUAUUGACCAGCAAAUCAACGGACGCCGUAAGGAUUGCCUCUCCGAUGAUCGACAUUUUUUUUUCUUUUUUUGGGCAAAGGAAGAAAGGAGCAGAAUUAUGGGUUAUGGAAAGCAGAAUGAGAAUAUUGAACGGGUGAGAAAAUGGAUAAUUAAGCGGAAUGAGUUUGUGAUUGUGAAGGGUCUGGUUCAGCAAGCUUAGUAGAAAUCACGCGUUUGUACUUUAUUGACCAAUGACUAAAUAAUUUGGCAAUGCACCCACCACCACCAGUUGGCGAGCAAAAUGAAAAAGUUUAAUAAGUGCAGGGGUCGAGCAAAAUACGACGUAAAAUGUGGCAAGUCUCCCCACUUGUUGUUCCUUGCAGCUAAGAAAAGAAAAAACAGAGCCCACCACCCAUUAAUAAUUUAGCAAUUCACCAAUCAUCACAAAAUUCCAUUAGAUAUUCGUCGAUCAAGUAGUUAAGUAUUUUUGCUAGAAUGAAUGCAACCAAGAUUCUAUGGGAUAUGUAUGAAGAUGAUGUAAUAAAGUGCUUUUGAUAUAUUCCCCUAGUCGGUUUACUUCACUAACCAUUAACGAGCAAAUCCUCCCAAUGACCCUCAAUACUCUUGUGCACAAUUAAAAUAAUUUCAAUUAUAUAUAUAUAUAAAUAAAAAAACUCUCAAAUAUAUUAUUUGAUAAUCACCAAAAAAAAAAAAAUUCACCCCAAUAAAUCACAUUACAGUCUAUGUUGCAAGUGUUUUUAGGACUAAUUCAAAGAGAAAAUGCGAAGGACAUGUAAUUGAAUUUGGGACACUGAAUAUAUUCCCAAUUACCCUUUAGUGUAAAUAGUUCCACUUCAGAUAUAUAUAAUGAUGAUGAAAUUUUGUUUUCUCAUAGCAAUCAUUCUAGUGUUUUACAAUGAGUAAUUGAUUCAAUAUUAACACAACACUAUUUUAACAUGUGACAUAUUCUAUCAUAGUGUGCUUCAACUCAGACUUCUAAGUUUCCAUUUUAGAACAAGUUAAAACAGUUCCAACUCAAAAUCAGUAGUGCGCAAUUGGGUUGUUAUAAAUAUUUCUAAAUUUUAGUCUAAUUUGAAUUAUUUAAUUGUGUUUGUACAAACUAGCUUUAUCACUUCUUUUAUAUUGAUACCCUUAAAUUUCAACCUUAUUUUAUGUUGAUGCACAAUCUAACUUAACAAAAAUAAUAUUCAAAUUGUCACAAUUUUUUUUUUUAAAAAAAAUAUACAAAGUUAAUUUUUCUUCUUCUUUACUCUAGGAUCCAGCUCCAUACCCCUCUUUUUUGUCGUUAUGCUACUCAGCCGUUAGAUUUUAAUUACGUUAAUCUAAUGGUUGGGAUUUGCAAAUGAAUAAUGAAGUGGUGUUCGGCUACUAUCCGAGGCCAUUGCAUCUAAUUGGUUUUGUGAUUUUUCACUUUCUUCCCUGUAACACUUGACUAGUUCUGGAAAUUGCUUUUUGGCAUGCUAAUUGUUGUGAAAAUUUUAAUAUACUCGCAAGCGCACGAAUCUAGAAAUAAAAUAGUGGUAACGAGGUCGAUCCCACAGGGAUUGGCACCCAUCACGCCUUUAGUUGUCGUGAAUAAAUCGAAAAUCAAAUUGAACUGGUUUUUACCGGGUAGCAACAAUCGUGACGUUUUGAGAUUAUAAUAUAUGACAACACUGAUUAGUGUUGUCUCCCAUGUGAAUUGAGACAAAAAUGAUUUUCCCAAUUGCGCUUUCAUUUGAACAAUUCCACUGUAGAUUUAUAAAAUAAUCACGAAAUUGUGUUUUAUAAUAAGUUACGAGUAAUUGGUUCAAUAUUAAUACAAAACUACUUUAAGUAACACGUGGCAUAUUCUAAUUCUAGCAAAGUUUCCAACUAAGAUUCCCAAAUCAAAAGAAUUUCAAUCUCCAGAACAUUCUACAAAAUGUUUCUUCUAGCCUCUACGUUGUGCUAGAAUUUUCUCUUGAGUUUUUUAGCAAAGACUUCUAAAGAACUAUCCAGAUAUCGAGCUAUAAUCCAGUCAAAGUGUAUAUAUUUCUCUAAUUCACCUCCCUCCAUUUCACCAGAAAACCAACAAACACUUAGCUUCAAACAAACACUUUCAAAUAGCUAGCUAGCUACCCAGAUGGCAAAAUCAAGAAUUCUUGCAAUGACAAUGUUGUUUCUUGUUGUGGCGGCAACAUUGAUGAACAUGGCAUCACAAGCAAAUGCUCUGAUGCCGUACACACGAUCACCUUUCUUUGACAUGAUGUUCCGAAUGACGAAAGAGCCUUUCAGGGUUCUUGAACAAACCCCUUUAACAAUCGCAAAAGGAGCUGAUCAUCAUCAAACUCUAGCCCUGGCGAGAGCAGACUAGAAGGAGAGUGGAUGGAGCCUUUACUUUCUAUUAUAUUUGUAAAGCGUGCCACAACACACGUGAUCACACUCGACAUUCUCGGAAUUAAGAAAGAUGAUGUGAAGAUUGAAGUUGAAUAGAACAGGGUAUUGAGAGUAAGUGGGCAGAGGAAGGCUGAUGAUUAUUAUAAGGAGAGGGUUGAAGGAGAGAAAUGGCACAGAGCUAAGAGAGCAUUUGGCAAGUUUUGGAGGCAGUUUAGGAUGCCAAUGAGUGCUUGACUUGGAUCAUAUUAAGGCUCACUGAGUGCCAAAGCUUGCUGAGGAGAUGAAGAGGCAGCCGAAGGCUAUUAACAUUGAUGAAGAGUCUGGUAAUUCUUCCAAUGAAGAUAUUAAGGCUACCAAGGCUCAAAUGUAAUUGAUUAAAGAAAGAAGUGAUUGCUUUGCUUGAUGUGCUAUUUGUUUAUGAUCUUUUUUUGGUUUUGUUGUGAGAUGUUUCUCUAUGGACGCUUUGUUUAAUGUAUUUUGAUGGGUUUUUUAGGAUGGCUUGUAUGUAUUGACAACAAUAAAGUGCUUUUUAUAAAUCCUAGUCCUACAACACUAAAAGAAAUUAAUACUCUUGGUUUAUAAUUAAUAAAAAUAUAUAUUUUUUUUAAAAGUCUUUUUCUUUGGCAUAUAGUAUGCGUUUUGAGGGGAAAAAAAUUUAUCCCACUCCUAAUUCGUCCUCUUCUGUGAUAUUAAUGUGUUAACACGAAGAUUCAUUGUAAUUGCAACAAUUUUGACGAAUCCAAACGUUCAAUAACUGUUAAAUUGUAUUUAUAAAUACUAAUAGCGAAGGUACAGAAACGAUUAAUUCAAGAAGUUGCUUAAAGUGCAUUAAAUUAGGGAGUAUAAAUAAUUGUGUGAUACAGUCCAGCCUUCAUCUGCUUAUAAUUAGCAACCAAAAACCACUUUGCAACACCAUUAAAAAAACAUUUUAACAUUAUUGCUGAGGGAAGAGGCAACUUAGGCUUAUUAACUCGUAUUAUUAAUGCUGAUGACGCAGCUGGUAAUCCUUUUGGUGAAUAUAUUAAGGCAGCUGAAGCUUAAAAUUAAUUAAGCCCACUAAAGCUUAAAACUAAUUCUUCUAGUGACGAUGCUUUGCUUAGUUCGCUUUUUGUUUUUAAUUUUUUUGGGGCUAACGUUUUGCUUAUUUUGCUUUUAAAAUUCUAUUGGCGUUGCUGUGGAAUAUUGUUUCUCCUUCGAUUUUCUGUUUUUGUUGUUAUCGGAUUUGAUGAUGGUUUAUAUGUACGAAGAUUAUGUAAUAAAGUGCUUUUGUAACAAUAUAUAUAUAUAUAUAUAUAUAGAUGUUUCAACAGCUAAGAAAGAGAUAGCCAUUAUACAUUACACAUUUGUACUCAAUAAGAAAUCAAUUCAUUAAUAUAGCCAUUAAUACGCCUGGUUUAUUGUUAAUGAAAAUUAAAAAAGAAAAAAAAAUCUUUUUCUUUGGCCUUUAGUAUGCAUUUUAAGAGGAAAAAAAAUUUAUCCCACUUCAAUUCAUGAAGAUAUUUUCAUUUCUGUCAUAUUGAUGUGUUAAUAUGAAGAUCCAUUGCAGUUGGUGAAUUCAAAUAUUCAGUAACUGAUGAAAUUAUAUUUAUAAAUUCAUACUAAUAACGAUUGAAGAUUAUAAUUAAUUUUUUAAUAUGGUCCAGCCCUCGUGUGUUUAAUUAGCUCUCAAAAACCACUAAGGUAAAGGCAAAAUCAUGAUAAAUUGUGGUCGGUUUAAUUUACUUGAUCAAUUGAUAUUGGGUAGCAUUGUUCUUAUACAAACACAAUAAAAGAAGAACACUAACGUACUAAUUAAUUACAAAUAAGAACAUUAACAAUUUUGCCGAAGUCUGAUGAAGAGAAAUAUUACACAUAUGUAACCGUACAACUAAAUAAAAGAAACUGAAGUUUAUUUCAACAGCUAAGAAUGAGAUACGCAUAAGAAAUUAAUCUAUUAAUUAAUUAAUUAAUUCAUACAAUUUUCAACUGAGAUUUGAAUUUUAAAAUUACAUACACAAACACACCUGAUUUAAAAGAAAAAAAUUUUAAUAAUAAAAUAUUUUACGUAUGUAACCAUACCGCGGAAAGAACAAAUGUAAGAAACUGAAGUUUCAACAGUUGAGAAUGAGAUAGGCAUAAGAAAUUAAUUAAUUAAUUAAUAGAGUCCUCCUCCUUUGCUAAAUAAUGCGAGCCCAUUGUUCCUUUUAUUUCGAAAACCCAUUAAUCAUCAACACAUACACGCCCAAUUUUAAAAAAAAAAAAUAAUAAUAAUAAAAUAUUUAAGUCGUCCUCUGUUCAAUAAUCAAAAACCCAUUUAAAAUCUAUUUUAACUUUAGGUAUAUGGGUUAACAAGUCCCAAUAUUGUCCUCCAUCUUUUCUGCACUUCUCUGCUAUCAACGGACAUCCCCCGAUGUAUAAUUGCAAAAGUGAGGAAGGCAGGCCCUUCUCCGGAAAGUAUUUGAGCUUGGGACAAUCCUCGAGUUCCAAGUGAGUGAGGUUUUGAAGAUCAACAAUUGAAGAAGAUAGGCGUUCCAGAUUUGGAAAAUUACCAAUCAUCAGGGAUGCUAGACAGGCAGGAAGAGGAAGCGUGGUCCUCAAUCUUAUGUCCUCCGGUGGGAAUGACACCAUGUCGUCAUCGCAUCCGCUGAUUGUAAGUUGUCGCAGAGAGGAGAAUCUGUGGAAUCCCCGACCCCACUCAAUCGUUGACUUCCAAAUCUUCUUAUUAUCAAUAAUCUCCAGCCUAUGAAGGUUGGUGGGAAGGCCAUCAUCUUCUUCAAGGCUUGGAAGCUCACCUCCUUCUCCUAUUGUUAAUUGUUGAAGAGAGGUCAGAUUGUGCAAUCCCUUGGGUAAGACCUGUAGUCUCUUACAAUAAGAUAUCUCUAGCCUCGUGAGUUUCGCACAAGGCAAUCCCCCUUGGGGAAAGGACACCAGAUUUUCACAUUCCCAUAUCCCUAUCUCUUGAAGCUGGCGGAGAUUAUGUAAACCACUCGGUAAAAUUUUCAGAUUUUCACACUCAGAAAUACUGAUUGUUUCAAGAGAUGUGUUGUUGUCCAACCUUUCUGCUAUUGACUCCAGCUCUGAACAACUCCAAACAUCAAGGGACUUAAGAGACGGAGGUAGAUUGCCAACUUCAAGGGACUCAAGCGUGGCAGGUAACUCGUUUUUUGAAAAUAUACACGUCAGUGACGGACACCUGCUAAUAUGCAAGCCCUCGAGAAGAGAUGAGGUGUACCUUCUGCUGCUGCUGCUGCUCUGGAUGCCCUCUUCCACCGUCAAAGUCCUUAUAUUAUCGCAAUGGCGGAUCUCCAACCACUUAAGGCUCGGUGGUAGUUGGACUCCAGCAAUAUAUGUCAACGAAUUGCAAAUCCAAAUCUCCAAGAUCUCGAGAGAUGAAUUGGUGUCGCACAUCCAUGCCUCUGGUAACGAUUUCAGUGCAUCACAUUCUCUAAUCUCAAUUUUCUUCAACUUGGAAGGCAGAGCAACCUCAGGAAAGGAAACAAGGGAACUGCAGCCGUAGAUUUCUAUCUCUCUCAAGGAGCUGAGGCUGAGAGGUGAUUGUGGCAGCUUCACAAGGUCUUGGCAAUCUCUCAAAUCUAUAUAUUCGAGUAUGCACGACAACUGGCAGAGCUGCUGUUGUUGGUCUUUCUCUUCCUCCGCCACCAAGGAUUGAAGUUUGGGACAACUUGUAAUCGUCAGUCUUUUGAGAGAGCAAAUGUCUUGCAGCAAUUCGUUAUGACUCUUCCAUAUAUAUGUCUGCUCUUUCAUAUCAUUUAUCUCCAAUUCUUCCAAUUUUGGUAUUCGCGGCUUCAAUGGCCCUGCGAGAAACACUUGAUUUGAUGUAUCUCUACAAACUACUGAAUUCUGCGAUCCGAGAUGACCAGUUGCACUUUCCCACACAAUCUUUUUGCAUCCACCAAUUAUGAAUUUGCAAAGAGAUGGAAGACUCGAAACUGAAACUAACAAUUCUUCACAUCCUUCAAUAACAAGCAUCUCCAAUGCAGGAAGGUGCUCUGGAAAUGUUCCUUUCAGUUUAGAACAUCUUAAAAUGUGAAGCUCUCUCAAUUUAGGAAACCGUUCAACUCCCUGACUGAAUCCAUGAGGAAUCCAGUCUUCCCAUCCUUGCAUGUCUUCAAAAUGAAGCGUCUCCAAGCAUGGAAAAGGAAUUGGAGUAUCAUUCCCAUAGAACUCUGAACCCAACCUCUUUACACUAGUCAUUCCACAUACUGCAAGAUGCUUUAGAGAGGGUAGUUGGCCGACUGACGGCAGGGUAGGACACAUGCCACAAUAUUCAAAUUUUAAGGUCACCAACUUUAAGAAUGAGGAAUCUCCGAACCAAGUUGGAAAUUUUGCGCCUCCAUAGCCGCUGAUACAAAAUUGUUCCAGAUUUUUAUGGGGUUCUAGCAUGUCAAGCACGUCCUUUUCAGUUUCCGCCUCCCUUGAAGACGAGCCAUCGGUACUGUUUGUCCACCGAAGCAUUAACACUUUAAGGUUCUUCUUUCCAUCCAAUUGAGCCUCCUUUGCAUCACCAACGUCUUUUACGUUCUCCAAUUUUGAAAUGCAAAGUGUCCCACGAAGGUGCGUCAACAACUUUAGCUCUCGUAACCCGGAACCACUGUCUUUUCCUACAACAAAAUUACACAACGUCUGAAGACAAGUCAACUUGCCAAUUCCUAGUGGCAUUUCCUCCAACGACUUCGUAUUUGAAUUCUUAAGAUGAUGCAAUUUGGCGAGGUUUCCCAUGUCUGCACACAACUUCUUCAGCCGAUCACAAUCUUCCAACAAAAGACUAUGCAAAUUGUAAAGCUUGUUGACUGAUUCAGGCAGAGUUCUAAUCUCAGUUCCAGACAGGUUAAGGUACCUUAAAUACCUCAAAGCACCAAUUGAAUCCGGCAGCUCAGGGAUGCGGUAUCCACGCAAAGAGAAGACCCUCAAGCGUUGGAGUUUGAGCAACUUAGGAAGAAUGCUAGGAGCCAAGUAUCCAGACAGUGAGCUAUUUGACAGCAUUACGGGUAAAAAUGUUCGCAAAUGUUGGAUAUCGUACAAGUCCUCAAACCUUUUAACACCAUCGUAAUCUCCACGAAUAUACGACAGAUGACGAAGAUUUCUUGAAAAACUUUGUUGCUUGUCAACCUCUGAGAUAUACUCCAUUCUGAAGUACAUUUCCCCAGCAGCCCAUUGAGCAAGGUCAUUGACGAGGUCGUGCAUCACAAAUCGUGAUAUACUGUUGCUUGAUUGCUGGAAAAAAGAUCUUGCACGUAGUUCUCGAAAGAACUUUCGACCUAGAUCUUCACUAGGAUUCCCGCUCUCUCCGUGAUCCAAGAGACCCACAGCACACCAUAAUAAAAUUAUCUCCUCCUCUUCAAAUUCAUAAUCCUUUGGAAACAAUGAGCAGUAUGCAAAGCAUUGUUUCAAAGGUGCCGAAAGAUAAUAGUAGCUCACUCUAAGCGCAGGUAUAAUGUCACAUCUCUCUUCUGGUAAAUCCCAUAUCUUGCAACUGAGCACAUCUUCCCAAUCACUUCGGUCACGUUUACCACGUAAGAGUCCACCAAGAGUUUUCGCAGCUAAGGGCAAGCCGUUGCAUUUGAUCACUAUAUUCUUGCCAAUGUCCUCCAAUGACUUAUGUGAACUGAAAUCUGUUGUCCCCAAAGAGUGCUGAGCGAACACAGACAGACAGUCCUCAGUUGACAAGCUUUUGAGUUCAUAAGCUUGAUCCAGGCUCAUGAUUUUGGCAACCUCUUCAUUGCGAGUGGUGACAACAAUCUUACUUCCCUGUGCGCCAGCUUGAAAUGAAAGGCUGAGGUGAACCCAAUCAGUGUAAUUCUCAUUCCAAACGUCAUCUAAAACAAGCAAAAAUUUCUUUCCAAAUAGUUGUUUCUUUAGCUCCUCUUGAAGCUUAUUCAAGUCGUGAUUAUCCACAUUCUGGCCAGGAGCAAUGGAAAUUAGGAUUGAUUUUGUAAGCCUGCUAACAUCAAAAUCAUCGGAGACGCAAGUCCAUGCCUUGAGAUUAAAAUGAUCCUCCACCUGCUUAUCAUUGUAGACAAGCUGAGCAAGAGUGGUUUUACCCAGCCCGCCCAUACCUAUAAUAGGAAUAACAGAGAAUCCACCAUCCUUUCUUGAAUCAUCCUUCAACAACAAUUCAACAAUUUCCUUCUUUUCUGUUUCCCUGCCAUAUACUUUGGCUUCCUCCACCAAAGAGGUUGUCUCUUGCCUUUGCCUGGCUUUUUUGGAUCCCCCAGCUGAACUUUUUAUCAAAUUCAGCGAGCCUAUUCUUUCUUCAAUAUCUUGAAAUCUAUCGUUGAUUUCUUUGAUUUUGGACAUCAUGGCGUAAUCGAACUGAAUCGAUUGUGGAGUAAAAGUGGUGCAGCAAGUAGGAAUGAGCUUCCGAAACUUACUUUUCGUGCUUGUACGACUGCUGCUGGGUUGAUCAUGAGCAGCAGCUGGUUCUCCAUUUCCAAGCAGCAACUUCCUCCGGAAAGCCUCAGUUUGGAACUCAUCCAACAAGUCUUCAACGUCAUAAGCCAAGUUCUGAAGCUCGCCAAGCCACAACUUCACAGAAUCAUCAGUCGUCUUCUUCUGCUCAGCAUCAUCAAGCACCGCCUUGAUCGUCACCAACUUCUUCUUCCACUUCACUAGAUCGUCUUUGAUUCGACCUUGGCGUUCAAAUAAACGAAGCCCCUCCGAAGAUAACUUAUUGACCAGCAUCUCAACGGACGCCUUCAGGAUUGCCUCUCCGAUGAUCGACAUAUAUUUUUUUUUUUUUGGGACAAAGAAUGAAACCAGAUUAUGAGCUUGUGGAAAGCAGAAUGAGAAAAGUGAAUAAGCAGCGUGAGUUUGUGAUUGUGUCUAGCAAGCCUAGAAAUCAAGAAAAACCCACCGUAAAAGUGAAAAGUAAAACGGAGCCAACCACAAAUAUAAAAUCAGAGGAUCACAGAAAUUAAAAAAAAAAAUCAAACACGUAAUGAUUUGUAAAGUUAUUAGCGAUUUGUAAAAAUCAAACAUGCGUCUUCUUCCUCUGAGUGUUUUUUUUUUUUUUUAACUUUAUUAAUUAAUUAGUGAAGUAAAUUUGUAAAGAUCACGGGCAUCAAAUUAUUGGGAGGUAUUAAUUGCGCUUAGUAUUUACAAUUUUUUGUAAAACUUUUUAAUUUCGUUGAAAAUGUAUCGUUAUUAAGUUAUUAUUGAUUUCACUCUCUUUUACUUUUUGACGUUGCGAAAAAGACAGUAAAAAACUUGCUAAAUGUCAUCAAAUACUUGUAUCUCAUCUCACAAAUUAGCAAUAUUUGUUUGGUAUUUCAUCUCAACGGGACGAAGGAACGAUAGAAAACGCGUUCCCUCAUCAAAAUUUUCUUUCGUGAGACCGAUAAUAAAUAAUAAAAUAUUCUUUUAUGGGAUCGAUUAUAAAUAGUAAAUUAAAGAAGGGUCGACAGAAAACGCGUUCCCUCAUCUAAUUUUUCUUUUGUGGGACCGAUAACAAAUAAUACAAUAUUCUUUUGUGGGACCGACUACAAGUACUAACAUAAAGAAUAAAAAAAUGAAAAAAAGGAUAGUGAAAUAACUCAACGGAGAAGUCUAUAAAUGCUUUUGUUUGGUAGCUGGCUAAAGCAGAAUCUGUAAGUUGCAGAGUCAAGUUACACUUAGCCUGCUCCAUAACUCUAAUGUGAAACAAAAAAAGUCCUGCCACCAAUAAUUCAGCAAGCUUCACUUUAUUACACGAAGGUGAAAGCAAAAAGCCAAAAACAGCCCCCACCACCAUCAAUAAUUUAGCAAGCUUCACGCGCUUGUGCUUGUCUUGUCUGCUUGACGAACUGGACAUGGGUGGACCAAGCAUCCAUUGAAUAACUGGAAAAAGUAAAAAAUAAAAAACAGUGUCCCGCAAAAAGAAUCCAUCUUUAUGUGUUGAUAUGCACAUCUACCGAACAUCUACAAAAUGGAAGUAGAAAUUGAAACUUACGUUUUUUAGUUAUGGCUCAUAUAUAAUACAAGUAUCAAUAUUUAAGUAGAAUAGAGUUCACAUAUACACAUGCGUCUAGUUUUAAGUUUUAACCGAGAGAUAAAUUAAUCAUUAAUACUCAGGUGUUUCUAAAUAAUUGAAUAAUGAUAUUAUACGAACCUUCCCUUUACAAGUCUUCAAACUCAUAAACCAAGUUAAAAUAAAAUUAAAAAAAACGUUUCUCUCUCUCUCUCCUUUUGCUAUAUGAUUACUUUAUUUAUUGAAUUAAUUUCCAUGCUAUAUCAAAGACUUAAAAGUACACUAUAAUUUUUUAUAAUCAUAAUGGUAAUUUCUAUCAUCAUAUUAAAUUAUUGUCGUGUCAAAAUAAAUUAUAACAAAAUUUUAGCUGAACAUAAGUUCGACUCAUUUAUUAAAUAUAUAUACUUAAUAAAAUAAUAAGACGAUUAAUAUGUUAUCAGUGAUAUAGACCCAACUGAAAUAACUCUAAUGUGAAAACAAAAAAAAUCCCGCCACCGAUAAUUGAGCAAAUUAACUUCACUUUAUUACACGAAAGUGGAAGCAAAAGCCAGAGGCAGUCCCCACCACCAUCGAUAAUUGUGCUUGUCUUGUCUGCUUGACGAACUGGACAUGGGGGGGGGGGGGGGGGGGGGGGGACCAACCAUCCAUUGAAUAACUGGAAAAAGUAGAAAAUAAAAAAAUCAGUGUCCAGCAAAAAGAAUCUACCUUUAGGUGUUGCUUCCUAUUCAGUACAUGCAUAGAUAAUGUACAUCGACCUGGAAUUAAAAAAAUGGAAGUAGAAAUUAAAACUUACUUUUUUAGAUAUGGCUCAUAUAUAUUACAAGUAUCAAGAUUUGAUUAGAGUUCACAUAUUUACAAUGUGCCUAGUUUUAAUUGAGAGACAAACUAAUCAUUAAUAAUCAGGUUUUUCUAAAUGAUUAAAUAAUGAUAUUAAUUAUUGAUAUUUAAAAAAUUUGUAAGAAGUAUAACUAAUAUGUUGGGAUAUGUAUUUGUGUAGAAUGGCAAAUAUAAAGAAUAGCAAUAAAAAUAGUGGAACUUUAAUAUGAUGAAAAAAGGUAAACUGUAGAAAAUUAAUAUAUAAUUCAAGGUACGUUACAAAUAUCACUUUCCUUCAGACAUUAUUUACCCCACCAAUUGAGUGAAUGCACAUGAGUUAAGCAAAUAUGUCUCUAGGAUAUAAUGAAACGCUUCUUUGUUUGCUUGUAUUGUGCAUCGACAAAAGUAAAUCUGAAUAUUCCUUAAUGUUGCAAGCUUGCCACGAAUUAAUAUAUUGUUAUUGUAAAAAAAUAAAAAAAAUAAUGUAUUGGAUAUUUGAUGCAUAAAAGAAAUAGAUAUUAUUAGAUGAAAUUCAUUUUGAGAAAUAGGGCUACAAAAAGAGUGGUGUAAUGUCGUUUUAUUAAUGUCUAAAUGGCAUAAAUAUGACAUCUAUUUACAAAUAUAUUUAUGCUCUUUUAUUUAAGUUAUCGUCUUUAGUAAUGCCCUUGAUUCAUAUCCAUUAGAUCAAGCAACCUAAUCCCCACUAAAACUAACUUAUUGAACAGUAACUCAACGGAUGCUGUAAAGAUUGCUCUUGGAUGAUUGACAUUUUUUUUAAAAAAAAUUUGGGCAAAGAAAGAAACUGAAUUAUGAGUUUAUGGAAAUUAAAGCAAAUGAGAAAGUGAAUUAGCACAAUGAGUUUGUGAUUGCGAAGGAACCAGCAAAUCAAAAAACAAUUAAGCAAGAGAAAAGGACAAUGAACACUUUAAUAUUCUAGAAAAGGGAUAUGAAACCUCUAAACAUUUUAAAAAAGAUAUAUAAUCUCCUUUUUAUUAGUAAAAUCUGUUUAUUUCAGUAGUAACAUAAUCUUUAAUUUACAUUUACUAUCAUGUCCCUAUAAUAAAUAAAUUAAUAUAUUUAAUUUAAAAGAGUGAGCCCUCCAAUUUUACUUCCCAUUUGCUCAAUUGCCUUUCAUUCAUAUACAAGCAUGUUUAACAUCUCAUUUUGCCUAAUUUGCCUUGGAAGAAAAUAAAUUUGAUUUUAUUUUUAUCUAUUAUUCAUCAUUUUUUAUCAUCUUAACAUUGGGAAGGAUAUAUUCAUAAUUUAAAGUGAAUAAUUUGGAUAAAAGAUAAUUAUAUCUUAAUUUUAAGUUUUAAAUAAAAAGUUGUUGGUUUUAUUAUACAUGUCAUUGAUGACAUGUCUUAAAUUAAUAUAUUUAUUUAUUUAUUAUCGGGAUAUAAUAAUAAUUAUAAAUUAAAAAUAAAUUUAUUAUUAAAAUAAAUGGAAUUUAUUAACAAAAAUAGGAAUUAUAUAUCUUUUUUAAAAUAUUAAAACAUUAUUUUUUUUUAGGGUAUCACUAUCCAUUUCCCAUUAAGCAAAACAAAAGUGAAAAGAAAAAUCAGAGCCCACUAUAAAUAUAAAAUUAGUGGAGCUCAUGAUGAUGCAUUUGCUUUACAUACUAAAUUAAAUAAAAGCCGAACCAAGAAUCUUUGCCUUAGCUUAACAUGAUUAAUUAGGCACUACUUCAUAGAAAACGCGAAAGCAAUGAACCCUUUUUUUAAUCUUAAAUGUCAUGAAUAUAAUUCUUCUGCGUUAAUUAAUCAUUCUUCUCUGACCGUCUCUUCAGGUUCAUUUCAAAAGUUUGAAGAUAGUUUAUCAAUUCUUCUACUUAUAAAAGCAAGUUAAAUUAAAAGAUUUUAAUCUCUCUUCUUAUUACUAUAAGUGCACUGUGCACGACAUUUUUUUACAAUAAACAAUGCCAAUUUGUAAUGUAAUGUUAUAUUCAUAUUCCCAUCGCGUCGAACUCUUUUUUUCCCUCUUUUUUAAAAGGAGACGGUGCGGUUUGGUUGUUCGCAAAAUUAGUGGUGUGGGGCUCUAUUUGCUUUUGUUUUCACUUUAUUAAUUAACUAGCGAAGCAAACAUGUAAUCAUUUGUAAAGGAGUCACUAGCACCGGAUUAUGUAAGAUGAAUUCGUAAGACUUAUUAAUUUCAAUUGAAAAUGUAGCGUUAUUAGGUUAUUAAUUCACUAAGUUAACUUGAGGUUCUAAUAUUUACUAAUUGUGGUGAUUAAUUUAUUUAACUUGUCAUAAUUUUCAUUUGAGAAUGAAAUUCAAUCAAUGUAUGAAAAAAGAUAAUUUUUUAAAAUUUUUAAUUCCUAUGAUUUGAUUUCACUUUUUUCCGGAUAUUGACGCUGUAAAAGCUUGCCCAAUGUCAUCAAAUGCUUGUAUCCCAUCUCACAAAUUAGCAAAUAUCAUUUGGUUUCUUUAUACGUGGCCAUCACAAAUUAAAAGUAACAACAUCCACCAUAUAUCGAAAAUUAAUUUUGAGAAUACUUUUGACUUUUAAAAGAAAAAUGCGAGUACAAUUUAAUAAGAGAGAACAAGAAUUGAUCAUGUCCCAAGAGACUGAAAAUAAGAUUAUAUAAACUUGAAUGCAGGCAUAUCAUAUGUUAAUCUUAAUUUUUUUUUGUUGCUGAAAAUUAAUUAAUUUGUUCCACUAUUCCUUUUUUAAUUGUAUGGUGAGAAACACAUUGGCCACUUCUGAAUCAUGUUGCAUAUUUGUUAACUCAAAGAAACAGUACACUUUUGUAUCAAUCAAACUCACUUUGUUAAUAUUCUUCAUUAUUAUGGUUAAUGGCUUAGCAAAUGUAGAAGGAGGAGUCAACCAAAAUGUAGCACUUUCUCUUGUAUUAACCUUUUAUUAAUUGUUGAAGUUAAAAAAAAUGUUAAAACAAGUUAAAAUAGUUCCAUCUCAAAAUCAGUAGGGUGUAAGUAGGUUGUUAUAAAUAUUUUUAAAUUUUAGUCUAAUUUAAUUGUGUGAUGCACAAACUUUCUCACUUCUUUCAUAUAAAUAAAGGGGAGAACUAUUUGAACUCAUUAAAUCACUUUUUAAAUUCCUCUACUUAUUAAGGCCAUCAUAAAAAUUCAAAAAUCCUUUUUAUACUCACUACAUCUCUUAAAAAUAUCGCAAAUAUGACACAUUUGUCUUCACCUUCUAUUUAUCUUCAACAUUCACAAUUUUUAUUUGAAUCUGUAAUAUGUUUAACACUGUUCAUUCACUCAUUAGAGUUCCAAUAAUAGAAUAUAGAGAUUAAAAAUAUCAUUAGCAAAUUAUUUGUUUGUGUUCUAUAUGAUAUUCUUGGUUUGGAAAAAGCUUCAUCGGCAAUAUAUGUAAAUAAAAGACUAAGAACUUCCAAUAAUUCAGAUUUGAUCGAAACUUCACAAACUUAUUUUCACUUAAAAAAAUAAAAUAAAGUAAAAGAAAUUCUCGUGUUUUAAAAGAAAAACUGCCAGACAUGUUUCUAAAACAACUAGAAACCAAACUAGGCUUGAAGCAGUGAGUUUUGAAUUAUAAAAAAUACAUAAUUGUAAUUUCACCUAAAUCAAAUGAUGAAUUUCAUGACAACGGAUUUAGACUAUAGACCAAUACACAAAGAAUUGGAUGUUCAUCGCAUUUGUUCUUGAAAUUGUUUUGCGCAAAAAAGUUAACUAUUGUAUUAUGUUGUAUUGCAUUAUUUUAAUAUAAGUGUAUUAUAUUAUGCUGUAUUGCAUUAACACUGUAUUAUAUUAAUACUAUACAACGUUUGGUUCUACAUUGUACUAUAUUAAUUUUUAAUUAUACAUACACUAUAUUAUGCUAUACUAUAUUAUUUUUUUGGUGGUUAAUUUCAAUUAUAUGUUUGGAAAUAAUAUUUAUUAGUACUUAGCAAAAUAUAAAAUAUAGAACCUUAAAUUUUAGAAUAUUUACAUCAAUUUUUUUUAGUAUAAAUGUAAAUAAUUAUAAUAAUUCUUCAUUAAACUUAUGUAAAAAUAACAAAUUCUGAAUUUUUGCUAUCGUAACAUUUUUUUUUUAACGGCGUUUUUCAAAUGUAUACCUUAUUGAUGAUGCACCAUAAAAAUAAAUAUCAAAUUUUGCGAUCAUGAUCAAGUCGAGUUUUACAUUAUGAAAGCAUGACACAAAAAUUGAAAAAAAUAAUGGCCGGCAAAAAGUUAUACAAGCAACAACAAAAGUGCUAAUUACUCGGAAAAUAAACAAUCAAGAGCCGCUGAUAGAUAUGAGUCAUAUGACAAGGUAGAGGAAUACAGAUAUCUGCAUACAUUUUUAACAAAGAUCAUCUUUGUAACCAAUUGUUGGCUUUGGCAUUAAAAGAUCAUCUUUGUAACCAACUGGGUAGCUAUAAAAUGAAUACUAAGUCAAUCAAACGGGAAAGCUUGCUACAAGACUUUGAAGCAUUAUUCUGUUGCAUCACCUUCCUCCUCUGCCUCACUUCCUGCAUCCCAAAUUAAAGAACAACAAAUAUUAAAUAACAAAAACAAAAUCUUCAAUAGACUUUUCAUACUCCAUGGAGCAAAUCUAUGGGAAUCCACAAAAUAAUUGAAAUAUAUCAAUGCUGCAGGUCAUAGUAACAAAUUACAGAUACACAAUCAUGCAUAUGCAACUAAAAAAUGCUUAUUUAUUACAGCCGCUUUUUGGCAUGACUACUUCAUAAGUUAUAUAUGAUAGAUAACAUUAUUAUUCUAAUCACAUGGUUAUGAUUUUAGUUGGACAUACAAAAGCUACGUGCAUGAAUCUGUAUCAUGCCACCUUUCAUGAGUCAAAAAUUUAAAUCAAAUCAAUUUGGUUGAGCCUUCAAAUUCCUAUUCCAGUCAAAGGAGAUGAUUUUUCCAAAGGUAAAGAAUGAGUCCGGUUACUUAAGCAUGUCAACCUUUUUUCUAGGCUAAGGUUUAUCCCUUUCCAUUUCACUAACUCUCCUCUCACUACCUUGCGUCAACAUUUGCAUACUUGAUAUACUUUCACAACCUUAAUCUAAUACUUUCAUUUAUGCUGAUAUAAAGAAGAAGUUUGAUUUAAAUCUGGACAGGUAACAAGAUUAAAAAACUGCCUUGUAGUAGAGCCAAUUCUUCCAACAAACAUUUCUUGAACCAAUAUCUAAGAUUAAGCUGGAUCACGUAAGACAAAUAUGCCAAGAAGAUUUUUAACUCACCUGACACUAUGGAUCUCCAAAUGUACUCAAUUAGCUUAGGUAAGCCAUACUUCUUCUCAAUUAUGAGCCCAGUAAAUAGGACCCGAAAAACUUGCAUUCCUCUGCUGACAUUCAUUUCAGUGUUGCAAGAAUUACAGAUUCCAUGACCAUGGACUGAAGUUCUUUUGUUAAGACAGGCGCAAGAGAGUACGCCCCUAUCCCACUAGUAUUUGGCCCGGUGUCACCAUCACCAACUUGUUUAUGGUCCUGACAAGACAUUAGAGGUAUGGGCGUAUGGCAUUCUCCCCAUCCACGAAGUCCUUUAGAACCAAAAGCAUUGUUUACAAGCAUCGAAUCAACAACUUCUAUGAAUCAUCCAAUGUCAUAGUUAGAGCUGGUAAAAUUUGACACGAUCCAAUUAUUCGACACGAACACGACACUAAUAAAUGGGUAUGGGUCGUCAAAUUUAACACGAUUAUUAAAUCGGUCGGGUCCGGGUCAACACGAUUUUUUUCCGUGUCGGGUUAGGGUUAAAAUUCUUGACCCAUUUACCCGAUCAAUGACUCGAUUAUAUUUUUUAUUUUAAAAUAAUUUAUAGAUUCUUGUCAUCAAAACUUAAAUAUUAGAGAAUUUUUUUUUAUUCUUUAAAAAGAUGAAUAUAGACACAAUAUUUUAUUUAUAAAAUUUUAAAUAUAUUUAGAGCUUUAAUAAUGUAAAUGUAUAAAAUAUUGGUAGAUACGUAUAUUUUAUAAUAUUGAUAUAUAAUAUUAUUUACAUAUAUAUAAUUAAAACCUCAAUAAUGUGUGUAAUAUUUUAGUAGAUAUGAAAAUUUUAUAAUACUGAUAAAUUAUGUAUGUAUGGAUGGAUGUUGAGACAAGCUAGAGAAGCCAUGAAUGAGAUUUUUCCUUUGACUCCUGCUAUGUGGCAAGAAUUUGCGAGAGAUGAAGCCUCUAUUUCAACCGGGUAUCUGUCAUUUCCUUUUUACAGUGGUUUUUGAUUUUGUGAACAAAUACUUUUUUUUUCGCUUAGAGAUAUAGAUGUUUAUGUUAGUUAUUUGCUAAUGUAAAAAGGAACAAAAACUGCUUAAAAGGUAUUAAAGAAAGAAAAAAGGAACCAAUUUGAAGAAGGGGAUACUCAUAGCGGGAGUUCUGCUUUGGGGUUUAAUUGAUGGGAAGAAGAAAUAGUUUAUAUGUUUACAGAAUUAAACAAUUGAUCACUGAGUUAGUUGAGGAAGAUAAUUAAUCACAAUGUCUGAAGCUGUUGCUGUUGGCGUCACCUAUUGUUAAGAUUUCAUCCUUUUUUAUGGUUUUACAUAGCUGUGACCUAAAGCUUAAUGUAUACGUUGAUAAUUACAUAAUUGGUUUCUUGCUGAUACUUGGCUUUAAUUUGUAAGCCUGAGGCUCUUUCGGGAAUUGAGAAGAUUUACGGAAGAGGAGUUUCUGAUUAUCUGGUUUGUUCUCUUUAUGCUUACAGAAUUUGAAUUAACGCUCUGCAUGAAUUUAUGAUUCAUUUUUUUUGGAGAAAUAUUUUAUGAAAUUGAAGCAUUGGAGUAAAGCGUACUAGUCGUAAGCUUGAUUCACUUUGUUUUGAUUUUAUUACCAAGAGGUGCUAACAGUUCAUGAUGCAUAAAAGAGGGGGAAAAAAACUCUUCUUGGUAGAUACAUAAAUUUUAGUUUCUGAAUCAUUUUCAACGAAAGAAAUAAUUUUACAGAGGCUGAAGAGCAGCAUUUUCAUUUAUAUGAAAGUUCAAUUGUUAUAUCAUCUGUUUCCAUAUCUUUUGUGGUAAAUAAAGUCCUUGAUGAUGGCAUAAGAGCACAGAAGAGUUGUUAGUUUCAUAUGUGGAGAUUUUCAUCAUAGUAGUUCAUUGAAAGUGAAGGCAGCUGAAUACCCUUUUUUCUGAUGCAGUCUGUCCCUCUUUGGUGUGAUUAUUUAAAAUUUGUGCAAGAAUAUGAUCCAUCUAUACGCGAAUGUUUACCCAAUGGCACUUCAAAGGCAAGGAAUCUAUUUGAGCGGCUAUUACUGCUGCUGGUCUGCAUGUUUUAGAAGGCAGUGAAAUAUGGGAAUUGUACAGAGAAUUUGAGCUAGCUAUAUUUAGUAGGAUUGAUAAGAUUAACUUGAAUGUGAAAUAUUUUAAUUUAUUUUACUUUUUUUUGGGCUUAAAUAACGAGUUUAUUCCCAUCUAUAGAAAGAAAAAGGGAAGGUUUUUUUUUUUUUUGCUGGGGGGGGUGUUUCCAACCCUAGCACAUGACAAGCAUUCCAAGACCCUUGCUGCUUGUUUUGCAGGAAAAGGAAAAACAGGUUCUGCGGAUUCGAAGUAUAUUUCAUCGCCAGUUGUCUGUUCCCCUUGCUAACUCAAGUGCAACUCUUCUUGCCUACAAAUCUUGGGAGCUCAAACAGGGGGCUGUUCUUGAUGUUGAAUCUAGUAAUGUAGAUGGGAUUUCUUCUAAUGUUGCCGCAGCAUACCAAAAGGCAUUGGAGAUGUGUAAUGCACGAGCUCAUGUUGAAGAGCAGAUUUCUAGGCAGGAUUUAUCUGACUCAGAGAAAUUUCAACAAUACAUGGCAGAUGACUUUACUAUCGUCAUUUGAUAGCUUUUUAUAGUAAGUGAAAUCCAGCCCUAAAAAUUUUAUUAAUAUGAAUAUUUUUUUGGGGGGAUUUCUUCUUAUGGCAUUAUUAUUUUGCUUUUGUGUAGCUAACAAUUAAUAUGUGCACUUUAAAUAUUAUCUAUUGUUUCUUAGCAAAUAAUAGUAAUAAUAAUAAGUAAUAAAUAAUUAAUAUCUGCAUUGUCAAAUAAUAAUAAUAAUAAUGUCUGCUCUUUUUACUCUUGGGGGGGGGGGCAUGCAGUGUCAUUAUCUUCCUUCUUCUCCUUUUUCUAUUUUGUGCUUUCAAGUUUAAUAUUAUUAUAUUAAUCUGUUAUUGUUGUAGAUAUACUUGAAGUAUGAGCAAUCUUCUGGAGAUCCUGGUAGAGUUCAACUUCUUUAUGAACGGGCUAUUACCGACUUUCCUGUAUCAAGUGAUCUCUGGCUUGAUUAUACUCGUUAUCUUGACAAAACAUUAAAGGUUUAUCCUUCUAUUUUCUAUUUUACUUCUUCUGUUGCAGCUAUUUGUAUACUAAUCGACUCUCCUCUUCAGGUUGGUAAUGUUGUGAGAGAUGUUUAUUCCAGGGCUACAAAAAAUUGUCCCUGGGUAGGAAAACUUUGGGUACGAUCUUUGCUUUCUCUGGAACAUGGCCGUGUUUCUGAGGAGGAGAUAUCCACUGUAGGUUUAAUUGUUACCCUUCAUUCUGAGCUUAAUCAAUUUUCCUGAAUGUAUUCAUUCUGAGCUUAAUCAAGUUUCCUGAAUGUAAUUGAUUUUGAUUGUUUGAAGUUAAAGAAAUGAUCAGCUUCCUAGGCAAAUUUCUUGGCAAGCACUUGAUUGUGGGAGUAACUGAGGAGAAGCAUUCCCUAGUGUUUUUUUUUGUUUUUCUCCUCCCCUAAAAUUGCAAUAUACUUCCCUUGAAGAGUAUUUUUUGCUUUAGCAUUUACACAUCUGUACAGAAGCAAACAUGAAUCAGAGAGAUUUAGUGGGCAAAUUCACCUGUGCUGACAAAUUAAAGCAUAUUAAAUACCGCGGUGGUUGUUGGAAUGCUCCAAAAAGUGUUUUCUUGGUGCUCCUGCUCCUUUUGCACUUUCAUAGUGUUUUAAUAACUGGGUUGUUUAAAUGUCCUGUACUUAUUUUCUUUACAAAUGUCUUUGUAUUUUUUUAAAUUUAUAAAAGAUUGUUCUAAUUAUAUUAAUAGCAACAAAUUGCGCAAACUCAAAUCUUAAUUUCAUUCUGCCCCUAUUACAUAUAUACGGGAUUCUCCUAUUAUUUCAUCAAAUUUUCCAUUACUAAUUUCAGGUCUUUGAGAAGUCACUACUAUGUACUUUUUCAACCUUUGAGGAGGUAGAGAUAUAAUCUUAUGUCUUCUGUACAUACCUUGGUUUCUUGAGCUGUAUGAUUUGGUAUAUAUCUACUUCUGAUUCAUCAUGCAUUUUUUUGUUAACUGGUUCUUUUUUGUUUGAGUACCUAGAUCUAUUCCUUACUUGAAUAGAUGGUUUGAGGUGGAGAAUUUUAUUCUCCGGUGAAGUUGAGGGCGCCUUGGAUUAUUCAUUGAUAACGGAAACCCUUCAGGUUUGUAAACUUAUACUGUUGGCUAUUCAAUAUUAAAAUUGGUUAUACUCCUUAAUAUCAAGAAAUUGAAGCUUCCCAAAUCAUACCCAAGAAAUGCUCUAUUGUGGAUUACUGGAUGGAGCUAGUUGCUAGAUGAUACCUUUAAGAUUCAAGACAUAUGUUGUUUUGUGUAUGGCUAUCAAGUACUUUGGCCUGCAAUUGUGGCAUAUUGGUCUUACGCCAGCAUCAGGUAUAACAUUGUGUCUGGCAUAUAUACCAUUGGAAUUCUGGGUUUCUGUUGAGUGGGCUCCAACAGCUAUAUUUGUGUCCAAUGUUGUGGGGUCCUCUUCUUUGGUGCUUUUAAGUGAAGUUUUAACUUUCCUUGUCAAAAUUUUGUUACAAAUCAAGUAGAAGGCACUGCACUGAAGCAUUGGUACUUCUAGAUUGCUUGUUUUGCAUGGUAGAUUUCAAUCCAUUGCUUUUAUUUCUUGGAUCAUGUUUAUCAUUGAGGACUUUCUUGGCCAGUCAUAGAGCUGACUAGUGCUACCAUCAUCAUUGGUAGGGCAAAAAAGUCAAUUCCUAUGGGAUGCUUUCUGACUUAGAGAAGAUGUCUUCAAGAAUUUGUGGAUUUAAGUCUUCACACGAUGUUCAACUCUUGAUAGUCUAACCUUGGUACAGGAUUUAUAGCUGUCUUCCAAGUUUGUGCUCAUAAAUGAGUAACCUGUCUGUCUUUAUGAUACCAGUUAAAUUUGUUAGCUUUCCGGGAUUUGGAGGUUGUAAAUGUCCAUAAACAACAAUGUCUUCUCUUCCUUACAGCGUGCAUCAGAUUACUUGUCAGAACAGAUGAAAAAUAACAAUGGUUUGCUGCGUUUGUAUGCUUAUUGGGCACGUCUUGAACAAACUAUGGGAAAAGAUACGGUUUCAGCUCGUAGUGUCUGGGAGAGGCUACUUAAGAUCAGGUUCACCAAUUUUAAUUUUUGCCAGUGCAUACAUAGCAAAAUUUCUUUAUAUCUAUAUAUUUUCGGAUAACUUGUGCUUCUCUUAAUGCAGUGGUACAAUGUUGGAAGCCUGGCAAAGUUAUAUAUCUGUGGAAAUUGAAUUGGGUCAUAUUAAUGAAGCUAGAUCCAUCGACAAGAGAUGCUACAGUAAAAGAUUUACAAGGACAGGUUCAGAGGUAAAUUUCUUUCAUCCUGCUUCUUUAAUGAAUAUUAACUGCUUAACAACGUACCUUGUUGUUUCCAUCUUGUUUGUUUAACUGGUCUUAUUUGUAAACACCUGAAAUCAUACAUCUUAAUUUCUGAUAAUUAGAUGUUAUUUUAGAUAUCUGUAUCUGUUAAUGUUCUUUCAAGUCUGAUUCCAAUGCAUAUUUAGUUAAACUGCUCUUUACUGCAUUUUGGAUUAGUUGAUAUCUUCCUUUCCUAAAAACAGAAUCAUUCAGGACAUAUGCCAUGCUUGGCUGCAAUUUGAAUGGGAAUUUUGUAUAAAAUUUUUAAUGAAUUUAUGGGUUUGAUGAGUAAAAUUAGGGGUUCAUAUAGACUCACCCAUAAAUUGAACCCUUAUUUUAUGUUGAUGCACAACUUAACUUAACAAAAAUAAUGUUCAAAUUGUCACAAAAUUUGAAAAAAAAAUCAUACAGUUAAUUUUUCUUCUACUUUACUCCAUUAUUCAAUGGGCAUAUAAUAAAUUAGGAGAGGGGAGAAAUAAAGGGGAAAAUUAGAGUAUUGUCGCAAUGAUACACUGAUACAAAUGCCCAUUGAGUGAUUGUCAAUGGGCAUAUAAUAAAUUAGGAGAGGGGAGAAAUAAAGGGGAAAAUUAGAGUGAUUGUCACAAUGAUACACUGAUACAAAUGCUUAUGUAUGUGUAGUGUGUGUGUGGGGCGUUCUUUAAUUUGACCAAAAAUAAAUGCAUUUAUUUGUAUUUUUAAUCAAAAUCGAGGGAUAUAAACAAAAAUUUUACCACUCCAGAGUCCAGACAUGUAUCAUUGCCUCGUUAAAAAAAAUUGCAUAAAAUUAAAAAACCAUUAGUGGCUGAAAGAGAGAAACAAAUUAAGAAAGGGUUCAAAAGAUGGAACCCGAAGAGAAAACCCUAGCAACAAUCCCAGAAGAAGAAGAAGAAGAUGGAGACACGGCCAUGCCCGACGUCAAGAACAACCCUAAACCAACAACAACAGCCAACUCUUCGGACUCGAGCGAUGCCUCUGACUCAGACUCGGACUCUGACUCAGAAGAUGAAGCAAAACAGAACAUGGAGCUUCAAACCCUAGAGUAUCAGCUAUCCAAUGAACCCUCCAAUUACGACACCUAUGUUCAAGUAACUUCAAUACACAUAUUUAUUGAGUGAUUUUGUGGAUAACCGUUUGCUUGUUCUUUCUUGGGUUGUGAUAAAAAUGGUUUUUAUCUUUUUUUUUUCAGUAAAUAAAGGUUUUGAGAAAAAUGGGUGAGAUAGAGAAAUUGAGACAAGCUAGGGAAGCCAUGAAUGAGAUUUUUCCAUUGACUCCUGCUAUGUGACAAGAAUGGGUGAGAGAUGAAGCCUCUAUUUCAACUGGGCAUCUGUCAUUUCCUAUUGCAAUGGUUUUUUAUUUUGUGAGCAAAUGUUUUUUUUGCUUAGAGAUAUAGAUGUUUAUGUUAGUUAUUUGCUAAUGUAAGAAGGAACAAAACCUGCUUAAAAGGUAUUAAAGAAAGAAAAAAGGAACCAAUUUAAAGAAGGGGAUACUUAUAGUGGGAGUUCUACUUUGGGGUUUAAUUGAUGGAAAGAAGAAAUAGCUUAUAUGUUUACAGAAUUAGACAUUUGAUCGCUGAGUUAGUUGAGGAAGAUGGUUAAUCACAAUGUCUGAUGUUGUUUCUGUUGGCCUGAACUAGUUGUUAAGAUUUCAUACUUUCAUUCAACAAUACAAUAGACUUUGAUUGGGUCCACCGUAGUUGGGUGUUCUGAGGAAUCAAUGAGUGUCUUGAGAAAACUUGGGUGGAGUGCUGGUCAUUUUCAGGAUUCAGUUUCCAAGAAAACAAAAAUGAAGUCGUAGUUGUAGUUUAAAUUAAUUUAUGUUUUUAUCUUUUUCUGUGAGCCCAGUGAGCUUUUAUUUUCACUUUGUUCGCUUUUGUUUCUUUCCCUUCUUUUCCUACAGUUUCUUGAUAAUCAAACAGAUCAGGAUUAAGUGUUUACUUUUGGUUAGGGGUGGGCGUUCGGUUCGGGUUAACCCGAACUAAACCGAACCUGAAAUUUAUUUCGGGUUCGGUUCGGUUUGGGUUAACUCGUGCAACCCGAACGGAUUCAAAGCUUCAAUCUGUUCGGGUUAAAUUUCGGUUCGGGUUCAACCCGAACCGAAUUUUCAACCCGUUCGGGUUGAAGCUUUUUUUUUUUUAAAGAUUUAGCUUUUAAAUUAAAAAUAUAUAUACAUUAAUUAAACCAAAAAAUCCCUAAAAAUGAAAAAUCCCUAAACAAAAAUCUCUCCCUCUCGGCCUCCCCCUCCUUGCUCCCUCUUCUCACUUCUCAGUUCUCACUUUCUGUGAACUGUGGUUGAUGACAUCAGCACUUCAGCAGCAGCCACAGCAGCCCCGUUCAGCUCCAACAGACACCAGCCGGCCUCAUCGUCUCACUCCCUCCCCCUCCUUGCUCCAUCGUUUCACUCCCUCCCACGACGACAACACUCACAGGCCACAACAGCAGCCAGCAGCCCCGUUCACAGCAGCCCACUCGCGUCAGCCAGCACGCCUCGCCCGCAACUGCGCUGUGCGUUCAGCUCGCGUCCCACUCAGCCCAGGAAGUCUCGAUCUGCCAACGCUGUAGCUGCUCUGACCUCCGAGAUUAAGGUUUGUCUUGCCUUGCCGACGGCGACGCUGUAACUUGCUGACUUGCACGCAACUGAUGGCAACAACCCGAAUUGAAUUUUAAGUUUUUAACAGCCUGUUGCUAUUAAUUAAAUUGUAAAUUUUUAAUUAAUUGAUUGACAAUUAUUCAAUUAUUUGAAGUGGGUUUGUUGUUGUUGAUUGAUAAUUGAACCCGAACUAAUCCAAACUAACCCGAAUUAACCCGAACCGAAAUUGUAACCCGAAUUAUCAACCCAAUCCGAUCCGAAUUGUCAAUCCAAACCGAACCGAACCGAAUUGGUUCGGGUUGGCGUUUUCAACCCGAUUGGGUUCAAUUCUCCAACCCGAACGGGUUGAAACCCAAACCGAAACCCGAACAACCCGAACCGAAACCCGAAACGCCCACCCCUACUUUUGGUGUAAUUAUUCACUCUAACUCGAAUAGUACUUAGGUUUAGUGCUAACAAAAUAGGAAGUGAAUUAAUAUCUGAAGUUGACCUAGGAGUGGAAUGAAUGUUACCAAAAAUAUACUAUAUGGUAGAUAGAAUUUGCCUUUUAGGUAAGACAAAAAUAAUUACAGCUGUUAAUUUAUUUCAAUAAGUUCGUACAUCAUUGAAUAAUAAGUCCAAGAUUUUAAUGGUUUUGUUUCCUGAAAAUUUGUCACGAGUGCAUGAACAAAGUUCUAUGGAUGAACUUCUCUUAGUUAAUUUGAGUUCAAUGUCGCAGUUCCUCAUAUUAACUAUAUAAAACACUAAUCUUGCUCUUUACUUUGGAGCAUUUUAAUAAUUGAUGCUAAUUCCUUAGCCAUUUUAUUCAUCUUGUGCAUAAAUUAUGCAAUCAAUAAGCCAACUCCACUUUCAUCUUUAUUUAGUGAAAAAUUUGCAAGGUCACUAGGAGGUUUUUGUAUGUCUCAUGCUAACAUGGACGCCAUGGUUUCACUAUGUAAAUUUUCCCCACUGAAAUUCAUGAUCCCUCAUAUACCACUCAUCACUCAUGAAGCUGUUUCUGGGGCUUUAAAAGCGCCAAAUUUUAGUUUUAUCCUUUCUAGCUUAUUAACCUGUCCGCAUCUGCAUUAUUAUCUUUCCUGUCAUACGAAAGUUUCAUUUAUCAUCUUCCCAACAUAAACAUCCGUAGGUCAUUGUUGACUUUUUUGCUUUGACACUUAUUGUUUCUAAGUAUAGGCUACCAAGGGAGAAAAAAAUUGACAUUGAUGGUCAUCCCCAGCAUUUUUAUCCCAGGAGACUGGUCAUUCACUUUCUAUGAAGGACUAUAUAGACAUCCAGACUCUAUUUUGAAGGACAAAGCUGUGGCUGAGCUUGGUUGUGGAAAUGGAUGGAUAACCAUUGCCAUAGCUGAGAAGUGGUUGCCUUUGAAGUUUUGUUGGUUUGUCGUCCUUAUGCCAUGUGAGAGCUUUUAUUUCCUUCCCUACCAGUGCCUUCAGGGGCUCCAUCAUGAUUUCUCUCAUCAUUUUCUAUCUCUGUGUUUUGCAAGGCCAUUUGAUAUUUAUAACAGCAUUGGCACCAGGUUAUGGUGAUUUAAUGCACUCCUAUUAGGAAAAAUUACAUAAUUAUCAACUCUGUCCUUGUCCAAAAGUCUUUGUUGGAGUAUGUUGAAAAUAUAACCUUGUAGGAGUUCUUUUAUGCUGUCUGAAUAUCCUAUUGCAGGUCUAUGGCCUUGAUAUUAAUCCCAGAGCAAUAAAGAUCUCUUGGAUAAAAUUGUACUUAAAUGCAUUAGAUGAAUCUUUUUCUAAGCUUUUCUGUCACUGUCACUGCAAAAGGUCUUUUGUAUUGAGGGUUAUCUGUGGGGCUAGGAAAGGUCAGCCCAUCUAUGAUGCGGUGAAGAAAACCUUACUGGAUAGGGUGGAGUUUGAUGAAUCUAAUCUCCUAGCAUAUUGUAGACAUCAUGACAUUCAACUUGAAUGAAUAGUGGGGUGCAGACCUCAGGUACUCUCACUUUCUGCAACUCAUGAUAUUUCUAGGGGAUUAAAUUUUAGUGAAGUUUGUUUACCCAACAUCAAGUUGGAAUUUUAGUGUGCCCACAUGGAUUACUUUUAACUCCUAGUUUAACUUAUUCUGUUGUCUCCAUGCAGGUUCUCAACCCCAAUUCCAAUGCAAUGUCGAAAAUAAUCACUGAAAAUGCAAGCGAGGAAUUUCUGUAUUCAUUGAGUAACUAUUGUGGAUUGCAGGUUGGAAGAUAUUCUAAAUAAUUUAAUUGUGAUGCGCAAUUGCAAUUGCCGGGAAGUUAGCAAUUAAGUUGAUAGGCUUCUUCUGGUUUCACAUAUUUCUAAGUAACAACUUUGGUUUGAAGCUUGCAUACCUUAGGUAAGGUUGAUGUCUUUAGUUGGUCAAUAUCAAUUGGGAAAUAUAGCUAACCAGUGAAGACAGUGGGAAAAGGAUGAUGUGAGUUUGACAAAUGCUGGGAGGAGAUAGGGAAACUUAAUCUGAAAGAUUUCUUUUUUUUUCUUGGUUUAUUUAUUUAUUUACUCGUGUGACCUCUUCACAAUGCCAUUGAUUCCCAUAGUUCAUGUUGCUAGGUGAACUUAACAACAACCAUCUAUUAUGCCUUGUGGAUAACUGAGAAAAUUUAUUGCUUUGGACAAGUUGCUUUUUGAAAUAGAGUGCAAGUAGAUUGACUAAUAAUGAACUUAUUGUAUCAAGUUGUUACAUUUGAAUAUAUUAAGGUCAUAUAAAGCUUACUUGUUAUACUUCUUUUUUUCUUUUUUCCCUCCCCAUUUCCCUGUAUGGAGGGUUUCUUGGACGAUCAGUUUGGCUUAGGUCUAAUUUUCUCGAGCAGUUAAGGAAUUACUGUUAUCAAAAUAAAGUUUCCUCUCACUCACUAGCCAAUUGAGCAGCUCGUCACCGGUCGGAUUCAUUGCCGAUUGCAGCCCACCUCCAUCAUGUCAGUUCAGUAGCUUGUCGCUGCAGUCAUGAUCGGCCUCUUUGUUGUCGUUGAAGAACCAAUCAAUAAUGAUGAUGAUUGAUGAUGAUGAUGAUUACCAUUGUUGAUGAUUAAUAUUAUUGAUGAUGAUGAUGUAGAUGAUGUAAUUGCGGUGAGAUGAUGAAGAUGAAACUGAAUUGUGAUGUUGAUAAUGAAAUUGACAGAAGGAAGAAGAAGAUUGUGAAAAAUCUGACUUCUUCACUCGUAUUACAUUAGAGAAGAAUACAUAUUUAUAUACAUUACACCCUAGGAAUAAAAUGGUAAAAAAAAAACAGCUAAGAUAUUGCAAAUCAGUAUCCCUGAAAAUUAGGGAUUAUAUAUCCUAAAAUCUAGUAUUUAAGUCAACACAUAGCUGUAAAAUACAGCUAACAUCUACAACAAUAGUCAACACACAGCUGUAAAAUACAACUGACAUCUGCAACACUCCCCCUCAAGCUGGAGCAUAGAUAUUCUUCAUGCCUAGCUUGCAUACAAACUCUUCAAACUUGUGUCCAUGCAUUCCUUUUGUCAACAUAUCUGCAGUUUGUUGUCCUGUUAGAAUAUACACCAAACAGAUAACUCCAGUUUCCAAUUUCUCUUUAAUAAAAUGUCGGUCUACCUCCACAUGUUUUGUCCUGUCAUGAUGGACAGGAUUAUGGGCAAUAUUAAUUGCUGCCUUAUUGUCACAGUAAAGUUGCAUAGAACUAUUUUUUAUUAACUGUAGUUCUUUGAGAACACGUUCUAUCCACAUAAGCUCACAUACCGCAUGUGCUAGUGCUCGAAAUUCUGCUUCUGCACUGCUUCGUGCCACUACAGUUUGCUUCUUGCUUCUCCAAGUUACAAGGUUUCCCCACACCUUAGUACAAUAACCCGUUGUAGACUUCCUAUCCAUGAUGUUUCCAGCCCAAUCCGCAUCAACAAAAGCUUCUACAUUCCUUUUUUCUCCCUUCUCAAAAUAAAGUCCCUUUCCCGGUGUUGACUUCAGGUAUUGAAGUAUUCGGUUUACUGCCACUAAGUGAGCUUCUUUUGGGGCGUGCAUAAACUGGCUCACUAAGCUAACCGCAAAAGCAAUAUCAAGUCUAGUAUGGGAAAGAUAAAUUAAUCUCCCUACUAGCCUUUGAUAUCUCCCCCUCUCCACGGGUGCACUAUUUUCUUCAAGACCCAACUUGCUAUUUGGUUCAAUUGGUGUGGCAGCAGGUUUACAGCCAAUCAUACCAGUAUCCUUUAGCAAAUCUAGGGUGCAUUUCCGUUGUGUAACUAGAAUACCUUUAGCUGUUCUAGCUACCUCCAUUCCCAAAAAAUAACGUAGUGGUCCAAGAUCCUUGAUUUCAAACUCACCAGCUAAUUUUUCUUUUAAUCCUUCCAGCUCUUCUUUGUCAUCUCCUGUUAGUAUAAUGUCAUUAACAUACACGAUCAAAAUAGCUAACUUCCCUUCUUUAGACCGUUUGUAGAACAUAGUAUGAUCGGCUUGCCCUUAAGAAUAACCAUAGUUCUUCAAGACUUUCCAAAUCGAUCGAACCAAGCCCUAGGGGACUGUUUAAGGCCAUAGAGAGACCUUUUUAACCGACAAACUCUUCCAGCAGGUCCUUUUUCUUCAAAACCAGGCGGCAUAUCCAUGUAAACUUCCUCUUCCAAUUCUCCAUUCAAGAAUGCAUUCUUGAUAUCAAGUUGGUUGAGAGGCCAAUCUAAAUUUGCAGCAAGAGAGAGAAGGAUCCUUACAGUAUUAAGCUUUGCCACUGGAGCAAAAGUUUCUAGAUAGUCCACCCCAUAGGUUUGUGUGAAACCUUUCGCCACGAGUCUUGCUUUAUACCUGUCCACACUUCCAUCAACCUUAAAUUUGACUGUAAAUACCCACUUGCACCCCACAGUCCUCUUGUCUUUAGGUCUUGGUACAAGCUUCCAUGUGUUAUUCUUUAUUAAGGCUGCCAUUUCUUCUUAAACAGUUUUCUUCCACUCAUUUGACUCUAGGGCUUCAUGGAUGUUUCUUGGAAUAGUGGUAUUAGAUAGACUGGCCACAAAAUUCCUAUACUCCUUAGAUAGAUUUGCAUAUGACAAGAACUUGUUGAUAGGAUGUUUAGUGCAAUUUCUUACCCCUUUCCUUAUCGCAAUAGGCAAAUCUGUGGACUUCUGAGCUUCGUUCUCAGCAUAUUCAGUAGGUGGGUUUUGAUCCUCCCUUAGUUCAGAUCUCGGUUCUGCUUGGUCUAUAAGUGGCUGUACCUCUUGAGUUUUAUUCUUCUUUCGUGAAUAGACAUGAAACUCGCCUAUAGGUUCCUCCAAAUGUGAAUUGGUUUUUAUUCCUUCAUUCCUUGGUGACACUAUUGGUUGAUUAAGUUCUAUGGUGUUAGGUAGGUUAGGAUGAAUGUCUGGACUGAGGAAGGAGGUAUUUGGUAGAUUGAGUUCUAGGCUGGAAUUACUGGACAUAUUAGGUUCUAGGCUGGAACAUCUGGACAUAUUGGGUUCUAGGCUGGAACUACUGGACAUAUUGGGUUCUAGGCUGAAAUUACUAGGCAUCUUAGGUUCUAAAAUGCCAAGAAGAUCCCAGGAAUUAUCUUCUCUCAAAUUCUGCCCCUGAAGAGAAUUACUCGUGUAAAAAGGCUGAUUUCAAAGAACUUGACAUCCAUUGUGACGAAUAAUUUUUUGGUAAGAGGAUUAUAACACUUGAACCCUUUCUUGGUAGGAGAAUAUCCUAGAAAUAGGCACUUGAUGGCUCUAGGAGACAACUUUGUUCUUUGAAGACUCGGAAGAUAUACAAAGGCUGUACAACCAAAAGUUUUGAGUGCAAAAUUAGAGGUAACAAGGUGAUUUUGUGGGUAGCUGUCAAGAAAAACAAAAAUAGGUGUCUUGAAUUUAAGAACUCGAGAGGGCAUACGAUUUAUGAGAUAAGAUGCUGUAAGAAUGGCCUCUCCCCAAUAUAUUUUUGGUACAUUAGUUGUGAACAUAAUGACCCUAGCAACCUCUAAAAGGUGUCUGUUUUACGUUCUGCAACCCCAUUUUGUUGUGGUGUUUCGGAACAAGAACUUUGGUGGACAAUUCCUUGUUGUGAUAGGUAAUUCCCUAAAAUAGAAUUGAAAUACUCAGUUCCAUUAUCUGUACGGAGUACACGAUUUUCAGUUUGAAACUGAGUUUUUACCAUGACAUGGAAUUGUUUAAAAGUUUGUCCAGCUUCAGAUUUUUCCUUCAAAAGGUACACCCAAGUGGUCCUAGAGUGGUCAUCUAUGAAUGUUAUGAACCAUUUUGCUUUUGACAGGUUGUUAACCCUUGAGGGGCCCCAAAUAUCACUAUGAAUCAAAGAGAAAGGCUGGGAUGGUUUAUAAGUACGGGUAGGAAAUGAAACACGUGUUUGUUUAGCCAUUUAACAAAAGUCACAAUAUAAUAAACUCAAAUUUUGAUUUUUAAAUAAGGAAGGAAACAAGGUUUUUAGAUAUGGAAAGCUAGGGUGGCCUAACCUAUAGUGCCACAACAUUAUUUCAGAAGAAACAAAUUCACAUUGAGAGACCUGAGCAUGUCCUUUCACGAGUCUUUUAUUCUCGAGAUAGUACAGUCCCUCAUAUUCCUUUGCAUUCCUAGUCAUCCUCCCCAAGAUUGGAUCCUGAAAUAGACAUUUAGAACCACAGAAUUUAGCUACACAGUUUGUGUCUUUAGUAAGUUUACUAACUGAAAGAAGAUUGCAUUUAAGAUUUGGGACAUGUAAAACUGAAAAAGAGUCAAACAAUUUGAUAGUUUUACUGUUCCUUUUCCAGCAACAGUGGAUAAUGAUCCAUCAGCAAUCCUCACUUUAUAAUUACCUGGACAUGGAGUGUAACUAGAGAAAAAUUGAGAAGACCCUGUCAUAUGGUCUGAGGUCCCUGAAUCAACAAUCCAAGAACCUUUUUCAAGGGAUUGGAUGCUAAGGGCUGAUGGGUUACCUGUAUGGACUGCAUUACAACUAGAGGAGGUCAAGUCAUUUUUAUUUGCUUGCUGAUUUUGUAUAAGGAGCUGUUGCAGCAUCUCAAAUUGAUCUUUUGCGAGGGCAAACUGAUUAGUUUUCUCUGUCACCAUUCCCUUUGCUUCUUGCUGCCGUUUUGGUUUCCAAUCUGCUGGCUUUCCAUGAAGCCUCCAGCAUGAGUCUCGAGUAUGCCCUUUCUUGUGACAAUAGUCGCAAUAGGGACGUUCUCCAUGUUUUUGUCCCUUUUGGUUAGCUGACUGAUCUGUCUUUUUGGUCACCAGCGCUGAUCUCUCCGCCUCAGGUUCCUUCACCAGUCCCAUCAUGACUCUCUUUCGACUUUCUUCACGCCCCACCUCAACAAAAGCUUCUCGGAUGGAGGGUAGAGGAUUCUUUCCUAAUAUUCUGCCACGAACUUCAUCAAGUUCUUUGUUGAGUCCAUAAAGGAAAUCAAAGAGACGUUCUUUAUCCAACAUCCUCUUAUUUUGAUGGCAUCCUCAGAGCAAUGCCAUUGCGAUUCAUAGUAAAGGUCAAGUUCAUGCCAUAUAUUGUUUAGAGAAUUGAAAUAUUGAGUCACUGAAAGACUCCCUUGCUUUUGGUCACGUAAUUGUGACUUGAUUUCAAAGAGCUGAGCUGCAUUCCCCAGGUCAGAGUAAGUUUCUGUCACGGCUUCCCAAAGCUCCUUCGCAGAUGGUAGGAAGAGAUAAGUCCUACCAAUAUCCACGUCCAUCGAGUUGAUCAACCAAGUUUGCACCAUUGAAUUUUCAGCAUCCCACUGUGGAUAACCUGGAUCCAAGACAUCAGGGGCUUUGGUUUCCCCUGUAAUAUACCCUAAUCGGCCUUUGCCACGAAGAAAUAGGGUGACAGAUUGAGACCAUUGCAAAAAGUUUCUGCCAUUUAACUUGUGCAAAGUUAUUUGCAAAGAGGGGUUUUCGGUACCUAAGGAGACCGAAGAGAUGUCCUGCCUUGUUACAGAACUGGAGGAAAUCUCAGAUUCUUGUGUAGGGUUUGUUGUCUUCUCCAUUGGAUGGGUUGAGAGUUUAGAAUGAGAAAAAAAUUCAGAGGCUUAGUUUAAAAGAGUUGCUCUGAUACCAUGUGAAAAAUCAGACUUCUUCACUUGUAUUACAUUAGAGAAGAAUACAUAUUUAUAUACAUUACACCCUAGGAAUAAAAUGGUAAAAGAAAAAAAAGCUAAGAUAUUGCAAAUCAAUAUCCCUGAAAAUUAGGGAUUAUAUAUCCUAAAAUCUAGUAUUUAAGUCAACACAUAGCUGUAAAAUACAGCUAACAUCUACAACAAUAGUCAACACACAGCUGUAAAAUACAGCUGACAUCUGCAACAAAGAUAAUUGUGGUGAUGAUGAUGAUGUUGAUGGAGAAGAUGAAAUUGACAUGAUUGAUGAUGAAGUAACGAAGAAUUUGUAAAACACACACACACACACACACAGAGAGAGAGAGAGAGAGAGAGAGAGAGAGAGAGAGAGAGAGAGAGAGAGAGAGGAGAAGAGGAUAAAAAAAAAGAUAGAGAAAAACAGGAGAGAAAAUAAUAACAAAAACAAAAGAGGAAAAUAAUUAUUAUUGUUAUUAUUAUUAUUAACAAUAACUUUCUUAAUAACCAUAAUCAUAUAAUAGAUAAUAAAAAUAGAAGGUAAUAAUAACUAAGGGUAUUUUAAUAAUUUAAAUAAUUUAUUGUAAUUUCAAGGUAAAGUAAAUAUAUUAAUGAUAAUACAGUUUAUUUUAAUUUUGAUUCUUAUAAUUGAAGUAAAUAAUUUAUUUUAAUUUUUAUUUCACAUUUUAAUUUUAUUCUAUUCUGAAUUAGUAAACGCAUCAUAAAAUCAUGUGAUUCUACUCUAUAUGUGAGAUUGAUUUUUUUCUUUAAGGCCUACGACAUCCCAAUACAAGUCUAUAUAGGACCAAGCUACUAAGUGGACGGUCAUAAAAACUUAAAAAGGCAUAAAAUUGGAUGGCCGUCUAAUUAAUUUCCCGUGACCUACAACAAAAAUUUAAGAAGGAACUCCGAUACCAUCAAUUCUGCAUUUUAAUUUGAAGUUGGAAAACAGUGAAAACAGAAGGAUCGGGUGAUUUAAUUUUAUACAUAUUUAAUCAAGUAAAAAUGGCACGUGCGUUGUAAUUUGCCCAGUUAUCUUACUUUGAAUAAUAACAAAGUUCAAAUUUUGUAUUCAGUGAAAAAUCAAUUCUAUAGUGAAAAACACUAGCUAGAAAAAAAUCUAUGUCCUGAUGUCUUAGUUUAUAAGCUCAAACAAUGAAUAGUAUACAUACAACGCAUGAUAGAACACAAACUCAUAUAGAUUUUUAGUUUUGAAAUUCAUUUCAGAAAAUCUGUUCUGUUCAACAGGUUAUAGAUUAUCAACUAAACUCUGCCCACAUUCUUAGCUCUGCCAUUGGAAGUACGCAACUCAGCUGCCCAUCGACCGCCAAGCCAUCAAGACAAUACCAAGAUACAACAUCAAUAAUAAUAACAUCAAGAAUUACAUAGAGGCCGUCGCACGUUACACCCACUCCAACAGGAAACUAAUUAAUACCCUCCAAGCUCCUCUGUUUCAAAUCCAAAUCCACUGCUCGACCAUUUACUAUGACGUAAGGUAUAUGGAUUAAUUAACAAGUGCCGAUAUUGUCCUCCAUCCUUUUGUGUACCUUUCUUCUGGCAAGGCCUUUUCUGGAAAGUAUUUGAGCUCCAGACAAUUGCAGAAUUUCAAUUUGCUGAGGUUUUGAUGAUCAGCAAUUGAAGAAGACAGGUGUUAAUAAUUAUGAAGAACUGGUGUAAUUUAUAUCAUGUAGGAAGCCCUUCAGUUACUUUUUUGACCGUGCUCAAGCUCUUUUAAGGGCUAAUAUUAAAAUUUCGUGAUAUUGUGCCAAAAGAGCUUCGUACGUCAUUGUAAACUGUUCAUCGUUAUGUGCUGCUUCCCCAUUUAAUUACAUUUAUUUAACAUUUUAAAGAUGGAAGUAGAAAUUAAAACUCAGUUUUUCAGAUAUGGCUCAUAUACAAUGCAAGUAUCAAGAUUUAAUUAGAGUUCAAUAUACAUGCGUCUAGUUUUUAUUGAGAGAAACAAAUCAUAAAUACUCAGGUGUUUCUAAAUGAUUGAAUAACGAUAUUAUUGUUAUUUAUAAAUUUAUAAGGAUAAAUAACUAAUAGUCCACCAUAAAUACCGAAAAGGGUCCCCAGCAUAACUUGAACAACUUUACUUGUGUUUGCUCAUUGAAUAAUGUUAUAAGAAAGAAAUACAUAUGUCAGAAGAUUCAUAGUAUAUUGGAGUGUUUUUUGUACUUGAAUGAGAAUGAAUGAAGGUAUGUUAAUUUACUUUAAAUAAUUGUCUAAAAGGAAUAGAAAUGCUCUAUAACAUACCAAAUACUACCUUAAUCAAAAUUUAUUUGACAAAAAUUUUUAAAAAAUGGAAUAAUUAACCCUAAUUAAAUAAUUGUCUUAUAUCACCAAACUCUUUUUUUUUUAAUUAAGCCAUCACCAAACUCUGUAAAGCAUAAAAUAUAAUAGGCAAAUUUGAGUUAAAAAAAAAUGAAGUUAGGAAAAUGACUUGCAUAUUGUCUUUGAUGAGCGCAUAAUUUUCUUUUAAAAAAAAUGUUGAAAUGAACUCAAACUCGUUAGUGCAACUUGUCGGUUUUAAGUUGUAGAUACGAGUGACAUGUCAUUUUAGCUGAACUAGAUUCCAGAGCUCACAUUUGGGCAGUGUCAUCCAAGAACAUUAAAACUCACGUGACUAUUGCACGCAUGGUUUAAGCUGAAAUGACGUUGCUAGCAGUCGUUUAAGGAAGGCCUUUAAGUGUCACAUGAGUUGCUCGUGAUAGGAGGUUAAAAGCUGUUGGUUUUGGAGGGAAACCCCUGAAGCUGUUACGCCUGCAUCUUCUGGUAUAUAAACGAGCUGGUUCUGGUGUCAUAGUCAGUAAUCAAGGAAAGAGAGAUAAAGCAUCUGUACUGAGAGAAAAUCUUGACAGGGUGGUCUCUGUAUUGUGUAUAAUUUCUCUAUAACCUUGGAAGCUUAAUAAAACUGCUCUCUGUGUUGGUUUUCUCCAGUGGAUGUAGGCACCCUUCAACAGGUGCUGAACCACUUAAGCUCGGUGUGUUCUUUGUCUUUGGGUUAUGAUCUUUGAUCUGUGCAUUGUUCUUUGUUAACGUAAGAUUAGUUCUUGAAUCUUUGAGUCAGAGUUGGGUCUUGGGGUAAGGUUAAUCUAGUAACUAAAGGUUAAUUUCACAACAAUUGGUAUCAGAGCUCUAAACUCUGAUUUCAAGGUUCAAGAAUGGGUUCAAAAGUGGAUCUUGAGAAGUUUACGGGGCAGAAUGAUUUCAAUAUGUGGAAGAUCAAGAUGGAGGCUUUGUUGAUUACUCAAGAGCUGGGAGAAGCCAUAGAUCCAGUCACUAAGAUUGAAGAAGGUGAGGCUUCAUCAUCUAAGAUCCCAGAACAGGUAGCAGAGAUAGACAAGAAAGCCAGGAGCACAAUCAUACUAAGUCUUGGUGACUCUGUAAUUCGAGAAGUGGCCAAGGAAAGGACUGUUGCUGGUUUAUGGGCUAAGUUGGAGAACUUGUAUAUGACAAAGUCUUUGGCAAAUAGACUUUACAUUAAGAAGAAGAUGUUCUCACUGAAGAUGAUUGAAGGGGCAUCAUUAACAGAACAUGUUGAUGAAUUCAAUAAGGUUUGUGAUGAACUGGAGACUAUAGAUGAAGGGCUGAGUGAUGAGAGCAAAGCCUUGCUACUAAUCAGCUCUUUACCAAAGUCUUACGAGCACUUUGUGGAUGCACUGCUGUAUGAGAGGCAAACACUCUCCCUAGAAGAGGUUAAAUCUGCUCUUGGCACAAAGAAGCUGAAAGAUAAGCAAGAUAAUCCAGAAAGUGAAUCAAGUGAGGGAUUGAUGGCAAGAGGCAGGUCUGAGAAAAGAGAUAACAAUGAAAAAAGCAAGGCAGAUCAAAGUCUAAACAAAAGAAUUUGAAGUGUUUUCAUUGCCAUAAAGAAGGGCAUUUCAAGAGAGAUUGCCCUGAAAGAAAGAACAAGAAUAAAGAAACCAAAGAAAGAACAGGUAAUGCAGCCAUAGCCACAGAAGAAGAAUGUAACUUUGAAACAGCCGGAGUACUCAUUGCCACAAGUCAGAAACCUCAAGGUCAGUGGGUCCUUAACUCAGGUUGUACCUUUCAUAUGUGUCCAAAUAGGAGUUAUUUUACAACAUAUCAGCCAUGUGAUGGGGGUAUGGUUCUAAUGGGUAAUAACUCAAUGUGUAAGGUAGCUGGUAUUGGGACUGUUAGCCUUAGGAUGUUUGAUGGGGUGAUAAGGGAAUUGACACAAGUGAGAUUUGUCCCUGAUCUAAAAAGGAACUUAAUCUCAAUUGGCAUGCUAGAUCAAACAGGUUGUGUAAUUAAGGCUGAGAAAUGUGUAUUGAGGGUAAUUAAAGGAUCAAUGGUGAUCAUGAAAGGCAUAAAACAAAAUGGUCUAUAUGUGAUGGAUGGACAUACUGUUGUUGGGGAGGCAAGUGUGACUGACAGUAAAUGGAACAGAUCAAUGAUGUGGCAUUUAAGGAUGGGGCAUAUGAGUGAAAGAGGUUUGAGAGAGUUACAAAAACAAGGAGUGUUUGGGGAUGAUCAAAUAGGAGCUUUGGGGUUCUGUGAGGAUUGUAUUCUAGGAAAAUCCUCCAGGUUAAGGUUUGAGAUUGCAGCUCAUACCACCAAAGAGAAGCUUGAAUACAUACACUCUGAUUUGUGGGGGCCUGUACAAGUAAACUCACUAGGUGGAUGUAGAUAUUUUCUGACUUUUAUAGAUGAUUUUUCAAGGAUGGUUUGGGUCUUUGCACUCAAAAGCAAAGAUGAGGUUCUGGAAAAAUUCAAAAACUGGAAAACUUUUGUUGAGAACCAGACUGGUCUGAAGGUGAAAACUCUGAGGACAGACAAUGGCUUGGAGUAUUGCAACAAGCUGUUUGAAGAAUUCUGUGAAAAGAAUGGUAUUCAGAGGCACAAAACUGUCACCUACACCCCUUAACAGAAUGGCCUUGCUGAGAGGAUGAAUAGGACUCUGGUGGAGAAGGUGAGAUGCAUGUUAAUCUAUUCUAAGCUCCCAAAAACCCUUUGGGCAGAAGCUUUAAACACAGCAUGCUAUCUAGUCAACAGGAGCCCAUCAACUGCUAUAGAUUGUAAAACACCAAUGGAGCUUUGGUCAGGAAGAAGGGCUGACUAUACAAAACUCUGAAUCUUUGGGUGCACAACAUAUGCUCAUGUGAAGUAGGGUAAGCUGGAACCAAGGGCAUUAAAAUGCAGAUUUCUGGGGUAUCCGGAUGGGGUCAAGGGCUAUAGAUUAUAGUGUGUUGACACAAAACCACCACAGUGCAUCAUAAGCAGGGAUGUAAAAUUCCAUGAAGAAGAGCUAUUGAAUAAACCAAAGAGCUCAGAUAACAAUAUGGAAUCAAGCACUGAGACUGAUAUAGUGAAGUUUCAGGUGGAGCCUCAAAACUUGAAAGAACUUGAGCCUGAAAUUGAAGGUACUGAAGCAGAACCUGAAGCUGGUGUUGAACAUGAAUCAGCUGAAAGUGAAGAGAACACCUAUCAGUUGGCUAGAGACAGAAAGAAAAGGACAAUAAAGCCACCUAAAAGAUAUGCAGUAGUUGACUUGAUUGCAUAUGCUUUGAAUGUUGCUCAAGAGCUGAAUGAUGAUGAACCUAGGACCUAUCAAGAAGCUAUCACAGGCAAAAACAAGCUGGAAUGGAAGAGGGCAAUGGAUGAAGAGAUGACAUCCCUGAUUAAAAACAAGACCUGGACAUUGAUUGAAAAACCAGACAAGAGGAAAACAGCAAGCUGCAAAUGGAUCUUCAAAAUUAAAAAUGGUGUACCUGGAGCUGAACCUAGAAGAUUUAAAGCUAGAUUGGUGGCAAGGGGUUUUACACAGAAGGAGGGAAUUGACUUCACUGAAGUAUUUUCUCCUGUGGUGAGACAUGCUUCCAUCAGAGUUAUUCUUGCACUUGUGGCUGUGCAAGAUAUGCAUCUUGAGCAGAUGGAUGUAAAAACAACAUUUCUGCAUGGUGAGUUACAAAAAGAAAUUGUAAUGCAGCAGCCUGAAGGAUAUGUAGCAUCUGGAAAAGAAGACUAUGUUUGCUUACUUAAGAAGUCUCUGUAUGGGUUGAAGCAGUCACAUAGGCAAUGGUAUCUGAGUUUCAGAUAUUUUUGACAUGUCGGUUUAUAACCUUGAUUGUGCAUGCCCUGUCGGUUGCGUGAUGAAACAGGAGAAUAUUGACAUCUGUGUAUUAUCGUUUACUUCCUGCAAUUAAAUCACAUGUUGUUCAUUCCAUUUACACUAUACGGCACAUUUGGCAGUUGUUUUGGUCACUUAUUGAAGCACGGGUUAAGUACUUGAUUCAAGGUUGUUAACUGACCUUUACAAGGCGGGAAAAUUCUGGGUUUGUUAUAACAAACCCCGGAAUGCAGCUAGUGAGUGGGGACUUUUCUAGACUCUUCAUGAUAUGUAUAUAUAGUCUUAGAGGCUAUAGUUGAGACAUAUGAAAAGCUUCUUAAUGUUUGUAGUUUGAUCUCGGUGAUGGAGAUAAGAUUGCUGCCCUGUUCUUCAGUGGAUAUAGGCUAUCUCCAAGCCGAACCACUUAAAUUGUGCCUCUGUUUUGCUUGAUGACUACCAGUGGUGAGAAAACACCUACAGAACAAAUCAAGCUUGAUGACUCAAAUAUUAGGGAAGCCAUAGUCAAGGUAUCUGGUUUAUGCAUCAACAGUGGUUCGUGGACUAGAAUUCCUAUCUAUUGUCGCUUCACAAUUGCACUGGAAGAAAGCGAAUUUGAUCGAGCUUUGGAUCGCAUAGCUAAAUUCAAAAGCAUCGUACAAAUAGUUAACUAAAAGACGGUAUUGUCAUUUGUCAUGAUUUAUUUCUAUUGCCUGAUGAUGAUACCCAUCACGCCUUAGUUGUCGUGAAUAAAUCUAAAAUCAAAUUGAACUGGUUUUUACUGGUUAGCAACAAUUGUGACGUUUUGAGAUUAUAAUAUAUGACAACACUGAUUAGUGUUGUCUCCCAUGUGAAUUGAGACAAAAAUUAUUUUCCCAAUUGCGCUUUCAUUUGAACAAUUCCACUGUAGAUUUAUAAAAUAAUGAUCAAAUUGUGUUUUAUAUUAAGUUACGAGUAAUUGGUUAAACAUUAAUACAAAACUAUUUUAAGUAACAUGUGGCAUAUUCUAAUUCUAGCCAAGCUUCCAACUAAGAUUCCCAAAUCAAAAGAAUUUCAAUCUUCAGAACAUUCUGCAAAACGUUUAGUCUCUACGCAGUGCUAGAAUUUUCCCUAAGUUUCUAUUGCAAAGACUUCUAAAGAACUAUUCAGAUAUCGAGCUAUAAUCCAGUCUAAAGUGCAUAUAUCUCUCUAAUUCACCUCCCUCCAUUUCACCAGAAAAUCAAUAAACACUUAGCUUCAAACAAACACUCUCAAAAAGCUAGCUAGCUAUCCAGAUGGAAAAACCAAGAAUUCUUGCAAUGACAAUGUUGUUUCUUGUUAUGGCAGCAACAUUGAUAAACAUGGCAUCACAAGCAAUAGCUCUGAUGCCGUACACACAAUCACCUUUCUUUGACAUGAUGUUCCCAAUGACGGAAGAGCCUUUCAGGGUUCUUGAACAAACCCCUUUAACAAUCGCAAAAGGAGCUGAUCAUCAUCAAACUCUAGCCCUGGCGAGAGCAGACUGGAUGGAGACACCAACAGCCCACGUGAUCACGCUCGACAUUCCAGGGAUGAAGAAAGAUAAUAUGAAGAUUGAAGUUGAAGAGAACAGAGUACUGAGAGUGAGUGGGGAGAGGAAGAGUAAUGAUUAUUAUAAGGAGGGAGUUGAAGGAGAGAAAUGGCACAAAGCUGAGAGGACAUUUGGCAAGUUUUGGAGGCAGUUUAGGAUGCCAAUGAGUGUUGACUUGGAACAUGUUAAGGCUCACAUGAAAAAUGGGAUUCUGAGGGUCACAGUGCCAAAGCUUGCUGAGGAGAAGAAGAGGCAGCCUAAGGUUAUUAACAUUGAUGAAGAGUCUGGUAAUUCUUCCAAUGAAGAUAUUAAGGCUACCAAGGCUCAAAUGUAAUUAAUUAAAGAAAGAAGUGAUUGCUUUGCUUGAUGUGCUAUUUGUUUAUGAUCUUUUUUUGGUUUUGUUCCGAGAUGUUUCUAUUUGGAUGCUCUAUUUAAUGUAUGUUGAUGGGUUUUUGAGGAAGGCUUGUAUGUAUUGACAACCAUAAAAUACUUUUUAUAAAUCCUAGUCCUACAACACUAAAAGAAAACAAUACGUUUGGUUUAUAGUUAAUAAAAAUAUAUUUUUUUAAAAAAUUCUUUUUCUUUGGCAUAUAGUAUGCGUUUUGAGGGGAAAAAAAUUUAUCCCACUCCUAAUUUGUCAUCUGUGAUAUUAAUGUGUUAGCACGAAGAUUCAUUGUAAUUGCAACAAUUUUGAUGAAUCCAAACGUUCAAUAACUGUUAAAUUGUAUUUUAUAAAUACUAAUAGCGAAGGUACAGAAACGAUUAAUCCAAGAAGUUGCUUAAAGUGCAUUAAAUUAGGGAGUAUAAAUAAUUGUGUGAUACAGUCCAGCCUUUAUCUGCUUAUAAUUAGCAACCAAAAACCAUUUGCAACGCCAUUAAAAAAACAUUUUAACAUUAUUGCUGAGGGAAGAGGCAGCUUAGGCUUAUUAACUCGUAUUAUUAAUGCUGAUGACGCAGCUGGUAAUCCUUUUGGUGAAUAUAAUAAGGUAGCUGAAGCUUAUAAUUAUUUAAGCCCACUAAAGCUUAAAACUAAUUCUUCUAGUGACGAUGCUUUGCUUAGUUUGCUUUUUGUUUUUAAUUUUUUUGGGGCUAACAUUUUGCUUAUUUUGCUUUUAAAAUUCUAUUCGCGUUGCUGUGAAAUAUUGUUUGUCCUUCCAUUUUCUGUUUUUGUUGUUAUCGGAUUUGAUGAUGGUUUAUAUGUACGAAGAUUAUGUAAUAAAGUCUUUUUCUUUGGCCUUUAUUAUGCAUUUUAAUACGAAAAAAAAUUAUCCCACUCCAAUUCAUGAAGAUAUUCUCAUUUCUGUCAUAUUGAUGUGUUAAUAUAAAGAUCCAUUGCAGUUGGUGAAUUCAAAUAUUCAGUAACUGAUGAAAUUGUAUUUAUAAAUUCAUAGUAAUAGCAAUUGAAGAUUAUAAUUAAUUUUGUAAUAUGGUCAAGCCCUCGUGUGUUUAAUUAGCACUCAAAAACCACUUUACAAUAGUCAUUAAAAGAACAUUAUAACGUCAUUACUGAUGAGUUCUGGUGAAGAUAUUAAGUUAAGGCCACAAAAAUCGAAAUGUACGUGGCUUCGUUUGUUUUUUGUUUUGAUUUUUUUUGGGGGCAAAUGCUUGGCUUCGUUUUUGAUAUUUUAUUGGCUUUAUUGUGUGGCAUGUUCUUGUUUUCUUUUGAUUUUCUGUUUUUGUUUGUUAUGGGAUUUGAUGACGAUGUACAUGUACGAAGAUUAUGUAAUAAAAUGCUUUUGAUAAAUUGUGGUCGGUUUAGUAUUAAUUAACCAAAUUUAAUUUACUUGAUCAAUUGAUAUUUGUUAGUAUUGUUGUUAUACAAGCACAACAAAAGAAGAACACUAACGUACUAAUUAAUUACUAAUAAGAACAUUAACAAUUUUUGCCGAAGUCUGAUGAAGAGAAAUAUUACACAUACGUAACGGUACCGCGGAAGGAAAAAAUAAAAGAAACUGAAGUUUAUUUCAACAGCUACUCUUUCUUUACCUAAAUCCUGCACCUCUCAUACUACCAACAAGAUCGAAAACCUUAUCGAAUACUCCUACAUCCCAGACUCUGCCCAAAUCAGUGAAUCCACAUACCUCCAAUACAGUACCCCGUUGCUAAAAUAAAGCGAGCGUCUUACUCUACCUAACAUUUUUCUUUUUAUUAAUUUAAAACAGUUUUCAACUGAGAUUGGAAUUUUAAAAUUACGUACACAAACAUACCUGAUUUUAAAGAAAAAAAAUUCUAAUAAUAAAAUAUUUUACAUAUGUAACCAUACGGCGGAAGAACAAAUAUAAGAAACUGAAGUUUCAACAGCUGAGAAUGAGAUAAGCAUAAGAAAUUAAUUCAUUAAUUAAUUAAUAGAGUCCUCCUCCUUUGCUAAAUAAUGCGAGCCCAUUGUUCUUUUUAUUUCGAAAACCCAUUAAUCACCAACACAUAAUAUACGCCCAAUUUAAAAAAAAGAAACUAAUAAUAAAAUAUUUCAGUCCCUCUGUUGAGUCGUCCUCUGUGGAGUCGUCAUCAAAAACCCAUUUACUAGCUAUUUCAACAUAAGGUAAAUGGGUUAACAAGGCCCAAUAUUGUCCUCCAUCCUCUCUGCACUUCUCUUCUAUCAACGGACAAUCAUAGAUACUUAAUUUCAAAAGUGAGGAAGGCAGGCCCUUCUCCGGAAAGUAUUUGAGCUUGGGACAAUUCUUGAGAUACAAUGAAGUGAGGUUUUGAAGAUCAACAAUUGAAGAAGAUAGGCGUUCCAAAUUUGGAAAAUUGUAAAUCUCCAGAGACGUUAGAGAGGCAAGAAGAGGAAGCGCAGCCCCUAAUCUUUUGUCCUCUAGUGGAAUUGACACCAUGUCGUCAUCGCAUUCGCUGAUUUUAAAAUGUCGCAGAGAGGAGAAUCUGUGAAAUCCCCGGCCCCGCUCAAUCAUUGACUUCCAAAUCUCCAUAUUACCCCUGAUAUCAAGUGAAUGAAGGUUGGUGGGAAGGCCAUCUUCUUCAAGGCUUGGAAGCUCAACUCCUCUUCCUAUUGUUAAUUCUUGAAGAGAGGUCAGAUUGUGCAAUCCCUUGGGUAAGGCCUCUAGUCCCUUGCACCAACUGAUAUUGAACUUUAUUAGUUUCGCACAAGGCAAUCCCCCUUCGGGAAAGGACACCAGAUUUUUACAUUCCCAUAUUUCGAUCUCUUGAAGCUGGCGGAGAUUAUGUAAACCACUCGGUAAAAUCUUUAGAUUUUUACAAAAAUCAAUUCUGAUUAUUUCAAGCGAUGUGUUGUUGUCCAACCUUUCUGCUAUUGACUCCAGCUUUGAACAACUAAGAACUUCAAGGGACUUAAGAGACGGAGGUAGAUUGCCAACUUCAAGGGACUCAAGCGUGGCAGGUAACUCGUUUUUUGAAAAUAUACAUGUCAGAGAUGGACAUUCGCUAAUAUGCAAGCCCUCGAGAAGAGAUGAGGUGUACCUUCUGCUGCUGCUGCUGCUGCUACUCUGGAUGCCCUCUUCCACUGUCAAAGUCCUUAGAUUAUCACAAUUAUGGAUGUACAACAUCUUAAGGCUCGGUGGUAGCUGGACUCCAGCAAUAUAUGUCAACGAACGGCAACUCAAAAUCUCCAAGAUCUCGAGAGAUGAAUUGGUGUCGCACAUCCAUGCCUCUGGUAACAAUUUCAGUGCAUCACAAGAACUAAUAUGAAUUGUCUUCAACUUGGAAGGCAGAGCAACCUCAGGAAAGGAAACAAGGGAACUGCAUUGGUAGAUUUCUAUCUCUCUCAAGGAGCUAAGGCUGAGCGAUGAUUGUGGCAGCUUCACAAGGUCUUGGCAAUCUCUCAAUUCUAUAUAUUCGAGUCUGCAUGACAACUCGCAGAGCUGCUGUUGUUGGUCUUUCUCUUCCUCCGCCACCAAGGAUUGAAGUUUGGGACAGCUGCCAAUCGUCAAUCUUUUGAGAGAGCAAAUGUCUUGUAGUAAUCCAUCAUGACUCUUCCAUAUAUAUGUUUGCUCUUUUGUCGACAAAAUUAAUUCUUCCAAUUUCUGUAGUUGUGGUUUCAAUGGCCCCACAAGAAACACUUGAUUUGAUGCAUCUCUACAAACCACUGAAUUCUGUGAUCCGAGAUGACCAGUUGCACUUUCCCACACAACCUUUUUGCAUCCACCAAUUUCCAAUUUGCAAAGAGCUGGAAGACUCGAAACUGAAACUAACAAUUCUUCACAUCCUUCAAUAACAAGCAUCUCCAAUGCAGGAAGGUGCUCUGGAAAUGUUCCUUUCAGUUUAGAACAUUUUAAAAUGUGAAGUUCUCUCAAUUUAGGAAACCCUUCAACUCCUUGACUGGAUCCAUGAGGAAUCCAAUCUUCCCAUUCUUGCAUGUUUUCAAAAAGAAGAGUCUUCAAGCAUGGAAAUGGAAUUGGAGAAACAUUCCCAUAGAACUCUGAACCCAACCUCUUUACUCUGCUCAUUCCACAUACUACAAGAUGCUUUAAAGAGGGUAGUUGCCCGACUGACGGCAGGGCAGUACACAUGUCACAAUUUUUAAAUUUUAGGGUCACCAAAUUUGAGAAUGAGGAAUCUCCCAACCAAGUUGGAAAUUUCAUACCUCCAUAGCCUUUGAUACAAAAUUGCUCCAGAUUUGUAUGAGGUUUCAGCAUGUCAAGCAUGCCCAUUUCAGUUUCUGCCUCCCUUGAAGAAGAACCAUCGGUACUGCAAGUCCAUUUAAGCGAUAAUUCUUUCAGAUUCUUCUUUCCAUCCAUUUGAGCUACCAUGGCAUCACCAACGCAUUUUGCAUUCUCCAAUUUUGAAAUGUUAAGUGUCCCAUGAAGGUGCGUCAACAACUUUAGCUCUCGUAACCCGGAACCACUGCCUUUUCCCACAACAAAAUUACACAACGUCUGAAGACUAGUCAACCUACCAAUUCCUAGUGGCAUUUCCUCCAACGACUUCGUAUUUGAAUUCUUAAGAUGAUGCAAUUUGGCGAGGUUUCCCAUGUCUGCACACAACUUCUUCAGCCGAUCACAAUCUUCCAACAAAAGGCUAUGCAAAUUGUAAAGCUUGUUGACUGAGUCAGGCAGAGUUCUAAUCUCAGUUCCAGACAGGUUAAGGUACCUUAAAUACCUCAAAUCACCAACUGAAUCCGGUAGCUCGAAGAUGUGGUAUCCACGCAGAGAGAACGCCCUCAAGCGUUGGGGUUUGAGCAACUUAGGAAGAAUGCUAGGAGCCAAGUAGCCAGGCCCACUAUUUGUCAACAUUACUGGUAAAAAAGUUCUCAAAUGUUGGAUAUCAUACAAGUCCCCGAACCUUUGAACGCCAUCAUAAUCUCCACGAAUGUAUGAUAGGUGACGAAGAUUUCUGGAAAAACAUUGUUGCUUGUUAACCUCCGAGGUAUACUCCAGUGUGAAGUAUGUCUCCCCUGCAGCCCAACGGGCAAGGUCGUUGAUAAGAUCGUGCAUAACAAAUAGUGAUGCAUCGGUGGCCGAUUGCUGCAAAAAAGAUCUUGAACGUAGCUCCUUAAAGAAAUCACGACCUAAAUCUUCACUAGGAUUCUCAUCUUCUUUGUGAUCCAAAAAACCGGAGGCACACCAUAAUAAAAUUAUCUCCUCCUCUUCAAAUUCAUAAUCCUUUGGAAACAAUGAGCAGUAUGCAAAGCAUUGUUUCAAAGUUGGAGGAAGAUAAUAAUAGCUCACUGCAAGGGCUGGUAUAAUGCCACACCUCUUUUCUGAUAAUUCCCAUAUCUUGCUACAGAGCACACGUUCCCACUCACGUCUGUCAUGUUUUCCACGUAAAAGUCCUCCAAGUGUUUGUGCUGCCAAGGGCAAGCCAUCGCAUUUGGUCACUAUCUUCUUGCCGAUUUCCUCCAAUAACUUAUGUGACCCCAAAGAAUGUUGAGCGAAUACAGCCAGACAAUCAUUAUCUGACAACUUUUUUAAUUGAUAAGAUGGAACAGUACCCAUGAUUUCUGCAACCUCUUGAUUGCGAGUAGUGACAAUAAUUUUACUUCCUGGUGCACCAACUUCAAAUGGACGUCUGAGUUGAACCCAAUCAUCGUAAUUCCGGUUCCACACGUCAUCCAAAACAAGCAAAAAUUUCUUUCCAGACAGUUGCUUACUCAGUUCCUUUUGAAGUGAAUUCAAGCUGGGAUCACCCACGUUCUGGCUAGCAACAAUGGAUGUUAAGAUUGUUUUUGUUAGCCUCUUAACGUCGAAAUCAUCAGAGACACAAGUCCAUGCCUUGAGAUCAAAAUGAUCCUGCACUUGCUUAUCAUUGUAGACAAGCUGAGCAAGAGUGGUUUUGCCCAGCCCGCCCAUACCUAUAAUAGGAAUAACAGAGAAUCCACCAUCGUUGCUUAAAUCAUCCCUCAACAGCAGUUCAACAACAUCCUUCUUUUCUGUUUCCCUGCCAUAUACUUUGGCUUCAUCCACCAAAGAGGUUGUCUCUGGCCUUUGACUGGCUUUUUUGGAUCCCCCAGCUGAACUUUCUUUCAAAUCUAGCAAGUUUUUCUUUGUCACAAUUUCUUGAAAUCUGCUGUCGAUCUCUUUGAUUUUGGACAUCAAGUCAUAAUCGAACUGAGUCGAUUGUGGAGUAAAAAUGGUGAAGCAAGUAUGAAUGAACUUCCGAAGCUUACUUGGUCUCGUAUGACUGCUACUGGGUUGAUCAUGAGCAGCAGCUGGUUCUCCAUUUCCAAGCGGCAACCUCCUCCGGAAAGCCUCGGUUUGAAACUCAUCCAACAAGUCUUCAACAUCAUAAGCCAAGUUCUGAAGCUCGCCAAGCCACAAAUUCACAGACGGAGCCGUCCUCCUCUUCUCCUCAGCAUCAUCAAGCACUGCCUUGAUCAUCUCCAACAUAUUCGCCCACCUCAUCAGAUCGGCCUCGAUCUCCUUUUGGCGUGCAAAAAACAGAACCCCCUCUGAAGCUAACUUAUUGACCAGCAAAUCAACGGACGCCGUAAGGAUUGCCUCUCCGAUCAUUGACAUUUUUUUUUCCUUUUUUGGGGCAAAGGAAGAAAGGAGCAGAAUUAUGCGUUAUGGAAAGCAGAAUGAGAAAUUUGAACGGGUGAGAAAAUGGAUAAUUAAGCAGAAUGAGUUUGUGAUUGUGAAGGGUCUGGCCCAACAAGCUUAGUAGAAAUCACGCGUUUAUACUUUAUUGACCAAUGACUAAUAAUUUGCCAAUUCACUCAUCACCACCACUUGGUGAGCAAAAUGAAAAUGCUUAGUAAUUAAACGUGGCAAGUCUCCCCACUUGUUGUUCCUUGCAGCUAAGAAAAGAAAAAACAGAGCCGUAAUUAAUGACAGAAUUUUAAAAAUAAUAAUAAGAGAAAAACCUACACAUUUUCGACUUAGAGUGGAACCGUAAUUAAUGCUAAAAUUUACUCAGCUAAAAUUUUCAAAAUAUUGUUCUUUAUAAUUUUCAAAACCGUAAUUAAGGUUCAUCUCAAAUGUUUGAAGAGACUCUAUCAAUUCUUCUGCGCUAAGAAUAUUAAAAUUCUUAUUUUUUCUUCAAACGUUGAAUAAUGAAAAAAAAUGUUAAAUAUGGAGAAAAAUAGAAUGCAUCCAUCUUUGCUGUAGAAGUCUUCUACUUAUAAAAGCAAGUUAGAAUAAACGAUUUUAAUCUCUCUUUUUAUUCCUGUAAGUGCACUACAUUUUUUUUGUUUUAAUCUCAAUGUGAAGUCGUAUCAUAAUGUUAUGUUAAUGUUAUAUUCUUGUUGGAAAAUGAAAUUUUAGAUAAAACAAAUUCGACUCAUUUGUUGAAGGUAUAUAUUUAGUAGGUUGCUAACAUAAAGUAAAUGAACUAAAAGACAAUACUACCAGCGAUAAUUUAGCAAGUUUCGCAUGCUCGUCUUUCUUGAAAUAUUAUAUGGGAAUGGGAUCAAACAACAGUGAUACAAAGAGAAAAAUGGUAAUCCUCUGAUUGUAUUUUUUUUUUCUUUUUCAAAAGAGAUGGUGGGGUUGGGUUGUUUGCAAAGUUAUUAGUGUGGGUCUAUUUAAAAUGUUAAGAAAUUUUAUGUCCUUUUUUCAAAGUGAAUUUCCAUUUUUCAUUUCUCAUUAAGUAAAACCCACAGCAAAAUUAAAAAGAAAAAACAGAGCCCACUAUAAAUAUAAAAUCGAAGGAGCUCAUAAUUAUACCUUUGCUUUACAUACUAAAUUAAAUAAAAGCCGAACCAAGAAUCUUGCCUUUACUUAACAUGAUUAAUUAGACACUACUUCAGAGAGAAUACGAAAGCAAAGAACCCUUUUGUUAAUCUUAAAUGUUAGGAAAAUAAUUAGCUUGGAAUAAAGCUGCGUUAUUCUCCUCUUACCGUCUCUUCAGGUUCAUUUCAAAAGUUUGAAGAGAUUUUAUCAAUUCUUCUUAUAAAGGCAAGCUAAAUUAAAAGAUUUUAAUCUCUCUUCUUAUUACUAUAAGUGCACUGCUUUUUUUUUAUAAUCAACAAUGUCAAUUUGUAGUGUAAUAUUAUAUUCAUAUUCCUGUUGCGUCGAAAUAAGGUAAAAUGAAAUUUUAAAUCACACAAAUUCGACUCGUUUGUUAAAGGUAUAUAUUUAAUAAGCUAAUAACAUAAUUAACAUAACGCUAUUAUUACACUAAAUGAAAUAAAAGACGGUACCCUCCACCAAUAAUUACAUUAGCAAGCUUCGCAUGCUCGUGUUUCAGGACCUAGACAUUGGCGAAUUAAUCUAGGAUAACGAAACAAUUUCAAAAAGCAAAAUGGAUACUAUACAUUUUCUUUUUUUAAUUGUACAGAAAACGGGACUAAUUUUCAAAUAUUUUUAAAUUCACUUAUUUACAAAAGCUAUACAAAAUGAUUUCCUUUUUAUUUUUGAUGAGCAUAAUUUACAUACAUAUUUUACUAUUUAUUAUAUAAUUACUAGUUAUUUUUAUUUGUUAUUUUAAUUAAUUGAAUUAUUUUAUUUCAUAGGAAAUUAAUUGGAGAUUAUGGAUGAAAAGUGCGUAAAGAAUAACAAUUUGACAGCAUUGAAGAUCAAAUCAAUUUGCGGAAGGAAUUAAGCAAAUGUGCAAGAAAUUCUAUUCGAAGAAACCGAAGCCAAUAAAUUGAAUAUCCAUACUCGUGCAAACAAAGAAGAAGUUUAAAACUAAAGUGGGCAGCACAUUAAAAAAAGCUUUUAAUUAAGUCUUUGAAUGGAAAGUCAAAAUAGAAUAAAGGAAGGAAAUCAAUAGCUUUUGGCUUUUAUUGUUUUCAAUUACGUGGCAGGCUUAGAGCUUUAGCUUGUAAGAGUUGGUUUGGUUAUUAUCACAAUAGGAUUUGGUGGCCAAGCAAUAUAAAAGGGAGUUUUGCUUUUGAAUUAAAGGCUGGACGGAAACAAAAGGGAGGAGAAUUCGGCUUUGAACAGAGAGCAGCGGCAACGGCAAUAUUUCGGCUUCCAUGGCUGAAUUUAUUUCUUUUGUUGCUCACAAUUUAAGUAUGUCUAGCUAAUUUUCUUAUACUGAGGUUAAGGAUGAAACCCUAUUCAAUGAAAUAAUUAUCUUUUUAUUUAUUUAAUUCCCUAUAUAUGUGCUUUAAUGUUUAUGGUUUUUAUUUCACAUGAUUAAUUGGACGUUAUUAAAAUCUUUUCAUCAAUUCUGUCAUGCAUUAUUAAUUGUUAGGAUUAAUAUUCAAUUAAUUCUAUACUUGGAUCUAUAAAGUUUAUACAUGAUUAUCUUUGAUUUUAUGUCUUUCAUUAAAUUAUUUACAUAGAGUGCUUAGGAAAACUUUGACUCUUUGUUAUUUAAUAUGUUUACAUGAGAUGCUUACAUGUCAUACUAUUAAGUAGAAAAAGAACCUACAUUACAUUUAAUUUUAAUUGGGCUUAAUUGUUAUAUUUAUGAGAUGACAUAGAUUGAUUUUGAGUUGUCACUCUAAAAUUAGGGAUUCAUUAAUAUUUGGAUAAUUACAAAUUAAAUAGUGGUGGAUUCCGAAACCUUGAUAAUUUUUAUUUUAUUGAUUUCUCAUUUGCUUUAAUUGUUUUCUUAGUUUAAUAAGUUUAAUUUCUUUUAAAAAUUCAAAUUACUCAACUAAGUUAGGAUUAAUAUUAAUUUUAGAUUUAAAUUAGACUUUUCAAUUUAUAACAAUCCAUGUGGGAUUGACCUCGUUACUACUAUUCUAUUUCUAGAUUCAUGCGCUUGUAAGUAUAUUAAAACUUUCACAACAAUUUUGAAAGGAAUCAAAUAACAGUGAUACAAAGAGCGCAAAGUUGCAAUUCUCUUAUUAUAUUUUUUCUCUUUUUUAAAAGGAGAUAGUGGGGUUUGGUUGGUUGCUAAAUUAUUGGUGUGAGGGUCUAUUUGUUUUUGUUUUCACUUUAUUAAUUAUACCAAGCAAACAUGUAAUCAUUUGUAAAGGGGUCACUAGCAUUGGAUUAUGUAAGAUGAAUUCAUAAGACUUAUUAAUUUCGAUGAAAAUGUAGCGUUAUUAAGUUGUCAAUUCAUUAACUUGAGGUACUAAUAUUUACUAAUUGUGGUGAUUAAUUUAUUUAACUUGUCAUAAUUUUCAAUUGAGAAUGAAGUUCAAUCAAUGUAUGAAAAAAAUAAUUUUUUUAGAUUUUUAAUUCCUAUGAUUUAAUUUCCCCCUGUUUCGAUUAUUGACGUGUUAAAAGCUUGUAGAAUAUCAUGAAAUGCUUGUAUCUCACCUCGCAAAUUGACAAAUAUUGGUUGGUUUCUCCAAAGGCUACCAUAAUGAAUUGAAAGUAAAAACAACAACCAUUGAAAAUUAAUUUUAAAAUCAUUUUUACUUGAAAUUUUUUAAAAGAAAAAUUAAGCAAAUUAGAUUACAGAUAUCAAUCUUAAUAUUUUGUUGAUGAAAAUUAAUUAAUUUAUCUCAGUACUUUCUUAAUUUUGUGUUGUGCACCGCAUUGGUCACUUCUGAUUGUGUUGCAUAUUUGUUAAUUCAAAGAAAUAGAACUUCUUUAUCGAUCAAACUUAUUUUAUUAGUAUUCUUCAUCAUAUGGUUAAUGGCUUAGCCAAUGAAGGAGAAGGGGUCAGCCAAAACAAAUAAAGUACUUUCUCAUGCAUUAACCUUUAUUAAAAAGCUUUAUUAACUGUUGUAGUUAAAAUAAUUUUAAAACAAGUUAAAACAGUUCCAACUCAAAAUCAGUAGGCUGCAAUUGGGUUGUUACACAUAUUUCUAAAUUUCAGUCUAAUUUAAUUGUGUAUGGACAAACUAACUUUAUCACUUCUUUCAUAUUAAUACUCAUAAAUUUCAACCUUUUUUUAUGAUGAUGGACAAUCUAACUUAACAAAAAUAAUGUUCAAAUUAUCACAAAAUGUUCUUUUCUUAAAAAAGAAAAGAAAAUCAUAUAUAGUAGUUAAUUUUUCUUCUUCUGUACUCCAAGAUCCAACUCCGUACUCCACUUGUUCGUUGUUAUUAUACCCAGCCAUUAGAUUUUAAUUACGUUGAUUUAACGGUUUGGAUUCGUAAAUGAAUAACGACGUAAAGUUUGGCUACCAUCUGAACCCACCGCAUCUAAUUGGUUUUGUGAUUUUUUGCUUUCUUCACUGCAACGCUUGACUAGUUCUGGAAAUAUCGACCGCCAUCAACGGCAAAUCUGAACCAUGUAUUAUUUGCGAAUACAUUCAUUAAACUAUUAAACAUUCAGAGAAGAAAGCAAACCGUGGCAGUAUAACAAAAACUGCGAAUGGUCAUUCCCAACACGAACCCCUAUGGUUGUUUUCCUUUUAAUUUUCUUCUUUGAAUUCUCCUUUUAUUAAUCAUUAGAAAAACUCCAUUUUUUUUGUUUUAAAUCAUGUGUUAUUAACAUUUACAUGGUUAAUGUCAUCGAAAUCGAAUGGUUGUUAUCUACGAAAAGAGAAUUGCUAGAAAUUUUGUUAGUCCCAUUGCAACAAUAUAUUGUUAUAAAUUGCAUUGUUUUCCAUAUAACAAAUAUAAUAAAAUCUCAAUAAAUUAAUAGUUUUUGGGACCAUAAAAAAAUUAUUAAAAUUAAACAAAUAUCAAUUAAUCAGUAAAUUAAUAAAUUAUUAAUUUAUGAAAAUAUUCAUUAUUUUGGAAAAACAUGAUCACGCUUUUAAUAUUGAUUUACCUUGAGUUAGUAUCUAUUAGGUUUUAUUUGUCUAUUAGUUUUCUCUUGGGAAGAUUUUUUAAGAGUUAGCUGCUUUAUAUUAACAGUAAUAAAAUUAUUAUUUAACGGUUUUGUUUUUCCAUGCUAAAGACCGAUUAGUCGUCUUCUUCUCCUCAGCAUCAUCAAAACCAGGGUUUUUAACUCCUAAAACGUUUCUUUUUAGAAAUAUAUUACUUUAUUCAUCUAAUAUGUUAUCUAACAAAUAGACACAGAUGAAAUCACUCUAAAGUGAAGAUGAAAGGGGAAAAAAAACAUUCCAACCACCAAUAAUUUAGCAAGCUUCACUUUUAUUCCACCAAAGUGUAAAUAGUGCCAGCCCCCACCACCAUCAAUAAUUUAGCAAGCUUCACACGCUUGUUGUCUUCUCCUUGACGAACUGGACGUGGGUGGACCAAGAAUCAAUGAAAGAAUUUUAAAAAUAAUAAUAAAAGAAAAACAUAAACAUUUUGGACUCGGAGUAGAACCGUAAUUAAUGCUAAAAUUUACUCCGCUAACGUUUUCAAAAUAUUGUUCUUUAUAAUUGUACAGCAAAUAAGACUAAGUUUUGGACAUUUUCAUAUUCACUUACUUUCAAAAGCAGUAUUUCGAAACAUUUUACAGAAUCAAGUAACAGUUAUAUAACGAGAAAAGUGCAAAGUUGUGUAAUUCUAAUGUUUUUUUUUUUUUAUCACAGACACUCAGAUAAUUUUUUAUUUGGGUCGCCAACUCGCCAAUUAACCCAUGAUUGAAUGAGUGUUUAGAAAGAAAAUCAAUAAAAAACAGUUUUUUUUUUGGUCGUCGAAAUAUAGUAAGUGAGAAAGAUUAUUCUGUUUUUUUUGUUAAUUAGGUUAGUAAUUAUGAUUGAGUGACUCAGAACUAUAUUCUAGAUUGAGAAUCAACGGUUCUCCCACACUGAGAGGCUGUAAGUUUAAGAUUGUCGUUUGCUAUUUCAUCGACAAGAGAACACUUGAAUUUAUUAAAAGGAGAAGGCCAUAAAGAUUUUCCUUUAUGAGAAAUGUAUCUGAUCAUUCCUUUUUACUUGAAAAUUUCAUAUAUAAAAACUCAUUAAUAAAUGACAGAAUAUACAUAAAUUAUUAAUUCAUUUGAUAGUUGAUUAUCGAAGGACAUGUGACCCAUGGAAGCAUGCAGUCUAUAAAAUAAUUCUUUUUUUUUUUUAACAAAAAAUUGGUGAUGUUGAAAAGCAAAAUUAUUAUUUCUCUAAUUAGGGUGAACAUUCAUAAAAAGAAUGCCGUAUGAAACUAAAUUAUUAAUUCGUUUGACAUGUGACCCACAAUAAAUAGUUAAAUUUGGCGGCAACAAUAAUUACAAGACGAACUUAAAGCAGCGCAUAGGUUUUUCUUAAAAAUACAUAAACAAUUCGAUAUUUUUUAUUUGACAGUUUUUAAGAAAUGUCAAACAUAUAUGACAUUUUGUGAAAAACUGAGUAAUUGUGAAAUAUAAAUGAUAAUUUAUUUAAACGUCAAAUAAUUGUGACGUUUUAUCAAAUAAGUGAUAAAUAUCUUACAUAUUUAUUGAAUAAUUAUCAUUUACCUUUUCCUUUUAUUGACUCGAGCAAAAAAAACAAAAAAACUGACUAUACUGCUUUUAUUUUCGUUCUUAGAACAGAUUUUAGUUUCUUUUGAGAAAAUUCAAACUCAUUCCCAUUACUUUCUUUUCAAUAAUCACCUCUCAGUUUUUCAUCAAUCACUCAAUUCCGAAUUUCAUCUCCAUUCUCUUUUGAAGAAGAACGCACGAAGAAUUUUAGCUUGCUUUUGCUGCUUCUCGAAUAUUGGGUAUUGUUUCCUUUAAUUUAGAUAAUUGUUUUUUAUAUCUCUCUUUCUAGUUUGAUAAUUUAUGGUUAUACUUGAAUUAAUUGUAUUUUUAAUCAACCAAGGUUGAUUUAAUUGAUUCCAAGUCUCAAUUUCCUGUUCAACAAUUUUCAUACUCAAUUUUGAAAGAAUCAAUGUAUUUUAUCUUUGGUUAGUACACUUCUGUUCAAUUUUUGUUUAUUUAACUUAAGAUAUCUUUUUCUUUCUUUUCUUCAAGCAAAUUAUAGAUUAUAUUGAGAACAGAGUUUUCUCCUUAAUUCCGCCAAGAGCAACGUUGAUUUCAGGUGAUAAUUGAAUGUGUAAUAUUUUCAAUUGAAAUUAAUUGAGUCUCGUGAUAAUAAUAGGGAUUUGAGAUUUACAUCCUGUUGAAAUGAUUUUAGAGUGUUCUGUUAUUUGAAUGCGCAUUAAUUGUUUGAUUAAAUGUCUCUUUAAAAGAUUAUUUUUGUUUUUAGCAAACAUCUUAAUGCACUUUACAAAUUGAAUCCAACAAGGGAAAAUUAUAGAACUGCAGCAGUUUUCAAAUUGAUUGCAUAUUAGAAGUAAUGUUAAUUUAUGCUGCAACAGUUCAAUGGGCUGGGCACAAGUUUAGGACUUCAGUUGCUCAAUUAAUGAAUCCACCACUCAUCAGACUUGGAACUUAUAUCUAUUGAAUCAAUAAAAAUAGUUGAUGGAAUCAAUGCCGAAAGCUUCAUUUGAUAUUUAUUUAUAACAUCUGUUAGAUUCUGGACAAUCACAAAGAUAUAGUAGCAGAAACUAUGUUAGAGACACUAUAGUUGCUUAAUUAGUGAAAUUGUGCUCUCAUUGCCCCCUUUUUUUGGUUGAUUCUAUAAUUUUAUUAGUUGUUCUUGUGGUUGUAAACAAUAUCAAUUUCUAAUAUUAAUAAAACUGAAUGAAUAAAAUGCGAUGCAUUUGCAGGAAAGUUAAUAGUUUAAAUAUGGAUAAAUCUUGGAUGUUGAUGGAUAGAAGGUCUAUAGAAUAUGAGAACAUGGUAAAUGAGUUUCUCAAGUUUGCAGUACUUCAUGCUAGUCAUCUUGAGCUUUUGAGAUGUCCAUGCCAAGCAUGUCUUAGUUUAUAGGCUCAAACAAUUAACAGUAUAGAAAAUGCAUGAUAGAACACAGAACUCAUAUUUUAGCAACAAUCCUCAGCUCACUGGCCCUUAGUUCAGAAUGACAAUUCUUAUUAGCCAAAGGUUCAAAAUGAUUUUUAGUUGUUUAUAAGUAGAGAACUAGAUCAACAAAUAAUUGAAGACCUGCAGCUUGGCUAUUGAACUAUACGAUGAUGCCAAUUCGAAGACUACAACUUGGCUCUGCCAUUCGAAGUAAGCAACGCAGCUGCCCAAAGUCUGCCAAACCAAGAAAAAUAAAGACUUCUCCUUAGCAAUUAAGUUAAUAUAAGGAAUGUUGCAUGUCCACAAAACUAGGUAGACGCAACUGGGACUUCAAUAUAUAUAUAGAUAUAUAUAUAUAUAUAUAAGCAUUUCCUAGAUCAAUAUUAUUCUCAGUAACUGAAUAUUGAAGCUGACCAUCACAUUUAAUAAUAAAUCAAUAUCAGGAAUGUUGUUGAGGAGUAUUUUGAUAUUUACAAAAGUGUUCAAAGUAAAAAUUGAUUUCUUAAAACCCAUUAGCUAGCGCACAUAAUAAUGGGGAGAAAAUUUUAGACUACGAAUAGUCCCACCCAUUUAAUAAUAUUCUUCAAUCAAUUAUGUUUACUUCAAAAAAAAAAAACCAUCUCUUUAUUACUUUCUAACUAUUCAUAUUAAUGUGUUCAUAAUUAUGAAGAACCGGUGUAAUUUAUAUGAUGUAGGAAGCACAUUAGUCAAAAUCAUCAGAAUCUCAAAAUUUCGUGAUGUUGUGCCAAAUAUGCAAACCAAAGCUUCCUACAUUCUUUGUACGUUUGUGUUAGUUACAAGCAAUCACAGUGGUAAACGAAAAAAAACGAAUUAAAACACAUGAGGAGAUUUAAAUGAAAAUGUCUUAAUCAUAUAUCGCAUGUAAGACCUUUUGUACUCAAAACUGAUCAGCACCCAUUCUGCCCGCCGUGUGAUCACAUCUUGAAGGGAGUGUUGCUUCAGCAUUUUUAUCAUUUUUACUAUUUCUAGGAUCCAUUUUGUCACCUCCCUCCCUCCCCCCGGUUUCUAAAAUAAUUAUAUAAUAACCAUAUAAUUAUUGGUUGUUCUAGCAAAUAAAAAAAAUAUAUAUAUAUAUAUAUAUAUUAAUCUUUUAAUAACAUUAUCACUUUGUCAAAAUAAAAAAUCUCCUCAUUAAAUAAUUAUAUUAUAUAUAUUCAUUUAUUUAUCCAAAUAAAAAAGUAUGAAGUCAAAUAGUACACAAUAAUUUAACUAAUUUGAAUUGGUUUAUUUUUAAUGAAACAAAUAACAUUCCUAAAUGCUUCUCUUGAUCCUUAAUUUAUUGAUAAUUUUGUCAAUUUAAGGUCGGCUAUAUAUUGAUUAAAUUACAAGCUUAGACUAUCGAAAGCUGGUUACAGUUAUGGAGGCAGGAAAAAUUUUAUUGUACCAGAAAUUUUUUCUACAACAGUCCAUGCAAAGUAAACAUUUGUAAGGAAAUUGGAGAAUAAUUACAAAGCCAACUAAAUUUUAUGAGAAUCAAUUUGGAGUUUUUGUUAAUCGCCAUUUUGCGUUCAUACAAAGCAAGUGUAGAUACCGGCACAAUAAGCUAAAUGCAAAAUCCAAUGUAGGACAGUGGGGUUGGGACAACGAAAUGGGGAAAUGGGAAUCUAGGUAAUUGCACUGAACCUUAAACUGAGAGUACGGGCACUUAAAAUUUUUAAAGUGUCUAAUAAGUUUCAGCUAAAAAGGAAAUAGGCUGUAAAAUUGCUAAAUUCAUUUUGAUUUCUAAAUUCAUAAAUAACCUUAAAAGUUCUCUGAUACAACUUGUCAAUAAUGGUGAAAAUUCAAUUUCAGAAUGACAAUUCUUAUUAGUGAAAGAAUCAAAAUGAUUUUUAGUUGUUUAUAAAUAGAUCACUAGAUCAACAAAUAAUUGAAGACUGGCUUGGCUAUUGAACCAUACGCGGCAAUUCGAAGACUGAAACUUAACUCUGCCGUUCGAAGUAAGCAACUCAGGUGCCCAAAGGCUGUCAAGCCAUCAAGACAAUACGAAGAUACAACAUCAAUAAUAAUUACAUAUUACACCUACCCCAAUAAGAAAUUAGUUAAUACAGUCCUAGAAAGAAAUUUACAAACCCAUGCUGUAGGAAUAAUUAAUUAAUUUAUACAGUUCGGUACUCAUUCCUCUUCUGUUUCAAAUCCAUAUCCACUGCUCUGCCAUUUAUUACUACGCAAGGUAUAUGGGUUAGCAAGUGCCGACAUUGUCCUCCAUUCUUUAUGUGCCUUUCUUCUAUCAAGGGACAACCCAAGAUCUCUAAUCGCAAGAAAAAUAUUUCAAAGUAAAAAGUGAUUUCUUAAAAUCUAUUAGCUAGUGCACAUAAUAAAAGGCCAUUCAUGGUAAAUUUUAGAUUACAAGUAGUCCCAAUAAUAUUCUGCAAUCAAUUCCGUUUAUUUUAAAAUAAAAGAAAUCCAUCUCUUUAUUACUUUCUAAUUAGUCAUAUUAAUGUGUUAAUAAUUGUGAAGAACCAGCGUAAUUUAUAUGAUGUAGGAAACCCGUUAGGCAAAAUAACCUGAAUUUUUUAAAGUAGGGGCUAGACAUAUUGGGCAUAACCUCAGUUUCUGUUACUUCUUUGACCCUGCCUAAGCUCUUUUAUGGGCUAAUAUCAAAAUUUCGUGAUAUUGUGCCUAAAGAGCUUCCAAUUCAAGGAGCUCCCCUGUUUUUGACUGAAACAUAUGUAAUCCGAAAAAUUUAUAAUUAGAUAAAUCAUUCAAAAUCUCCCUGAAUCUAACCCACAUUUCUAUGGUUUAAUAACAUAUCACAAAGGUGCCUAAUAUAAUGAAAUUAGCACUAGUUCACGAGAUUGCCAUUAUAUAUUACAAGUCUUUUUAUGAUGUAGAUUAGAAGGGAAAAUACGAAGGACAUAUUAUAUAUUAUAUAUGAUUGAAUUUAAUCCAUGAUAAUUAGACAAAAUAACACUAAUCUAGCUAACUAAUCCACCCAUCAUAAUAAUUUGAUUUUCAUUAUUUUAUUGUGUCCAAUCAUGCUAAUUUAAUAAAAAAAAUACAGAACACUUGAGGAUUUAGAUAUUCAACAACUUUGGCCAAGUUUGAAAAAGAUUAGAGCUUCCUUCAUGCUUUGUGUUCUUAUGUUACACAUGAUCAUAUUAUGUUACAUUUGACAGAAAACUGAAAAUUAUUGAAAAAAAAAAAUCUUAGUUAGCACAUGAUCAAAAUGAGAGAUUAAUGCACACACAUCACAACAAUGUUUCAUUCAUUUUGAAUCUAUAUUUACAAAACUUGUAUCCGAUGGUUUACAUUUGUUUAAUCUAACUGCUAUGACAUGUGUACUGUCAAAACGCUACAGCUGCCAUCUCUGUUUGUCCUUGUUGCAUCCUUGAUCUUAUAUUAUCCUGGAGAUUAUUGAAUGUUCUUCUCAUUCUCAUGUGCUCGAGGGUCCUUUCUUGAGACAUUUCAGCAAACACCUGAUUCAUCCUAUUAAACAUUAGCAUCAUUAAUCAGUAAAUGAUGUAAGGUAGCCCUGUUUCGUGAAGUCAACAUAAAUCAGUCACCUUAGAUUUUCUGAGUCUCAGAGCACAAUGGGUGAUGAUUUGAUGAGAAAUAUUAAUAUGCCUUCAUCCCCUGAAUUAGCUAGAGCUGGUUGUCAUUUUCUUCUUUCUUUUGGUACGGUUUUAGAUUUUUAAUCAAUCAGAUUCAGCUGCAUGUUUGCUUUUAGUCCAAACCAAAAUAAGAUAUUAAGUACUUUUGCCAGAAUAGACGCAACCAAAAUUCUAUGGGAUCUGUAGUUCCUAGUUCAUGCAGAAGCGACCGAAUGCUUCCUGCAACUCAGGCAGAUAGAACCUUGGUUGAUUCGUUUUUCUUCAUCUGAAAUUCUACCUAAUGCCUAUCCUCUUAAUUGGUUUAAAUUCUUCUUUUUUUUCUUUGAAUUGUUGAUUUAUAAUGUCUUGUAUGCAACAUUUAUAAUUUCGGAUGAUGAUAAUCUUGUUUAAGAAGAGAUUUCUAGUUACGGCAGCAGCGUUCUUGAUCAUGGCAUCACAAGCACGUGCUCUGGUUUGCUUAGUUUCCUUUUUGUCUCUGAUAUUUUCUUGGCAUUGUGGGAUAUUGUUUCUCUUUUGAUUUUCUGUUUUUGUUUGCUUAGUUUCCUUUUUAUGUCUGAUAUUUUCUUGGCAUUCUUGUUCUCUCUUAUAAUAAAGUGCUUUUGAUAAAUUCGCCUGGUCGGUUUACUUCACUAACCAUUAAUGAGCAAAUCCUCCCAGUGACUCUCAAACUCUUCUACACAAUUAUAAUAAUUUCAGUUUUACAUAUACAAAAAUGAACAGCUCUCAAACAUAUCAUUUGAUAAUGACAAAAACAAUAAUUCACUCCAAUAAAUCUCAUAAUAAAUACAUGAUCUACAUUGCAAGUCUUUUUAGGACGCAUUCAAAGAGAAAACAUAAGGAAUGGCAAUGCAAGAAUAUGGAAUCAGAAUAACAGUGAUACAAAGAGAAAAAAAAAGGGGAUGGUCGGGUUGGGUUGCUUGCAAAAUUAUUGGUGCGGGGGUCUACUUGUUUUUGUGUCACUUUAUUAAUUAAUUACCGAAGCAAACACGUCAUCAUUUGAAAAAGAAUCACUAGCACCAGCUUAUGAAAAAUAAAUUUGUAAGACAUAUUAAUUUGAAAAUAUUUUGGAAUUUCAGUCUAAGUUGAUUUGUCUAAUUAUGUAUGCACAAACUAGCUUGACCACUUCUUUCAUAUUGAUACCUAUAAAUUGCAACCUUAUUUUACGUUGAUGCACAAUCUAACUUAACAAAAAAAAUAUUCAAAUUGUCACAAAAUAUUUUCUUCUUAAUAUAUAUAUAUAUAUAUAUACAUACACACAGUAGUUAAUUUUCCUUAUUCUUCACUCCAGGAUCCAGCUGCAUACCCCUCUUUUUUGUCGUUAUGUUGCUCAACCGUUAGAUUUUAAUAACGUUAAUCUAACGGUUGAGAUUUGUAAAUGAAUAAUGAAGUGGUGUUUGGCUACUAUCUGAAAAUAUCGGCAGCCAUCGACGGCGAAUCUGAACAAAGGCAACAGGAGGUGAUCGUGGUGAAAUUGUUUUUUGGCAUGCGAAUCUAACGACUUUCAAAUACGUUCAUUCAAAUAUUAAAUGCAAUUCAGGCAAAUAGAAACUUGGUUGAUUGAUUGCUUUUCAUGUGAAAUUCUACCUAAGGGCUAUCCUUUUAAUGGUUUGUACUGUCUUAUAUGCAAAUUAAAUUCGGAAUUCGGGUGAUAAUAAUCUUGAUUUAGAACAGAUUAGGUAACAUGUGGCAUUCUACAUUCUUGCAAUGCCAUUUCUUUUUAUGGCAGCACCAUUUUUUAUCAUUGUUUGUGUGGACCUAUUUGCUGAAUUCAAAACUUGGCGUGUUAAAACGGCAUCGUUUUGUCCAUUAAGAUGUUUCAAGUUGUCCCCGGCUGGACAUAUGACUCACUUAAUGAUACCAAAACGGCGAGGCAUGAAGGUGUUUCGGCUAAGGGCUUAAGUUCUGCAUGUGACAAGCACGUGAGAGAAGAAUCAAGUUAGUUAUAAGUUGUUAUACACGUGGCUGGAUCUGGUGCAAUCUGGGGUAAUGAACAGCCGUUAUAUAAGCUGAGCUUUCAGGCAGUUUCAGCAAGAUGUAAAGAGCUUCUAGAGAGAAUGAAGAGAGAGAAAAUGUAUCAUCUUAUUCCUUGUUAGUUUCUCCGUGUGAGCUCUGUAAAAUACUUUGAUUCAUAAAUAAAACUCAUUUUAGUCGAUUCUCCCUUGGAUGUAUGUUCUGCCUCAUUGCACAGCCGAACCACGUAAACAGUGCUGGUUUCUUUUUUUUUCAUUUGUGUCUAUCACUAAAAAGCAGAGCACUUGCUUGAUUGAAUAAUGUCAUAUUACAUCACAUAAACUCUCUCAAUUAUUGAAAAAGAAAAUCGUAAAAGAGAUGUGUUGAAUUGAUAACUGAAAAAAUCUUAAAAAAUCUUCAAAGUUUUCAAUUAUUGAUAACUGAAAAUUAUUGAAAAAAAAAAUCUUAAAAGAGAUGUGUUGAAUUGUGAAAUUAAAACUGAGUUUCAGACAUUUCUGACAUGUCGGUUUAUAUUCUUGAUUGUGCAUGCCCUGUCGGUUGCUUGAUGAAACAGGAGAAUAUUGACAUCUGUGUAUUAUCGUUUACUUCCUGCAAUUAAAUCACAUGUUGUUCACGUGAUUCCAUUUGCUCUAUGCGGCACAUUUGGCAGUCGUUUAGGUCACUUACUGAAGCACGGGUUAAGUACUUGAUUCAAGGUUGUUAACUGACCUUUACAAGGCGGGAAAAACAAACCCGGAAUGCAGCUAGUGAGUGGGGGACUUUUCUAGACUCUUCAUGAUAUGUAUAUAUAGUCUUAGAGGCUAUAGUUGAGACAUAUGAAAAGCUUGUAACUUCUUCUUAAUGUUUGUAGUUUGAUCUCGGUGAUGGAGAUAAGAUUGCUGCCCUGUUCUCCAGGCCGAACCACUUAAAAUGUGCCUCUGUUUUGCUUGAUGACUACCAGUGGUGAGAAAACAGCUACAGAACAAAUCAAGCUUGAUGACUCAAAUAUUAGGGAAGCCAUAGUCAAGGCAUCUGGUUUAUGCAUCAACAGUGGUUCGUGGACUAGAAUUCUUAGCUAUUGCCGCUUCACAAUUGCACUGGAAGAAAGCGAAUUUGAUCGAGCUUUGGAUCGCAUAGCUAAAUUCAAAAGCAUCGUACAAAUAGUUAACUCAAAAACGGUAUUGUCAUUUGUCAUGAUUUAUUUCUAUUGCCUGAUGAUGAUACCCAUCACGCCUUAGUUGUCGUGAAUAAAUCUAAAAUCAAAUUGAACUGGCUUUUACUGGUUAGCAACAUUUGUGACGUUUUGAGAUUAUAAUAUAUGACAACACUGAUUAGUGUUGUCUCCCAUGUGAAUUGAGACAAAAAUUAUUUUCCCAAUUGCGCUUUCAUUUGAACAAUUCCACUGUAGAUUUAUAAAAUAAUGAUCAAAUUGUGUUUUAUAUUAAGUUACGAGUAAUUGGUUAAAUAUUAAUACAAAACUAUUUUAAGUAACAUGUGGCAUAUUCUAAUUCUAGCCAAGCUUCCAACUAAGAUUCCCAAAUCAAAAGAAUUUCAAUCUUCAGAACAUUCUGCAAAACGUUUAGUUUCUACGCAGUGCUAGAAUUUUCCCUAAGUUUCUAUCGCAAAGACUUCUAAAGAACUAUUCAGAUAUCGAGCUAUAAUCCAGUCUAAAGUGUAUAUAUCCCUCUAAUUCACCUCCCUCCAUUUCACCAGAAAAUCAACAAACACUUAGCUUCAAACAAACACUCUAAAAAAGCUAGCUAGCUAUUCAGAUGGCAAAACCAAGAAUUCUUGCAAUGACAAUGUUGUUUCUUGUUAUGGCAGCAACAUUGAUGAACAUGGCAUCGCAAGCAAACGCUCUGAUGUCGUACACACAAUCACCUUUCAGGGUUCUUGAACAAACCCCUUUAACAAUCGCAAAACGAGCUGAUCAUCAUCAAACUCUAGCCCCGGCGAGAACAGACUAGAUGGAGACACCAACAGCCCACGUGAUCACGCUCGACAUUCCAGGGAUGAAGAAAGAUAAUGUAAAGAUUGAAGUUGAAGAGAACAGAGUACUGAGAGUGAGUGGGGAGAGGAAGAGUAAUGAUUAUUACAAGGAGGGAGUUGAAGGAGAGAAAUGGCACAGAGCUGAGAGGACAUUUGGCAAGUUUUGGAGGCAGUUUAGGAUGCAUAUGAGUGCUGACUUGGAUCAUAUUAAGGCUCACAUGGAAAAUGGGAUUCUGAGGGUCACAGUGCCAACGCUUGCUGAGGAGAAGAAGAGGCAGCCUAAGGUUAUUAACAUUGAUGAAGAGUCUGGUAAUUCUUCCAAUGAAGAUAUUAAGGCUACCAAGGCUCAAAUGUAAUUGAUUAAAGAAAGAAGUGAUUGCUUUGCUUGAUGUGCUAUUUGUUUAUGAUCUUUUCUUGGUUUUGUUGUGAGAUGUUUCUAUUUGGAUGCUCUAUUUAAUGUAUUUUGAUGGGUUUUUGAGGAAGGCUUGUAUGUAUUGACAACAAUAAAGUGCUUUUUAUAAAUCCUAGUCCUCCAACACUAAAAGAAAUUAAUACGCUUGGUUUAUAGUUAAUAAAAAUAUAUAUAUUUUUAAAAAAAGUCUUUUUCUUUGGCAUAUAGUAUGCGUUUUGAGGGAAAAAAAAUUAUCCCACUCCUAAUUCGUCCUCUUCUGCGAUAUUAAUGUGUUAACACGAAGAUUCAUUGUAAUUGCAACAAUUUUGACGAAUCCAAACGUUCAAUAACUGUUAAAUUGUAUUUAUAAAUACUAAUAGCGAAGGUACAGAAACGAUUAAUUCACGAAGUUGCUUAAAGUGCAUUAAAUUAGAGAGUAUAAAUAAUUGUGUGAUACAGUCCAGCCUUCAUCUGCUUAUAAUUAGCAACCAAAAACCACUUUGCAACACCAUUAAAAAAACAUUUUAACAUUAUUGCUGAGGGAAGAGGCAGCUUAGGCUUAUUAACUCGUAUUAUUAAUGCUGAUGACGCAGCUGGUAAUCCUUUUGGUGAAUAUAUUAAGGCAGCUGAAGCUUAAAAUUAAUUAAGCCCACUAAAGCUUAAAACUAAUUCUUCUGGUGACGAUACUUUGCUUAGUUCGCUUUUUGUUUUUAAUUUUUUUGGGGCUAACGUUUUGCUUAUUUUGCUUUUAAAAUUCUAUUCGCGUUGCUGUGGAAUAUUGUUUCUCCUUCGAUUUUCUGUUUUUGUUGUUAUCGGAUUUGAUGAUGGUUUAUAUGUACGAAGAUUAUGUAAUAAAGUGCUUUUGUAAAAAUACUAAGGUAAUAUACAUUACACAUUUGUACUCAAUAAGAAAUCAAUUCAUUAAUAUAAGCAUUAAUACCCCUGGUUUAUUGUUAAUGAAAAUUAAAAAAGAAAAAAAAAAGUCUUUUUCUUUGGCCUUUAUUAUGGAUUUUAAGAGGAAAAAAAUUUAUCCCACUCCAAUUCAUGAAGAUAUUCUCUUUUCUGUCAUAAAGAUCCAUUGCAGUUGGUGAAUUCAAAUAUUCAGUAACUGAUGAAAUUGUAUUUAUAAAUUCAUACUAAUAGCAAUUGAAGAUUAUAAUUAAUUUUGUAAUAUGAUCUAGCCCUCGUGUGUUUAAUUAGCACUCAAAAACCACUUUACAUAAAUGAGGUUUCAACAGCUGAGAAAGAGAUAGCCAUUAUACAUUACACAUUUGCACUUAAUAAGAAAUCAAUUCAUUAAUAUAGCCAUUAAUACGCCUGGUUUAUUGUUAAUGAAAAUUAAAAGAGAAAAAAAAAGGUCUUUUUCUUUGGCCUUUAUUAUGCAUUUUAAGAGGAAAAAAAUUUAUCCCACUCCAAUUCAUGAAGAUAUUCUCGUUUCUGUCAUAUUGAUGUGUUAAUAUGAAGAUCCAUUGCAGUUGGUGAAUUCAAAUAUUCAGUAACUGAUGAAAUGGUAUUUAUUUAUAAAUUCAUACUAAUAGCGAUUGAAGAUUAUAAUUAAUUUUGUAAUAUGGUCAAGCCCUCGUGUGUUUAAUUAGCACUCAAAAACCGCAUUACAAUAGGCAUUAAAAGAACAUUAUAACGUCAUUGCUGAUGAGUUCUGGUGAAGAUAUUAAGUUAAGGCCACAAAAAUCGAAAUGUACGUAGCUUCGUUUGUUUUUUGUUUUUGAUUUUUUUUGGGGGGCAAAUGCUUGGCUUCGUUUGCUUUUUCGUUUUUGAUAUUUUAUUGGCUUUAUUGUGUGGCAUGUUCUUGUUUUCUUUUGAUUUUCUGUUUUGGUUGUUAUGGGAUUUGAUGACGAUGUACAUGUACAAAGAUUAUGUAAUAAAAUGCUUUUGAUAAAUUGUGGAACAAAAGAAGAACACUAACGAACUAAUUAAUUACUAAUAAGAACAUUAACAAUUUUUGCCGAAGUCUGAUGAAGAGAAAUAUUACACAUAAGUAACGGUACCGCGGAAGGAAAAAAUAAAAGAAACUAAAGUUUAUUUCAACAGCUAAGAAUGAAAUAGGCAUAAGAAAUUAACCCAUCAAUUAAUUAAUUAAUACAGUCCCCUGCUACUAAAUAAUGCGAGCCCCUUACUGUACUUAACAUUUUUCUUUUUAAUAAUUUAAAACAGUUUUCAACUGAGAUUUGAAUUUUAAAACUACAUACACAAAUACACCUGAUUUUAAAGAAAAAAAAUUUCUAAUAAUAAAAUAUUUUACAUAUAUAACCAUAUGGCGAAAAAAUAAAUAUAAGAAACUGAAGUUUCAACAACUGAGAAUGAGAUAGGCAUAAGAAAUUAAUUCAUUAAUUAAUUAAUAGAGUCCUCCUUUGCUAAGCUAAAUAAUGCGAGCCCAUUGUUCUUUUUAUUUCGAAAACCCAUUAAUCACCAACACAUAAUACACGCCCAACUUUUUUUUUAAAAAAAACCUAAUAAUAAAAUAUUUCAGUCGUCCUCUGUUGAGUCGUCCUCUGUUGAGUCGUCAUAAAAAACCCAUUUACCAGCUAUGACAGCAAGAGGAAUAUGGGUUAACAAGUCCCAAUAUUGUCCUCCAUCCUUUCUGCACUUCUUUUCUAUCAACGGACAAUCCACGAUUCUUAAUUGCAAAAGUGAGGAAGGCAGGCCCUUCUCCGGAAAGUAUUUGAGCUUGGGACAAUGAUAGAGACCCAAGUGAGUGAGGUUUUGAAGAUCAACAAUUGAAGAAGAUAGGCGUUCCAGAUUUGGAAAAUUGUAAAUCCACAGAGAUGUUAGAGAGGCAGGAAGAGGAAGCGCGGUCCCUAAUCUUUUGUCCUCUAGUGGAAAUGACACCAUGUCGUCAUCGCAUCCUAUGAUUUCAAGAUGUCGCAGACAGGAGAAUCUGUGAAAUCCCCGGCCCCGCUCAAUCAUUGACUUCCAAAUCUCCAUAUUACCCUCAAUCCAAAGUGAAUGAAGGUUGAUGGGAAGGCCAUCUUCUUCUUCAAGGCUUGGAAGCUCACCUCCUUUUCCUAUUGUUAAUUGUUGAAGAGAGGUCAGAUUGUGCAAUCCCUUGGGUAAGGCCUCUAGUCUCUUACAAUCAAGUAUCGUCAGCCUCGUGAGUUUCGCACAAGGGAAUGCCCCUUGGGGAAAGGACACUAGAUUUCCACAAUACGCUAUGCUAAUCUCUUGAAGCUGGCGGAGAUUAUGUAAACCACUCGGUAAAAUUUUCAGAUUUCCACAAUUAGAAAUGUCGAUUGUUUCAAGAGAUGUGUUGUUGUCCAACCUUUCUGCUAUUGACUCCAGCUUUGAACAUCCGCGAACAGAAAGGGACUUAAGAGACGGAGGUAGAUUGCCAACUUCAAGGGACUCAAGCGUGGCAGGUAACUCAUUUUUUGAAAAUAUACAUGUCAGUGAUGGACAGCUGUUAAUACGCAACUGCUCAAGAAGAGAUGAGGUGUACCUUCUAUUGCUGCUGCUGCUGCUACACUGGAUGCCCUCUUCCACUGUCAAAGUCCUUAUAUUACUGCAAUUGUUAAUCACCAACUGCUUAAGGCUCGGUGGUAGCUGGACUCCAGCAAUAUAUGUCAACGAAUGGCAAAAGCAAAUCUCCAAGAUCUCGAGAGAUGAAUUGGUGUCGCACAUCCAUGCCUCUGGUAAUGAUUUCAGUGCAUCACAUUCCCUAAUCUCAAUUGUCUUCAACUUGGAAGGCAGAGCAACCUCAGGAAAGGAAACAAGGGAACUGCACUUGUAGAUUUCUAUCUCUCUCAAGGAACUGAGACUGAGAGAUGAUUGUGGCAGCUUCACAAGGCCUUCGCAAUAUCUCAAUCUUAGAUAUUCGAGUCUGCAUGACAACUCGCAGAGCUGCUGUUGUUGGCCUUUCUCUUCCUCCGCCACCAAGGAUUGAAGUUUGGGACACCGUCUAAUCGUCAGUCUUCUGAGAGAGCAAAUGUCUUGCAGUAAUUCGUUAUGACUCUUCCAUAUAUAUGUCUGCUCUUUCAUUUCAUUUAUCUUCAAUUCUUCCAAUUUUGGUAGUCGCGGCUUUAAUGGCCCUGCGAGAAACACUUGAUUUGAUCUAUCUCUACAAACCACUGAAUUCUGUGAGCCGAGAUGAUCAGUUGCACUUCUCCACACAACCUUUUUACAUCCACCACUCUGUAAUUUGCAAAGAGCUGGAAGACUCGAAACUGAAACUGACAAUUCUUCACAUCCUUUAAUAACAAGCUUCUCCAAUGCAGGAAGGCGUUCUGGAAAUGUUCCUUGCAGCUUAGAACAUCUUAAAAUGUGAAGCUCUCUCAAUUUAGGAAACCGUUCAACUCCCUGACUGGAUCCAUGAGGAAUCCAGUCUUCCCAUCCUUGCAUGUCUUCAAAAUGAAGAGUCUCCAAGCAU
rnacentral:lncRNA from 1 species